rnacentral:lncRNA from 1 species
GCUCUCCUCCAACUUCUAUGCAAGUUCAUGUCCUAAGGCUCUCUCUACCAUUCGAGCUGCAGUAAACAAUGCAGUGGCCAAAGAGCGCCGCAUGGGAGCCUCAUUGCUUCGCCUCCAUUUCCAUGAUUGCUUUGUAUUGGUAAGUCUCCUCCUCCAUAUUUAACUCCUUUUUACUGCAUUUUUUUCAGUGCUUGUUCUGGUUACUUCUGACUAGUCUGCAAAUUAGAUUUGAAAUCCAGAAGUCAACCAUGAUCAUGUGGCACUGGUUGACCCUUAAGAUAUUAAUAAACCUCAAUAAUAAUCCCUUCAUACAUGACAUGUCACAUGCAUACGUGCAUAAGGCUGUUUAACAGGAAAAUAUGUACUAAUAACAUCUUCAUGUACAAAUUUAACAGGGAUGUGAUGCUUCUAUAUUAUUGGACGACACUGCAAGCUUUACCGGAGAGAAGACAGCAGGACCAAAUAAGGACUCUGUGCGAGGAUAUGAGGUGAUCGACACCAUUAAAUCUCAAGUGGAAAGUUUGUGCCCUGGGGUUGUUUCUUGUGCAGAUAUUGUAGCAGUGGCAGCUCGUGACUCUGUUGUUGCUGUAAGAGACCUACUUCCUUCACAACUACUAUAUAACCAUUAAUCGUGACCUUGCAGUCUAUAAUAGGGUUCAAAGAUACAAUAAUCUGUCUUCCUUAUUCUACAAACACCAUUAUUUUAGAGUAUUUCGGAAAUACUAUUUCCAGCCAGCCUUCAUUAGCCACCAUGGAAACCUUAUCAUGGACAAACUUUUAACAUAGGAGCUAAUUAAACAUGGCUAUGUAUACCGGCGUUUACUGAACUAUGAUACAAACCAUACCAAAAAAAAUUGAUGUUUUUAUAAAAUAUUUAUGGGCUAAGACCUUUCAAAUAAUUGGUUAAUUAACUAAAUUAAUAUUGCGGUUUACUGAUUAUAUGUUUUUUCAGUUGGGUGGCCCAACAUGGACCCUGCAAUUAGGCAGAAGAGAUUCAACCACGGCGAGUUUGAGUACUGCUAACAGUGACCUCCCUGGCCCGGCCUCAGAUCUUAGUACUCUUAUAUCUAGAUUCUCCAACAAGGGCUUCACUACUAAGGAAAUGGUGGCUCUCUCAGGUAUGCUCUGGCAUUUGGUAGCAAAAAUGAUUAGAAAAUUGAUAAAUUAGUAUAUUUUCUGUUUUAAUAUUAAAAAAAUGAUAUCAUAUUUUUUCAUUUUCGUUGUCAAAUGGGCCGUCUACUUCACUACUUCGUGUCUUUGACCAUAUCCUUAACUACUCAUGCUUUUUCCCCACAAAGUGAAGGCAUCACUAUCAUUGGAAGAAAGUGGAAAAGAAAAGACAGCAAAAAAUGACGCUUAUUAGUCACCUUAGAAGUCAAAAUAUUGUUAAUUUUUUAGAAGAAGUCACAUACGACCUAGAGCAAGUUGAGGCACAAGUACUCAAUUUUAUAUUUGAAUUUAUUAUCCGAAAUUCCUCCUAAUUUGAAAUAUAUUUCGUUUUAUUUUUUUAUUUUUAGGAACUCAUACCAUAGGUAAAGCAAGAUGCACAAGCUUUCGGAGUCGAAUUUACAACGAGACCAACAUCGAUGCAGCAUUUGCAACAUCAAAACAGAAAAUCUGCCCAAGCACGGGUGGAGAUAAUAAUCUGUCUGAUCUGGAUGAAACGACUACUGUUUUCGAUAAUGUUUAUUUCAGAAAUUUGAAGGCGAAGAAGGGUCUGUUGCACUCAGACCAACAACUCUAUAAUGGUGGUUCCACAGAUUCCAUAGUUGAAACCUACAGCACCAACUCUGCCACUUUCUUUACGGAUGUGGCCAAUGCCAUGAUUAAGAUGGGAAACCUGAGUCCCCUAACAGGAACUAAUGGAGAGAUCAGGACCGACUGCAAGAAAAUCAAUGGAUCUUAGUCAAUUUAUGAAUGUCUUUAAUGUUGUACUACUUCAAUAAUAUUUGGAAGUAGCUUAUCACAGGUGAUUUGCAAAAUUUGCCUUGCUUAUGACAUUUGUAUAAUAAUGUUCAUCAACUCAAAGGUUUAUCCCAAAUAAAGUUUUUAGUUGGUUUUGGAUCAUCUGAAAAAAUUAAAUUUCCGUGCGCCAGACCAUUUGCACCAUAAUUUUGAAUGAUUAAAAUUAUUUUUCAGACUCUUUUGAUUACAACUAAAUUUAAUAACGAGAAAAAGAAACGAACGGGAACGAAAACACCACAGGGUGAAUAUUUUUGUAUUUAUUUUUUAAAGAAUUUAUUUUUUAAAAUAAUACUUUUUAAAAAAAUCCUCCUUUUCUUUCACCUAAAUUUGCGGAUAAACCCGAGAGCAGGGUCAUCCCACGAGGAACACACACUCGUAUAUAAAUAUAUACAUGGAAUAUCUAAAAAUAAGUAAGAUAAAGGAAAGGGUUGAAUCAUUUAUGAUACGGACGACAGUAAGGCCCAUAUGAUAAUUGAUAGCUUGAAUAAGAUUGGUGGUGUUAAUGUGAAAGCUUCGUCCUUCAUCUAAUUCAACCCUACCUAAUAGUGCAACACAAUGCCGGGGCUAGAUUUUUGUCGCUAAAAAUUAAACAAGUCUGACUCAGCGGGCCCACUAUGUGUGGACUUUGGAGCACCAUUCAGCACACUGUUCUGGGCCUCUGUCAUCGUCACCGGCUGUCUCUCUUAAAUUUAUCAUUAUCUGAAAUCCCUCCCGUAAGAGCUAUUUAUGAUGUAUGAUUUGACAUGUUUUACUUCUAAUCUUGACUACAUACUAAAAAAUUAUCACUGAAAGGAAUUGAGAAAUACAUAGGAUCUUUCCUUUAUAGCCUCUGUCUAACUUGGAAAUGAACUAAUUUUCCUAUAAAAACAAAGUAAUUAAAUCCUUGAAGCAGAUAUUAGUGUAGGCGGAGAUUGAAUGCAAAGGAGAACCAUUAUCAAAUGAAGGAACCUCUCAAAUUUAACCCAGAGCCAUUCAAUCGCUGGUCAUGUUCCUUGACAAGAAUCGGUUCACCUACUUGUCUUCCAUUAUAUGAUUCGUUUUAAUGGCUUUCCGUACUCUAGUGUUUCCACACCUCAAUCAAAAUAUUGUCUUCCAUUAUCAAAUGAAGACAUUAUCAAAUGAAGGAACCCCUCAAAUUUAACCCAGAGCCAUUCAAUCGUUGGUACUGUUCCUUGACAAGAAUCGGUUCACCUACUUGUCUUCCAUUAUAUGAUUCGUUUUAAUGGCUUUCCAUACUCUCAAGUGUUUCCACACCUCAAACAAAAUAUUGGUAAGUCAUCUUUACUUUACAGUCGACAAUACUAUUCAUCACCCCCCUAGGGUAAUUUUAGGAAUAAAAAACACAACUUUCAAAUAUCAGUCCUAAUAGUUUGGGUAGAUAUAUAUGUUUUUUCUAACCCAAAACUUCAUUUUAACCCCUUCAAGGUUUUGUUUAUGUCGAGCCAAACUCCGUUGGGCACAGAUUGGGCCUCCGUAUGCAGCCCCAUCGAAGCUUCCUUAUGCAUUUGGGUUUGUUACAAGGCAUUGCACUAGAUGACCAAGAAAAUCAAUCAUCACAUGGUCUUUCUUGGGGGGUUGAAAAUUCAAUCCGCCAAUUAUGCUAGAAACUGGACUCUCAACUCCAAACCAACACAAACAUACAAAAACAGCCGACCCACACUCCUCAGCCGACAUCAAUGUUAAUCCUACACUACUACGUAAAAUGUUGAACUCAAUUAUUUAUUAGUAUCGAGUGAUUAAAGAGGAAAAAUAUCACCCUCAUAACCAAACUUCAAACUGGACCUGGGUUACUUUUAUGUCGGUGCUUAGUUAAAGCGUCAAACCCCACCAGACUGGUCAAUUAAAGUUUACUAAAGAAUAUAUUUAACUAUCCUCUAAAUCUUUCAAUUAAUUGAUCCCAACGAAAAACUAGGCACGUAAUUACUUUCAGAAUUUUUAGCCGUAGGCCAUGUACGAAAACUGUUUUGUAAUGAGUAGAUCUACAGAGAGGAAGACCAAGUCCAAGAGAUGCCCAAUUUCAAAUUUUCAAGUUCUUCCCAGCAUGUGCUUUGAUUUAACCUACAGCGAAAGGGCAUAUGCCAAAACUGAAAAAUCCAACAUGGCCAACUAAGGUGGCUUCGAUAGACAUUUCUACCUAGAGAAAAAAAGAAAAGAGUUCCACGAUUAGCAUAAAUAUGGAGUGCUACUCCACCAAGAGAGAGCACCAAAUCAGGCUUAACCAGUUCCAAACACAGAGGUUCCUUGGUUUGUGUCUCAACACAUCCAAAUUAAGCUAUGGCUUCCCUCUCCUUGUUUUCCUUAUUCUGUAUGUUUUCGUUUCUAUUGGGGAUGGCACAUGCACAGCUAUCUUCCGACUACUACUCAAGUUCAUGCCCUAGCGCUCUGUCUACCAUUCAAACUGCAGUAAACAAUGCAGUGGCUGACGAGUCCCGCAUGGGGGCCUCACUGCUCCGCCUUCAUUUCCAUGAUUGCUUUGUAUUGGCAAGUCUUUCUCCACAUAUAUUUAGCUCCAUUUUUCUGGAUAUUCUGUUUUUUACUACUUGUUCUGGUUGCUUCUGACCAGCUCUCCAAUUUAGGUUUGAAAUCCAGAAGUCAACCGGAUCAUUUGGUACUGGUUGAGCUUUAAGAUGUUAAUAAACCUCAGUCAAUCCCUUCAUAAAGAGAAAAAUAUUAGUAACAUGCAUGCACACAUACAGCUGUUUGACAGGAAAAUGCGUACUAACAACAUCUUCAUGUAUAAAUUCAACAGGGAUGUGAUGCUUCUAUAUUAUUGGAUGACACUGCAAACUUUACUGGAGAGAAGACAGCAGGACCAAAUAAUAACUCUGUGAGAGGAUAUGAUGUGAUCGACACCAUUAAAUCUCAAAUGGAAAGCUUGUGCCCUGGAGUUGUUUCUUGUGCAGAUAUUGUAGCUGUGGCAGCUCGUGACUCUGUUGUUGCUGUAAGAGACCAACUUCCUUCGCAACUACUACGUAUAUAAUCAUUAAUCAUAACCUUGCAGUUUAUAAUGGGGUUCAGAAAUAUAAUAAUCUGUCUUUCGUAUUCUCCAAACACAAUUAUUUUAGAGUAUUUCUGGCCAGGCUUCAUUAACCAUCACAGAACCCUCAUCAUGGCCAAACUUUUAAUUAACAUGGGUGCACGCUAAAACAUGGCUCCGUAUACCGUUGUCCUGCUGAAUUACGAUAAAACUCAUCCCAAAAAAUCUUGAUGGUUCUAUUAAAGAUUAAUAGGCUAAGACACUUCAAAUAAUUAGUUCAUUAACUAAAUAUUGUUGUUGAUUGAUUAUGGGUUUUUUCAGUUGGGUGGCCCAACAUGGACUGUGCAAUUGGGCAGAAGAGAUUCAACCACGGCGAGUUUUAGUACUGCUAACUCUGACCUCCCUGCUCCGACCUCAGAUCUUGAUGCUCUUAUAUCUCUCUUCUCCAACAAGGGCUUCACUACCCAGGAAAUGGUGGUUCUCUCAGGUAUACUAUGGCAUUUGGUAGCACAAAUAAUUAGAAAUUUGAUAAAAAUAGUUUUUUUUUUUAAUAUAAAAAAAUGAUAUCGUACUUCAAGAGUGGUUUUCAUUUCCGUUGCCAAAUGGGCCCUAUAUAUAUCACCAUUGUAUUUAUUAUGGAAAAUUCCUCAUAAUUUGUUAUAUGUGUGGGUUUUUUUUUAUCUUUCAGGAACUCAUACCAUAGGCAAAGCACAAUGCUCAAAAUUUCGGGAUCGAAUUUACAACGAGACCAACAUCGAUGCAACAUUUGCAACAUCAAAACAGGCAAUCUGCCCAAGCUCAGGUGGAGAUGAGAAUCUGUCUGAUCUGGAUGAAACGACUACUGUUUUCGAUAAUGUUUAUUUCACGAAUUUGAUAGAGAAGAAGGGUCUGUUGCACUCAGACCAACAACUCUACAAUGGUAACUCCACAGAUUCCAUGGUUGAAACCUACAGCAACGACUCUACCACUUUCUUUACCGAUGUGGCCAGCGCCAUGGUUAAAAUGGGAAACUUGAGUCCCCUAACCGGUACUGACGGAGAGAUCAGGACAAACUGCAGGGCAAUAAACGGAUAAAUUUAAAUGUCUUUAAAGUUGUACUUCAGUUAAUAUCUGGGAGUAGCUUAUCACAAAGUGAUUUGAGAUAUAUAUCUUGUUUAUGGCAUUUGUAUUUUGCUCAUCAACUUAAAGGUUCAUCUCAAAUAAAGUUUUUAGUUGGUUUUGGAUCUACUGCAAAAAUUAAAUUUCUUUGCAUGCGACAUACUUUGUGCACCAUAAAUUUGAAUGAUUUAAAGUAUUUUCGUACCCAUUUGAUUACCACUAAAUUAUAGCAAAAUUUCACAAAAGACUUUCAUAGCCAAGCCAAUCAGCAGGCCUUCAGAGGGAUUGGAUGGACAGUUAGCAGUUUGAAUUUUUGAAGCAUCAAAUCCAGACUUUUCUACGCACUUUAACUAAGCCUAUUAAAAGUGUUCUCCCUGGCCCCACCUUAAACCUCAGUCAGCUUGUAUCUGCCUUCUCCAAUAAGGGCUUCACUACCAAGGAAACGGUGGUUCUCUCAGGUGUAAUAUUAGAAAAUUGAUAAAAUAGUACGUUUGUUGUUUUAUUUUUUAUUUUUUAAAAAAAUGAUAUCAAAUUUCAACGGUGGUCCGUAAGGUUUCAUUUCCGUUGUCAAAUGGGCCCUCUAUGUGUAUUUCACCAAUAUCCUUGACUGUUGAUACUAUCCUUCUUUUUUUCCGAACUAAAGGCAUCACCGUUAUUCGAAUAGAGUGGAAAAGAGAAGUCAGCUAGUGAUGACACUUUUCUUCUAUGGUAUCUAAAAGCCAUUCACUUUACAAGUCAAGUAUAAUAUUGUUAGUUUUGUAGAAGAACUUAUCCACGAUAGACGAGUUUAGACCCAAGGAUCUGCCCAAGAUCGGGUGGAGAUGAUAAUCUAUCUCCUCUAGAUAAAACUACUACUGUUUUUUAUUAUGCUUAUUUCAGGGAUUUGAAGGAAAAGAAGGGUCUGUUGCACUCAGACCAGCAACUCUACAAUGAUGGCUCCACAGAUUCCAUAGUCGAAAGCUACAGCAUCAACUCUGCCACUUUCUUUAGGGAUGUGACCAACGCCAUGGUUUUAGAUGGGAAAUCUUAGUCCUUCAACCGGAACUAACGGAGAGAUUAGGACCGACUGCAGGAAAGUCAAUGGAUCCUAGUCAGUUUAUGCCUUUUAUUUCUUUCUCGUUUUAAUAUACUACAAUUAAUAAUUGGAAGUAGCUUGUCACAAAGUAAUUAAUUAAGGAAAUUUGUCUAGUUUAUGGUAUCUAUACUUGUUCGUCAACUUAAAAAUUUAUGUUAAAUAAAGCUUUUAGUCGGUUUUGGAUCUAUUGCAAAAGUUAAAUUUCUGUACCAUCAAUCAUGGGCACCAUAAUUUUGAAUGGUUAACGUUAUUAGAUUACAAGAAAAGGUUUUAAAUCAUUCUAAGCCCAUCAGAAGACCUCUAAAGGGGUAAGAUGGACAAGCAACACUUUGAAUUUGGAAGCCUCGAAUGCAGACUUUCUAUGCAUGCAUGCAUGCAAUAAAUAAACCUAUCUACCAAAGUCGUUGGCUCCCCGGUCUCAAUUUGCCAGCAACAUAAACAAAGGGUGAUGAGUCAUUAUUGAUACUUUUUGACUUAUGGCCCAUAUAAUAAUGAAAGUAUGAAUAAAGUACUUGAUAAUAGUGAUGAUGUGAAAGCUGCCUCUUCCGUCUAUUCAACCCUAGCAAAUAAUGUAGCCCCAAGUCGCUAACAAAACAGUUCGGCCUUAAUUAAUAGGCCGGUCGGCAUUGUUGCAUUAUGCAACAUGCCUUUUUGAGCUUGUAACGAAGAUGUGUUCAUAGAUCUAACUCCUACAGCUUUAAACCAUGUACAAUAAUCGAACAGGUAUCUGUCCUAAAAUUUUAACAACUAUUUAUCAUACAUAACUCCUAAGUUAGUAAUAUAAUUUGUUUUAUAGUUCCAAUCCCUUUCUUUUAUUUUUAAUUUUUGACUAUUUUUUAGAAUAAGAGUGGGGGAUAUUUUUUAUUCUGUUCUCUCUGUUUCAUAAUAAAAAAUUUAAAAAUUCUUCGAAUUUAUUUUCAAUAAUCAUUCUAUUUUAGAGCAAGAUUUUACAAAAUCCUUUUUUGAAUAAAAAUAAUAAUUAAACAUGUCUUUUUUUACUUAAAAACUGUUUCAAGAACAGUUGAAAAGAAGUCAGACUUUUUCUACUUUCCUUUUUAUUUUUUUUGGGUAAAUUAUUCAAUUAGAUAUGACUUUUAAUUUUUUUAUUCAUAAUCUUAAAAAAAUAAAAAGGUGAUACUCGUUUCUUGGGCUGGUACCCACCUAAUUAAUAUGAAUUUUUCUGAGUCAAAAUCAUGUCAGAUGGGCUCAAUUAAAAAUUUAAAACUUCAACCUAACCUAACCCAACCUAUAUAAAAUAUAACAAAAAUCCAAUAUGAUAGCAAGUCACGUCGAUUUAGGAACCAACACAGAAAAGCCCAAAGUUAGGUUUUUGAAAAACGAAAAUCUGUUCUAACUUAUAAGCUUGACCGUAAAUUGUUAACAUUGUACAUGCAAUUUUUUUUUUUAAAUUAGUGUACCUAAAUAGGCGGUUAGAAACGAAACAGUGGUAAUUGUUUUAUAUCAUAUUUCUGAAAAACAAUUUUUGAAAACUCUUUAUCUAAAUUUUAAAAUGUAAAAAUUUGUUUGAAAAACUAAAAUAUUUUAAAUCUAUUUUUAAUAUUUUUAAAAAUAAUUUUUAUAUGUAAUGUUUUAUUUUUAAUAAUUUUAUAUACUUAUAUAAUUAUUUUUAAAAAUAAUUAUAAAAAAUAAGUAAAAAUAAUAAAAAAAUAUUUUUUUGAAAGUAUUUUUUUUUAAGAGUAAAAAACAUAAAAUAGUUUUUUAUUAUCAAAUAUGUUUUUUUAAUUUUUUAUUUAAAAAAAUAAAAAAUAUUUUAAAAAACAGUUAUCAAACAUAUCCAUAACCUUCUUUUUACAAAUUACUUAAUUUUAAGAUUCAUUUCCUUACAAGGAUCAAGAGUUUAUUUCAUGCUAUGAUUUAAAUUCAGUUUUCAUUCUUAAAAAUUUAUAGUAUUAUGUGUCAUUUUUUUUUAAAACAAUUUUUAAAAAAGAGAAUAGUUUUAAACUAGAAGUAGAAAUGAUUUUCAUCUAUUAAAAAAUAAAAUAAAAUGUAAAGAAAUAAAUGAGUUUUGUAAAAAAAUUAAACUUAGGUUAGGUAUAAUUUUGUUUUGCCUCUCAUCUUCUAAUACAUAAUAUUAAAUAAAAAAAUAUUUUUCUUUUCAUAAAAUAAAUUAUAAAAUGUAUAAUAUUUUAUAAAUCAUAUUUACUCUUAUAUAAUUUAAAAUUUUAAAAAUAAGGUGAAACCAGUAUGAAAAUUCUCCAUAUUCACUCUACUCCGCUGUGUUCAUUUUUUUUUUUCUUAAUUUUUUAGGUAUGUAAAUAAAGAGUACAAUCCCUAUUACUCGCAACCGAUAAAAAUAUAUCCACUUAUAAAUCAAGAUACAUUGCAUUCGAGAUAUAGCAAAGGUCCAAUGGGCUUUAAACAAUAACUUAUUUUCUACUUAAAACUCCUUUAUUUUUGUUGGUCCGCAAUAUUGUAAGACUAGUAGUUCAUGAGAAAAAUAAUCAACAAUUGAGACUUAUGUAUACAUGCGCUUGUUUGUAUAAUACAAUAUCAAUAAUAUGUUCCAACUACUACUUUUAUUCGAUUCCCUUAAAUCAUCAGCCACCACAUCAAAAUUUUAACCAGUUGGCUAAAUCCAUUUUGAUUUUAGUAAAAACAAACAACUUUAUUAAUUCAAUGAACGGGGAGGGGAAGUUGUCUACUGCUAGACAGACAAAAUGCUAUAGCAGGUUUUCAAUAAGCUGAUGGCGAAGACGAUUCCACAAGAACUGACAGCAUGUGCCCAUGUUAUCUUCAUUCUUUGGAAGGCAAAGUCUACUUUUGGAGCAGUAGGAGUGAGAAUUUUAGGAAAAGGACAUCGAUGUCAUCCAUAUUAUCAGUUUGUCAUGAUUUGGCUGUCUGGUCAAAAUAAUGGAGCUGGAGGCUACAAAUAUCAACGCAUGUUUUUUUUCAUCUCAAGGCUAUGAUAGAUAUUUCUGUUCUUGGCUGCAUCCGUGUAUCCCACAAAGCUAACAACUAACCAUGUUUUCAGGGGGAUAUUUCUCAGAAAGAAAAUAAAAAAAUAUUAAGUGAGGCAUACUUUUUCAGACUGGCCCAUGGAAACCACAUGGCUGAUCUUGACAAGUACUCAAUACUCAUUAAGGAAUUCAAAGUCCCGAUUGUCAGAAAUAUAGAAUAAUUAUAUUCUAUUUCAUGAUCAAAGAAUAUACAUAAGUGUCUUUAUAUACAAGGCAUAUGUGUGUGGUACAAGUAAAGUGUACUAUACAAGUAACCUAACUGGGCCUAAAGCCCAUAACAUAAUAUACUAACUGGGCCUAAAGCCCAUAACAUAAUAUACUUUAACAGCCCCCCUCAAACUCAAGGUGGAUGUGAGACCAACUUGAGGUUGUCAACUAAAUCACGAGUGCGUCUCUUAGGAAGUGACUUGGUGAAGAUAUCUGCAAGUUGAUCUUUGGAGGAGACGGAGAAAAGCUUAAGAGCACCAUGGACAAGAUGAUAACGGAUAAAAUGACAAUCAAUCUCGAUGUGUUUAGUCCGUUCAUGAAAGACAUCAUUGUGAGCAAUAUGAAUGACACUCUGGUUGUCACAAUAAAGAGGAGUAGCAGAGGAGGUGGACACACCCAAAUCCUUAAGAAGCCAUCUUAGCCAAAUGAGCUCAGAUGUGGUAUCAGCAAGGACACGAUAUUCUGCUUCAGUACUGGAGCGGGCCACAAAAGUUUGUUUCUUACUUCUCCAAGAAAUCAAAGAAGAACCAAGGAGGAAGCAAUAACCUGUAGUGGACCUGCGAUCAGUAGGAUCUCCUGCCCAAUUAGCAUCAGAGAAUGCACGGAGUACAAGAGGAGACUGAGCUAAGUAGAAAAGGCCAUGAAAAAGGGUACCCUUCAGGUAUCGAAUAAUGCGCAGAACAACAGCAUAGUGAGUUGAUCGUGGAGCAGACAAAUACUGGCUCACCUAAUGAACAACAUAGGAGAUGUCUGGACGAGUAACUGUGAGAUAAACUAAGCUGCCAACCAAUCGUCUGUAAAGAGAAGGAUUAGACAAUGGUUUCCCCCCAAGGGUGUCAGAUGCGCAUUAAGUUCAACUAGAGUGUCAACAGUCUUGUUGUCAGUGAGUCCAGCUUGAGACAACAGGUCAGAAGCAUACUUGGCUUGAGUAAUAUAAAGACCAUCUGUGGAAUGAGUAAUUUCAAGACCCAAGAAAUAGCUGAGAUGUCCAAGAUCUUUCAUCUCAAACUGCUGACUGAGAAAAUCCUUGAGUUCUUGAAUGCCACUAAGGUCAUCACCAGUUAUGAUCAUAUCAUCCACAUAUAGAAGAAGCAAAAUAGUGUCUUUAUCAGUACGACGAAGAAAUAAGGCAGAAUCAUAUGGACUAGCAGUGUAACCCAAGUGAAAAAUAGUGGAGCUGAACUUGGCAAACCAAGCUCGUGGGGCUUGUUUAAGAUCAUAAAGUGCAUGUCAAAGAUGACAAACCUUGUUUGAUUCAACAGAGAGACCAAGAGGAGGUUGCAUAUAGACUUCUUCACUCAGAUCCCCAUUAAGGAAGGCAUUUUUAACAUCCAUCUGAAAAAGAUCUCAUUUACGAGCAGUAGCAACAACUAAGAGAGCACGAACAGAUGAGAUAUGAGCAACUGGAGCAAAAGUCUUUUCAUAAUCAAUCUCAUACUCCUGUGUAAAACCUUUGGCAACAAGACUAGCCUUGUAGCGCUCAACGGAUCCAUCAGAGCGAGUCUUGAUCUUAUAGAUCCACUUACAACCAACCACAGACUGUCUAGGAGGGAGAGUAACUAGGUCCCAAGUAUGGUUUUUGGUUAAUGCAUCAAGUUCCUCUUUCAUUGCAAUCUGCCAUAAAGGGUCAGUAGAGACCUCACGAUAGGUUUGAGGCUCGUGAAGUGUAGCAAGGGCAGUGUAACAAUGAUAGUCAAGGAGGUGUGGAGGAAUGGAUCUUACUCGGGUUGAGUGGCGAGAUGGAAUGUCUUGUGGAGGAUCUUCAGGCAAAGUAGGAGCAGGGGACCCAGGCUCAAAGUGGGGUAACUCGUCAUCAAUCUGUUCAUCUGCAACCUGUCUAAGAGAAGCAUCAAAGAUAUCUGGAGAGAAGUCCAAAGGAGGAUCAAAAGUAUUUGUAGAAGGAACAAGAGACUCAUCUGGAAAGAUUUCUAAAACAGAGGAGUUAGUCAAGGAAGAACGAAAGUGAGAGAGUUCAACAAACAAUUGGUGUUCCCAAAAGACAACAUUACGAGAAACACGAAGACGAUGAGAGACAGGAUCAUAACACCUAUACCCCUUUUAAGUUUCGCCAUAACCAAGGAAACAACAGAGUCUAGAUCGAGGCUCAAGUUUGUUGUGCUCAUGAGGCUGAAGAAGAACGAAACAAGCAGAUCCAAAUGAGCGAAGGUAAUAAUAGUUAGGGGGUGACCCAAAGAGACGCUCAUACGGAGUCUGAUUAUGGAUGACAGCACUUGGAAUGCGGUUAAUUGCAUGAACGACAUGAAGACUAGCUUCACCCCAAAAUGGGGCAGAAACUUUGGCAGAAAGAAGUAGAACAUGAACAGUGUCAAGAAUAUGACAAAGUUUUCUUUCGGCUUGACCAUUUUGCUGAGAGGUACCUGGACAAGUUAGAUGAUGUAUAGUGCCAUAGGCAUGUAACAGAGCUUGAAACGCAUAUUGAGUAUAUUCAAGAGCAUUAUCAGAUCAAAAGAUUUUGAUACGUUUGGAGAAUUGAGUUUCAACCAUUUUUGCAAAAUUGCUAUAUAUUGGUAAAAUUUCGGAACGAGAUUUCAUAGGAAAAAUCCAAUUAUAACGAGAAUAAUCAUCAAUAAAAACAACAAAAUAUCGAGAUCCACCAAUACUAGCAACAGGAGAAGGUCCCCAAACAUUAGAAUGAAUUAACUCAAAAAUACUAUUAAAAAUGGAUUCACUGUUAUUAAAAGGCAAAGUUGGCUGUUUUCCUAACUGACAUGAAGUGCAAUCAAAAUUGUCUUUAGACACAGAACCCAACAGACCCCUAGACACUAACUGUUGUACCCAAGAAGAUGGUGCAUGACCAAGACGAGAAUGCCAAAGUGCAAGAAAAGGUAAGGAAGAAACUGCAGCCGUUGCAGCAACAACAGAAACAGGAGCAACAGGUGGAAGAUGAAGAUUGUUCAUGGGAAACAUGCGCCCAACUCUAGGACCGGUCCCAAGCUCCUGCCCCGUCCUUGGAUCCUGCACAAUACACCCAGAAUAGUAAAAAAUAAGGCGAUAACCUAGUUCAACUAAUUGUCCCAUAGAGCACAAAUUAUAGGAUAGGGCAGGUACGUGGAAGACUUCAGGAACAGAAAGAUUAGAGGUUGAAACAAAACCUAGACUAUUUCCAUGCAUGGUGGAACCAUCAGCUAUAUGAAUAUUUAGAGGAUGUGGUGCAGGGUCAAGGUUGGAGAACAGGGAUGAGUGAGGUGUCAUGUGAUUGCAGCAGGCAGAAUCAAAAGGCCAAGUUUGAGACUUACCAGGUAAAAUAGAUAAGGUAGUGGAAAGAGAUGCAUUACCAGCCAUACGAACAGCCUAAGCUAUGAUCUCCUAUAGUUCAGUGGAUGAGAGGUUGAUAGUAUAUCCAGAAGACUAAGACUCAGCUGAGGUGGAAGCCGUUGGCGGAGUAGGCUUAGUAUUAGCAACAACAGCAGUAGAUUUGUUACGACGGUAACAAGUCUCAAUGGUGUGUCCAGGACGCUUGCAAUAGUUGCAGAACUUCUUGUUGGUCUGCUUGCGACGAUUGCUAGAGCCAAAAAAAUCACCUAAUUGCUGAGGUUGCUCUAUGAGUGAAGUAGAUGGAGUAAUAGCCAAAACAUUGAGCUUAUUCUAGGCUUGAAGGGUUGCAAGACGAGCUUCUUUUCUAACCAACUCAUUCACAGCAGUAUCAAGAGAGGGAGCAGGACUGCAAUUUAGCAGCUGACCACGAAUGGGCUCAAAGUCCUUGUGAAGUGACAUCAGAAAUUCAUAGAGGCGAAAUUCAUCUCUGAUGGAAGCAUAUUGCUGAGCAUCUUUUGAGCAUGCCCAAGUUGGAUCAGAAAGGUCAAUUUGGUCCCAAAUGAAGCGAAGCUGAUCAUAAUAGUCAUUGAUGGAUUGCCCCGGUUCUUGCCUGAGUUGAUGCAAUUCAACCACUAACUGAUAUUUCAUGGAUCCAUGAGUAUUGGAAUACCUUUUGGUCAACAUAUCCCAUGCAGAUUUUGCAUCGUCAAAGUUGCCCAAUAGAUUGGAAAUAGAGGGAAUGGAAGUGUUCCGGAUCCAUGUGAGAAUCAUGUGGUUAUGACUAUCCCAUUCAAUCAUGCGACUAAGAAAGACAACAUCUUCUUCACUUGCUCCCUUGACAGGAAUAUUCAUUGCACCAAUACAAUAAUGUCAGAGCAUGCGACUCUUAAGAAAACUGCGCAUAGCUUGAGACCAGGGUAAGUAAUUUUUAUUCCCCUCCAAUACAAUAUUGAUGGGGCGAGGAAGAAAAACAUCAUUUUUAUCCAUUUAGAGACACAAUAUGCAAAAACCGACUGCAAAAAUGAAAUCUACACGAAAAACUGGGUAAGGAGAACCUGGACAGAAAAAGUCAACUAGAAAAGUCAACGGUCAAAGUCAACGAUCAACGGCUGGUCAACGGUCAACAACUGAAGCCAUAGGAUGACGUGGAGAUGACGUUAGCAGAUCAGUGGAUGCUGAUGCAGCUAGGGCUGACGUGGCAAAGAUGAUAACGUCAGCAAACCAGGCCCUGGCGCGUGAGAGCGUGUGAUCAACGUCACAUAAUCUUUGAGCGGCGUGUGGGGGCGCGUGCGGUCUCCGAUGGCGGCGAGGGUUCCACGAAUGUGUAGAUCGGCGCUGGACGAUCUCAGUGGUACCUUCAAAAAUGAAAUCGAAGCAAUAUUCGCAGCGGUGAUGCAAAGAGCAGUGGUUUGUGCAGUGUGAAACUCCUUAACGACGGCAGCUGCAGGUCCGGAACCCAAGGACGACGGUUGGAUGACGUCGGAGGUUCAACGGCAAGAGGCUGCGGCGGCAGUUGUGAUGGCGGAAGAGUUUAGUGAAAGAAAGAAAGUCACACUAAUGAAGACAAGAUUGUUAAGAAAAUGUCAGAGCAGUGGCUUUGAUACCAUGUUAGAAAUAUAGAAUAAUUGUAUUCUAUUUCAUGAUCAAAGAAUAUACAUCAGUGCCUUUAUAUAGGAGGCAUAUGUGUGUGGUACAAGUAAAGUGUACUAUACACGUAACCUAACUGGGCCUAAAGCCCAUAACAUAAUAUACUAACUGGGCCUAAAGCCCAUAACAUAAUAUACUUUAACACCGAUGAAGUAGAUUUCCGUAAUAUCUUCCCUGAAAAUUUCUGGAAAACCAUUCCUCAGAUGAAGCAAUAUGGAAGCCUUUGAUUUGCAAUAUCCACGUAUUCUCCCUCAGAUUGAGGGUAAUGGAGCUUGGAGAGCUAUUGACUUCAAUAAUUAUGUAAAAUGAUACUACUUCUUGGAGAGAAGACUUGGAGCUGCAUUCCACCAAGCAAGUGGGCUCAUUUCCCUAUAAUGAAAAUCGACCUUAUUUGUUUUGUUAUAUCCACCGAUCUUGACUUGAUAAGCAUCCAAGUCAAGUACUCAACAUCAUGUACCUUCGAAAAUAGGAAAAAAACAAAAUGUAAAGGACAUUACAGGGUGGGUCAAACUAUGAUUCCUUUAAUAAUUGUUAAUCAAAUCACACGAAGAAAAAUGAGACAUUUUCAGCGUGGUUUAGUAAUCAAUAGGACACCUACGUUUUCGGAGUAUACCAACACUCAAUAAUCUCGAUUAAUUAAAAUAAAUUAAAAGAAUUAUAAUAAUAAAAUUUAAAAAAAGAAUUUCAGUUAUGACCACAUGCUCUAGAAAACAAAACCCUGUGAAUAUCUUCCUCGAGUUAACAGUAAACUCUCAAGAGUUAUAAUGAAGAGUUCGACUUCCGCAAGCUGAUUGGGUAGCUCAACCCCUAAUAUCUCAAGUGAAGUGUAAUAAUGCUAAUUCAAGUUUCAUAAUCCAACAAUCUCUCACUUGAAUACUAAAAUAUAGGUAAACAAGUAAACAUCUCCCUUAAAUGAUUAAUAGGUAUGAUGCACUUAAACAACCUAUCCUCACCCUUGACCUACUAAUUGCUUUGGUCAACAUGUUAACUAGAUUCUUACUACCUUAUAUAUUUACAAGUGUUAAUACUCCAUUUUCAAGUAAAGACUUAAUGAAGUGCUAUAUGUUUAGUCCUAGAAUGAAAUGUUGAAUUCUUAGCAAAAUUUAUAACACUUUGAUUAUCACUAUCAUGCAAAACAUCCAUCAGUUGUUUGAAUCCUAACUUAGCCAACAAACUCUGCAACUAAAUCAUUUCUUUGCUAGCUUCUAUCAUAGCCACAUACCUUGCUUCAGUUGUAGAUAAAACAACAAUCUCCUGUAAUUGGGAAAUCCAACUGAUAACGAUAAUGCCCAAAGUGAAUACAUACCCUAUAGUGUUCCUUCUGAGAUCUGUCUUGCCAAAAAAAUCAGUGUCCACAUAUCCUUACAAUUUCAACUUACUCGUUCUAAAGCAUAAACACUUUUAUGUAAUACCUCAUAAGUACCUAAGUAUCCAAUUCGAUGUUUCUUAAUGUUGCUUGCCUGAAUUUGAUAUAAAUUUGCUCACAACUCCCACUACAUAGGUAAUGUCUGGUCUUCUACAUACCAUAGCAUACAUCAAACUUCCAAUGGUCGAAGUAUAUGAGACCUUAGCCAUGAAGUCUUUUUCCUCAUUUGUUCAUGGGCAAUGCUCCUUACACAACUUAAAAUGAUUUGCUAAUGGUAUUCUAACUGUCUUAGCAUAACUCAUGUUGAAUCUCUACAAUACCUUACGAAUACACUUAGCAUGAUAUAACCAUAAGGUGCCCAUUUGUUUGUCUUUACUAUUCGUCAUCCCAAGUAUACGUUUUGCUACACUCAAGUCCUUCAUUUCAAACUCAUUGGACAACUGUUGCUUCUUCAACUUGUUGAUUUCAUCUAAAUAUGUGUCAACUACUAACAUGUCAUAAACAUAAAGUAGCAAAAUGAUAUAGUUAGAACCAAUCUUCCUGAAGUAACAACAAUGGUCUACAUUGCACUUGAGAUACCCAUUAUUUUGCAUGAAAUUGUUAAACCUUUUAUAUUACUGUCUCGAAGCUUGUUUUAAACCAUAUAGACUCUUAGUUAAUCUGCAUAUCAAAUUCUCUUUACAUUUCACUACAAAUCCUUUUGACUGUUGCAUAUAUAUUCCCUCUUCCAAAUCACCAUGGAAGAAAACCGUCUUCACAUCUAAAUGUUCAAGAUGUAGACCUUUUGCUACUACAAUACUCAAAACAGAUUGAAUAGUAUUCAAUUUCACAACUGGAGAGAAGAUGUCUAUGUAGUCAAUCAUUUCUUUUUGCUGAAACCUUUUAACCACCGAUCUAACCUUAUAUCUCUUAGAACCAUCAUGGUUAUAUUUGAUUCGAUACACCCAAUUAUUAUGAAAAGCUUUUUUACCCAUUGGUAACUCCACUAGCUUCCAAGUCUGAUUAAAAAUAAGAGAUUUCAUUUCCUUUUUCAUUGCAAGCUCCCCUUGCUAUUAUGUUCCACCUGACAUGCUUCAUCAUAACAUUCAGGGUCACCUCCAUAUUUCAAUAGCAAAUAAUUCAAAUACUUCUUGUUUGGUACAUGUGGCAUGUUGGAUCUCCUUAAUGUAAGAACUACGGCUAGAUCCUGUGGUAUAUGAUCAACAUCAUAUGCAAUGUUUUCUUCAAUUUGAUUAUUCUAACCUGUCUUAUCUACCAUACUACAUUAGGAUAUCAUCUAAGCUCAAAGUAAACAGGUUUGGGUUAUAUCAGUCUAAUGGACUAUGUUGCAUCUCUAUCUUUAUACAAAACUUUCUCAUUGAAUAUAACAUCCUUACUUUUAAUCACUUUCUUAUUUUAUUCAUCCCAAAACUUAUAACCAAAAUCAUCAACACCAUAACCCAAGAACAGGUCUACCACAACACACAAAAUGUACAUGGUCAGAAAGAAAAUCAAUCAUCACAGGGUCUUUCUUGGGGGGUUGAAAAUUCAAUCCGCCUAUCAUGCAAGAAACUGGAUUCUCAACUCCAAACCAACAAAACAAACAAAAACAGCCAACCCACACUCAGCCGUCACUCUUCUCAUUUAAUUUCUUCCUCCAUUUUACUUUUUCAAUGUUAAUCCUACGCUAGUACGUAAAAUGUUGAACUCAAUUAUUUAUUAGUAUCAAGUGAUUAAAGAGGAAAAAAUAUCACCCUCAUACCCAAACUUCAAACUGGACCUGGGUUACUUUUUUUGUCGAUGCUUAGUUGAAGCGUCAAACCCCAACAGACUGGUGAAUUAAAGCUUACUAAGGAAUAUGGUAAACCAUCCUCUAAAUCUUUCAAUUAAUUGAUCCCAAUAAAAAACUAGGCACGUAAUUACUUCCUGAAUUUUUAGCCGUAGGUCAUUUACGAAAACUGUUUUGUAAUGAAUAGAUCUACAGAGAGGAAGACCAAGUCCAAGAGAUGCCCAAUUUCAAGUUCUCUUUCCCAGCAUGCGCUUUAAUUUAACCUACACCGAAACGGCACAUGCAAAAAAAUCCAACAUGGCCAACUAAGGUGGCUUCAACAGUAGACAUUUCUACGUAGACAGAAAAAGAAAAGAGUUCCACGAUUAGCAUAAAUAUGGAGUGCUACUCCACCAAGAGAGAACACCAAAUCGGGCUUAACCAGUUCCAAAUACAAAGGUUCCUUGGUUUUUGUCUCGACACAUCCAAAUUAAGCCAUGGCUUCCCUAUCCUUGUUUUCCUUUUUCUGUAUGUUUUCGUUUCUACUGGGGAUGGCACAUGCACAGCUCUCCCCCAACUUCUAUGCAAGUUCAUGUCCUAGGGCUCUCUCUACCAUUCGAACUGCAGUAAACAAUGCAGUGGCCAAAGAGCGCCGCAUGGGGGCCUCAUUGCUCCGCCUUCAUUUCCAUGAUUGUUUUGUAUUGGCAAGUCCUCCACAUAUAUAGAACUCCUUUUUUCUGGAUAUUCUGUUUUUCAUUACUUGUUCUGGUUGCUUCUGACUAGCUCUGCAACUUAGGUUUGAAAUCCAGAAGUCAACCAGGAUCAUUUGGCACUGGUUGAACUUUAAGAUGUUAAUAAACCUCAAUUAAUCCCUACAUACAUGAGAGGGAGAGGAAAAUAUUAGUAACAUGCAUGCAUACAUAUAGCUGUUUGACAGGAAAAUGCGUACUAAUAACAUCUUCAUGUAUAAAUUCAACAGGGAUGUGAUGCUUCUAUAUUAUUGGAUGACACUGCAAACUUUACUGGAGAGAAGACAGCAGGACCAAAUAAUAACUCUUUGAGAGGAUAUGAUGUGAUCGACACCAUUAAAUCUCAAAUGGAAAGCUUGUGCCCUGGAGUUGUUUCUUGUGCAGAUAUUGUAGCUGUGGCAGCUCGUGACUCUGUUGUUGCUGUAAGAGACUAACGUCCUUCACAACUACCAUAUAUAUAGCCAUUAAUCAUAACCUUGCAGUUUAUAAUGGGGUUCAGAGAUAUAAUAAUCCAUCUUUCCUAUUCUACAAACAUCAUUAUUUUAGACUAUUUCUGGCCAGGUUUCAUUAACCACCAUAGAACCCUCAUCAUGGCCAAACUUUUAAUUAACAUGGGUGCACGAUAAAACAUAGCUCCGUAUACCGGUGUUCUGCUGAACUACGAUAAAAAUCAUCCCAAAAAAUCAUGAUGGUUCUAUUAAAGAUUAAUGGGCUAAGACACUUCAAAUAAUUAGUUAAUUAACUAAAUAUUGUUGUUGAUUGAUUACGGGUUUUUUUCAGUUGGGUGGCCCAACAUGGACUGUGCAAAUGGGCAGAAGAGAUUCAACCACGGCGAGCUUAAGUACUGCUAACGCUGACCUCCCUGCCCCGACCUCAGAUCUUGAUGUUCUUACAUCUCUCUUCUCCAACAAGGGCUUCACUACCCAGGAAAUGGUGGCUCUCUCAGGUAUACUAUGGCAUUUGGUAGCAGAAAUAAGUAGAAAAUUGAUAAAAAUAGUUUUUUUUUUAAAUAUAAGAAAAUGAUAUCGUACUUCAAGAGUGGUUUUCAUUUCUGUUGCCAAAUGGGCCCCAUAUAUACAUCAUUGUAUUUAUUAUGCAAAAUUCCUCAUAAUUUGUUAUAUGUGGUUUUUUUUUUAAUUAUUAUUAUUAUUUUUGCCUUUUAGGAACUCAUACCAUAGGUAAAGCACAAUGCAUAAAAUUUCGGUAUCGAAUUUACAACGAGACCAACGUCGAUGCUGCAUUUGCAAAAUCAAAACAGAAAAUCUGCCCAUGGACAGGCGGGGAUGAGAAUCUGUCUGAUCUGGAUGAAACGACUACUGUUUUCGAUACUGUUUAUUUCAAGGAUUUGAUAGAGAAGAAGGGUCUGUUGCACUCAGACCAACAACUUUACAAUGGUAACUCCACAGAUUCCAUGGUCGAAACCUACAGCACCGACUCUACCACUUUCUUUACCGAUGUGGCCAACGCCAUGGUUAAAAUGGGAAACUUGAGUCCCCUGACCGGCACUGAUGGAGAGAUCAGGACAAACUGCAGGAAAAUCAAUGGAUAAAUUUAAAUGUCUUUAAAGUUGUACUUCAGUUAAUAUUUGGGAGUAGCUUAUCACAAAGUGAUUUGCGACAUAUAUCUUGUUUACGGUAUUUGUAUUUGCUCAUCAACUUAAAUGUUUAUCUCAAAUAAAGUUUUUAGUUGGUUUUGGAUCUACUACAAAAAUUAAAUUUCUUUACAUGCGACAUACUUUGUGCACCAUAAAUUUGAAUGAUUUAAAUUAUUUUCGUACUCAUUUGAUUAAAACUAAAUUAUAAGAAAAUUUCACAAAAGACUUUGCAAGAAAAGGUCAUAAAUCAUAGCCAAGCAAAUAAGCAGGCCUUCACAGGGAUUGGAUGGACAGUUGGCAGUCAUAUGUGUAUAUAUAUAUAUAUAUAUACACAUAUAUGUCUCUUAUGAUAAUAAUAGUACGAAUAAGAUUGAUGGUGACAGUGUGAAAGCUUUGUCUUUUAUCUGCCCAAUAAACCCUAGUGAAUAAUGCAACCUAAUGUUGUAUCUAGGUUUUGCUAACAAAACUAUGCAAGCUCAACGGACCCACUACAUUUGGUGUAUCGUGCAGCAUACUGUUCUGGGCCUCUGUCUUCUUAAUUGGGCGUCUCCUGUAAAUUUAUUAUUUUUUGAAAUUCAUUCAGUAAGAGCUAAGUUUUAUAUAUAAUUUGACAUAUUUUAUUUUUAAUUUGACUUCACUCUCUGAAAAUUAAUAUUCCUAAAGUUCGAUAAAAUGGAAUGACAGUCAAGAUUAGAAUGGGGGAGGAUGAGAAAAUGACAAAGUAAUGCUUCUAUUUUUAUUUCUUUAGAAGAAAAAUUACAUUACACUUCUGUAGCUUAUAUGUUUAAGUAGUUGUUGAUGCCUAUAACUAACUUGAGGGACUAGUUUUAACAGAAGUGAUCAGUUGAAAUUGGAAACUAACUCAACUGAGUUCACUAACAGCCCUCCUCAAACUUAGGGUGGACUUGGGUUGACACUCAGUUUGGCACGCAUGGUGAGGAAUCUAGAGUUAGGAAUUGCCUUGGUGAAGACAUUUGGUAACUGAUUAGAGAAACGAACAUGAUGGAUGUGGAUUUGUUUCUGAAGAACUUUUUCUCAAACAAAAUAAAGAUCAAUUUUGAUAUGCUUAGUAUGAGCAUGAAGAACAAGAUUAACUUAGAGGUAUACUGUGUUGAGUUGUCACACUAGAUGAUCGGAGUUCUGGAUGAAGAUAUGUUCAAUUCUUUGAGGAAAGAUUGCAACCAAGAAAUUUCAGCAACUAAGGUAGCUACACUCCGAUAUUCCACCUCAAUGGAAGAUUUAGAGAUUGUAUGUUGCUUUCGGGAGUGCUAGGAAACCAAGUUUUGACCAAAAAAGAGGCAGUAUCCUGAUGUGAAGUGGUGAUCAUCAACAUUUGAGGCCCAAUCAACAUCAUAGAAUGCUGUUAAGUUGAGGUGUGAGCUGGAGCAAUAUUGGAGAUGGAGUCCAUGCUGAAGAGUACCAACUAGAUAGUGUAGGAUUCUCUUCAUAGCUUUCCAAUGAGUAGUAAGAGGAGCUUGCAUGAAGUGGCAAACUCGGUUGACACUAUAGGUGAUAUCUAGACAUGUGAUGGUGGCAUAUUAGAGGGCACCAACAAUGCUUUUAUAGAGUUGAGUGUUGCUGAAUGGAGCACUUCCAAAGUUAGAUAGGGACUAGUUAGAUACCAUAGGUGUGGGAAUUGGCUUGACAUGAAGCAUAUUGGUUUUUUAAAGUAGAUUGGAGAUAUACUUGGCCUGUGACAAGUGCAUUCUAGUACAUGUAUGCUUGACUUGGAUAUCUAGAAAGUAAUCAAUAUCUCAAAGAUCCUUGAGGGCAAAUUGGUUGUUAAGCUAAGUGAUCACAUGUUGAACAAACUGAUCAUUGUUGCGUAUGAUAAGAAUAUCAUCCACAUUUACUAGAGUGUAAGUGGAGUGAGUAGGUGUGAUGUUGAUAAAUAGGGAUUGAUCGAAUUUAGUUGAUGAGAAACCAAGAGUGUCAAGUGCUUGUUGUAGCUUUUUGAACCAAGCUUUAGGGGCCUAUUUGAGGCCAUAAAGAUAUUCAUUUAGCUUGCAGACAUAGUUCGGGUUAAGAGGGUCGAUAAAGCCUUCAAGUUGAUGCAUGAAUAUUUCUUCAUGAAGGUUGCCAUUGAGAAAUGUGUUAUUAACAUCUAGUUGUCAAACUUUCCAUUGAGAAAGACAGUGGUGAGAACAAUGCGAAUGGUAGUCGAUUUGACAAUCAGACUAAAGGUUUCCUUAAAGUCAAGUCUAGCUAUUUGAUGAAAGCCCUUGUCAACUAAACAGCCUUUGUAUUUGUUUAUAGUUCCAUUGGGAUUCUCCUUGACUUUGAACACCGAUUUGCAGCCGAUCAAUUUGCGAUUAAUGGGGGGGGGGGCAAGAUUCCAAGUAUUGUUUCAAAGGAGAGCAAGAUAUUCAUCAGCCAUGGUCUGUUUCUAAUGGCUAAGUUAGAGAACUUCAAGGAUUGAAGUGGGAAUGGUAGAAAUAAGAUAAGCCUUUGGUUUAAAAAUGUCAUUCUUGGAUCGAGUGAUCAUAGGAUGGGUAGGAAAAGGAGAGAAAGUGAUGCUACAUUUUGGUUAGAGGUGGCAGGAGGUAUUGGUGGGUUGGUUGGAGAAGAGGUUGAAGAAAGGAGAAUCAUUAGUGGAAAAGAGGUUUGACAAGGAAUGGAAGUGGAUGAAGAGCUGAAAGAAGAAGUUACCUGUUCUUUGGACUGCAAUUUAGCAAAUAAGAAGGUAUGUUCAUCAAAGAUAACAUCACGGGAUAUCAAUAUGUUACCAUAAGAGAAGCUUAAACUGAGCCAACCAGUUGAGAAUCGAUCAAAUCAAUUGCUUUUUCUUGAUCAAGGACCAAUCAAGUGUGCAAAAAAAUUCUCUUUUUUCUAGGAAGUUUUCAUACCUGAUUUAGGCUACAUUUUUCCUAAUUGAGGUAUAGUCGAGGCCCAGUCGAAUUUAAACAAAGACUAAUGAUCACCUACUAUGCAUUUAUUAUCCAAUGACUAGUGAACCAAUCAAAUUGGAGCUCGACCAAUCAAGGCUUAUUUAUGUUUUUUUAGGUGUCCAACGUUAAAAACUUAUAAAUAGAAAACUCGUAUGCAUUUAUUAAUAAGAGAACACUUACAUUGGAUUGUCCAUCUACCAUUUUCUCUCUUUCAAAGCUCUUAUUCAUUUCUGUAUUAAUCUUUCACUUACAAAUCAUUCUUAGUGCACCCUUUGUAUUCAUCCUCCAUUUUUCUGUACUUAUUCAUUUAUUGAGCCAGGAUUAAGUAAAGUUAAAACCUAAAUUUCCUUUAGAAAUGUUGAGUGUUAAAGCUUCAAGUUAAGAUUAAACUUGAAGAGCUUAGUUGUACGUGCCCAUUAGAAGCAUUGAAUCCAAGUCAUGUAAGAGUUGAAGCUUGGGUUAGAAGCCUUGAUCUAGUAGAACUCUUGAAAGGAAAUUGAAAAGAGUGGACAUAAGUAAAAAUUAUCAAACCAUUAUAAAAAUCAAGUUUAGAUUUUUUUAUCUCUAUCUCUUUACAUUCAUUUAGUGCGCUAAUUGAAAAAAUUUUAAAUUCCAAUUCCCUCCUCAAUGUUGUGUUUGACUCAAUUGACCAUGUUUUACAAAUCUCUUAAACCGAUUAAAUGUAAUAGUUAAUUUUGGUUUUCAUUUCUUCAAUCAAAAACACAUAUCCAUCUUUUAGAUUCGACUAUUAGAUUUGUUAACAAUAAAGAUUAAACUAAAUUAGAAACCAAUUAAAUGUAAUAGUUAAUUUUAGUUUUCAUUUCUUCAAUCAAAAACUCAUAUCCAUCUUUUAGAUUCAACUAUUAGAUUUGUUAACAAUAAAGAUUAAACUAAAUUAGAAACCAAUUAAAUGUAACAACUAAUUUUGGUUUUCAUUUCUUCAAUCAAAAACUCAUAUCCAUCUUUUAGAUUCGACUAUUAGAUUUGUUAACAAUAAAGAUUAAACUAAAUUAGACAAUAAUCCCCAAGAAUCACUAAUACCUAGUAAGAAUCCUCCAUACCUUAUUUGAGGUAAACUAACAAAGAGGAUUUAUUCCUAUCAAUUUAAAGUUGAAAACACAAUUAAAUUAUUUCAUACACUAUUGUUUUUUAUGACACUGCCUUUGGAUUCUUCACUUUCAUGUUAACAUCUUUGGAUCACACCAAGUUAGCCAAACAUCGUGGAUGAUUUUUCCUUGAAACCCAUGUUUGAUUGCCCAGAAAAUAAAAUAAAAAGAAUUAAAAAAUAAAACUUUUAUUCAAUAUAAUUUUAAAAGAAGUGAUCAAUCUCUCUCCUUACUUCCCGCAUCGCAAAAACCUUAAAACAAAGUAUAUAUAUAUAUAUAUAUAUAUAUUAUUUAACUUAUAAAUAAUCUCUUGUAAAAGUGUUUAUAACUCACCAUAACUAAAUAUGAAUCUCAUUUGACUAACCAAAAUAGCACAAAAGGAUUUUUUUAAAAGAAAACAAUGAAGAAAUUGGGGUAUCAAUGCCUCGGGUACUUGAGCUAUGAUUCACUGUAUUGUCUAACUAGAGCCAAGAUUUUAUGACAACCCAAAACUCGGAUCGGACAAUUGGGUAGGUGUAUCGUGUAUGCAGCCCCAUAGCCAAUUCAUUCUUUAUUUAGGUUUGUUUUACAAGGCAUGACACAUAGCAAGCAAGAAAAUCAAACCCCUACGAUUUGUCAGUCAUCACAUGCCCUCUCAUGUAGGGUUGAAAAUUGAAUCCGCCUAUUAUGUGUGAAACUGGACCUCGCAUGUGCUUUUAAUGCUGCCUCGAUGAUUUUUUUAGCAUUACGAAUUCAACAACUAACUCAAUUUUUAAUUACAUUUUGCGCAUUGACCUUCUUGUUUGCGUUACGGUACCAGUUUAUACUCCCUUGGUAGAUGUUCUGAAGUUUCAUGUCAUGUAGAUGAGGAUCAGACAUUGUUCACCUUCCUCAAAAUGUAUUGACGUACUAUGAUAUUAUAAAAUCCAUUAAUUAUUUUUUAAAGAAGGCAAAUUAUAUCAUUUUUAUCACUUAUAUGUCAAUUUUAUUGAAACUUCGUAAAUUUUAGAUUGUGUUCGGUUCCAAAAAGUGUUAAGAAGAGAAAAAAUAAUAAUUUUAUCAUGUUUGAUUAUCCUAUAUAAAAUAAAAAAUAUAUAAUUAAAAUUUUAAAUAUUUUCAAAUUAUUUAAAUUUUAUAUUAGAAAGUUAAAAUAAGUUAAAUGAUUUAAAAUAGGCUUUUAUUUUUAUUUUUAUUUUAUUUUUUCUUUUAUUUUUCUUUUUAUUUUCUUUUCCUCGUAUUUUUUGAACCAAACAUAAUUUAAUGUAAUGACAUACAUAUUAGUAACUUGAAUGGGAGAAUUAAGAAGCCAAAGGGUUAAGGAUGUGAAUGCAACUAAGCCGAUUUAAAUUGCAGCAUCAGUCAAAGAAUUAAGUUGUUAAUUAAAUUUUUGAUAACUCGUCAAUUGCUUCCUAAAUGCGAAACCUAUGUCUUACAAUAAAAUUUACCUUACUUAAUACUAUAAUAAUAUGAUCAUCAUUUCCAGGAAAAAAUAAUUAUAUAUAUAUAUAUAUAUAUAUAUGUUCUGAAAUGUUCCUGGCAGGGGACAUCACCCUUACCCCCAAGUUGCUGUUUUAUAUAUGGAGCUUUAAAAUAUUCAUCAUGUUUUAGUGUUUGAAAUGCACAUUAAUCACAAUUUGGUCACGAGAUACGAGUUUAAUUAAUUGAAAAUUUGGGAUGGGAAUGAGCAUUUGGGUUUCAUCAAUACUUGAGUCAAAUUAGUAUCAUGGCUCCCGCUACAUGCCCUUGUAUCAGUCGCCACCUGCUGCUGAUCCAGGAUGAUGAAAAAAUUCUAUGGAUGUGACGAGAAUAUUUUGAAGUGUUUUCUUGCAUGAAAUGAUGUCAAUGCGCCAUUGGAAGGCAAUGAACAUGUGGUACAAAUUAGCAACACAUCAAGAAUUCAAUGUCCGUACAAAUCGACUUUAGACUUUAAAAAGAAGAAUAAGGAAGAGAAAGAUGAUUGAUAUUCAUUUCAAACAGCUGGUUGAUUAUUGCUUUUUGAAUACUAAUGAACAUAAAAGCCCAUAAUGUUGCAAAUAUUUACCAUCUACGUCAUUGUGAGUAAUCGGGGUGACCACUAGCAAUACUCUAUAGAUGAUUAAUUCAUUAAUUAAUUAGGAAUACUGUCAUCAUGAUCAGGCAACUUGAUUAUGUCACCAUAAAAAAUGGAAGAUUUUUUAUUCUCGAUCUAAUGUUCCAUGAAAGGAGAAAACCCAAGGAGAGAGUUCUUCAUAGAACAAGUUAGCAAACUGGGAUUCCAUCUGUACUCAUCUGCUUCAAGCUAGACAUGGGAGUUUACUCAACAUUUCCAUUAUUAUUUUGCAUCACCUCACAUGGGUUAACUAAGAUUUGCGCAGAUGUAAAACUUUGGUCAAUGAAUCCCCAACUCAGAAGGUGUAUUCAACUUUGAGUUAGUUUUUGUGCAACUUGGUGGAAUAUAUUUUUAAGGGAACAAUGCUUCUCACUAACUACAAAUUAUUUGGACAUAUAAAACAAAGAGUUGCCUGACCCUAUUCAUGAGUUUAUUAUUUAUAUUCUUUUUCAUUUUAGGCAUGCGAAUGGAUUUAAGAUGGCGUGUCGCCGACAACAAGGCUACUGCUUAAUGGUGAGCCCCUACUGCUAUGAUUCGAUUCAAUUUUAAAUGUGAAUACAACUCAACAGGAACUUAGCAAGGGAGCAAGCCACUUAAGACUUGAAUUGCUCUAAGACCUCCACUUAGUACAAAUAGAGCUCACACCCUCACCUAUUUUCUCCGUCUCGUUGUACUAAAUUAAGUGCAAUCUGCAGAUCAUACCCAAUCUUCCAAGUCCUUUCCUACAAUAUGCGUUACCCGUACUAUUCUCCCCCUCCACCACCUUCACCACCACCACCACCUCCUCCACCGCCGCCGCCGCCUCCAUGCAACCCAGUCACGCCACCACCGCCACCUCCUCCACCUCCACCUCCACCUCCACCCGCAUGUAACCAUGGCAUGCCGCAAUCCCCACCCCCACCCCCACCCCAACAUCCAAUGCCACCAUGUAAGUGUGGGUACCAGCCCCCUACACCAACCACAACACCAACACCAGCGCCAGCUCCUUAUACUGCUUCACCUCCACUAUCACCACCGAAUGGAAUACCACCAGGUGCACAGCCACCGAAGGGAAAACCACCAGGAGCACAGCCACCAAACGGAAAACCACCAGGUGCACAGCCACCGAAGGGAAAACCACCAGGCGCACAGCCACCAAAUGGAAAGCCACCAGGUGCACAGCCACCAAAGGGAAAACCACCAGGCGCACAGCCACCAAAUGGAAAACCACCAGGUGCACAGCCGCCAAAUGGAAAGCCACCAGGUGCACAGCCACCAAAUGGGAAGCCACCUGGUGCACAGCCACCAAAAGGAACACCACCAGGUGCACAACCACCAGUUGCAAAACCACCUUCUCAUUAUGGUUAUCCCCCUUACGGUUCCCCUCCAAUUUAUGCCUCGCCUCCUUACGCUGCACCCCCAACUAAUGGCUCAAUCACACCAACACCACCAGUCCUGUCUCCGCCACCUUCCGGAGGCCACCACACCACCAUUAUUGCGGUGUGCGUCUCGUUGGGUGGCCUCUUCUUCCUCGCGUUCCUCGCAGCUGGUCUCUUCUGCUUAGCUAAGAAGAAGAAAAAGCCGGUGAUGGUUCCAGCAGUACCCCCACCCCUCUGUGUUGAAGAACACGAACAAAUCCAGGAGACAAUCACCACAGGGGCUUAUGGGGAGCAAACAGUUACAGGAUCAGUUGAGGACGAUGCCCAAAUUCAUCAAGCCGGAGGUCCUUCUGGUGGCCCACCUGGGGUCGCCGGAGCUUCCUCUCAUGCUCCAGCCCAACAGCAUUGCUAAUGCUAGUACAUCCUUUCCCCUUCAAACCAAAAUCAAGUUGCCAGCAUGCAUAUUGGUUCGAUUUCAAUUUACAGUUUGUUACACUAGUGAUCAGUAAUAAACCAAGUUGCCAGCACGCAUGAACCCAUAUUGGUGUGAUUUCAAUCUGCAGUUCGUCACACUAGUGAUUUCACUGAUUUGUAAUAAGUUCCGCGAAUUGGGGCUUCCAUGAUUGUUUGUAUUGUAUUGUGCAUAUGAAUUGGGGCUUAUAUAAUUGUUUGUAUUACAUUGAGAUAUAUUCAUGGUGUGUGGAUUUAAGUAGCAGAAAGAGGGCAUCCUUGGACCUACCUGUGCUCCAUGUGCUCCAUGCGUCAUUGUUGUCAUACUGGUAUUAAACAAAGUUUAUAUUUAGUAACAAAAAAAGCAAUAGGGUUCAUAUGCCUGAGAAGUGGAUAUAAUGAUAGAUGCACUUGACUUUAUUGUUUAAUAAGACUAAAAGACAAUAGGAUAGCCGAUAGGAGCAGGUAGAGUGCUAGAAAAAUGGGAAGGAGGUUCUGACAAGAUUGCUGAUGAAGGCGAUGUCCAGUGGACCUUAAUGGGUUUGGUAACUGUCAUGCUACAAUACUUUGACUAGCUAAUUCUAAUUAAUUUAUUCUAGCUUCGCGUUUAAGGAAUCAAGACAUUGUUUGGGCUGCGACAGAAAGGCGGAGGUUCUCUGCAACCGUAUCUGCAUCGAAGUUAUAUCACUUGGAAACGUGGCUGGAGACUGUUGGGUAAGCUCUGAUGCAUGUGGUUUGGCAGGCAUGGAUGUAACUUAUUUGAAAGAUAUGUGUCACAUGGAAUAAUUGUGGGAGCGUUGUUGACAAGUCAUAUUGCCACCAUGAUUACAGCUGCGAGUCUAAGGCUCUAAGCCGCCGGCAGGAAACAUCUCCCUUCUGUUUUUCUCCCACUUUUUCCCUUCUUUUUAUCUGUUUUGUCUGUUUCGCUUUUACACUAUUUCUGGUGUCAACAUUCCAGGCACGUAAAGAUUCUCCGGUGGGCCAAGUUAGGGUUAGCGAAAAGUUUAAAAUGAAGGAUUUUUGAAAGGGAAAACGAAAUUUAAUCCAAGGCAAUAAAUUUUAUAUACUAUAAGAUAAAUAUAAUCUGGAACGCUAACUAAUUGUUAAAAAACGACUUAAUAUGACAGCGUUUUCACAUUGUCACCAUUUUUUUAAGCCCAUUAAUGCUCAUAAAGGUCUAAAGAGUGUGCGUCAAUUGUCAUUAGAUGGCCAUCAAUUAAAUAAAUUAUCUUCGUGAACUUUUUUAUUUUAGAGAACGUGGAAGGGCCAAGAAAGUACAUACCCUUUUCCUAUAAAUAAAUUUACAACUUUAGUUAGUGAGUUGAGUUGGCAUGAGUCGCAUGACAUCGGCUAACAGAUAAGAACAGUCUUUAAUAUUGCAAUUUGUGAGCCAAGUUGUAAUGAUGAUGAUAGGUCUGGCUAGUGUUAGAGAAUGAUUAUCUGAGGGAGUGCCUGUCGCCCAUCCAAGGAAUUGACAAGAGUUAUAAGAAUUAGAAGCAGAAGGAACCCUAAUCCCAGCGCAUAGAUCUGGGUUGGGUCGCCCUUCAAAGUGCUGCAGCUGGGCUCUGUUAUCAUCCGGUUGGGCCUACUUUCAAAAGAUAGACAGGCCCGUCUCAAUCAAGAAAAAACUGGUGGAUGGAUUUGCAAUGGGCACCUUUGAAGUUUCCAAUUGCGUGCUAUGCACGACUAAAGUGGGUUUCUUUCCGGUCUUGAGAUGAAGGAAUUCCAAUAAAAUAUGGACAAUAAGGUAAGAUGGGGGAGUGCAAAAUGUGAAAGUAGCUCAUAAUUCAAGGUAUUGAUAUAAGAAGUGAGAAUAUAAAAUAAUAUUUUUUAUUUAUGGAUAUAGAUAUAAUUAAUCAAAUCACGCCAAAGCCUUAAAUAUUUUAUAUUGUUCCUAUUGUUCUUUUCCUUUAAGUUUUGCGCUUGGUAUUGUGACAGGUAUCAAACCCUUUGUCAAAUAUUUUUAGAACCAAAGGUAACACAAAAGAUUAUAAAAUGAAUUUUAAUUAAAAGUAAAAUCAAUUAUUCUCUCAUUAGGAAAUGAUAUAAAAAACAAGGGAAUCAUGAGCUGGCAAUAUCAUGCAAGAAAACUCUAACACACACUAUGCGUAAUAGUAUAUAUUAUCAAAACAUGAAAGAUUAACUAAAUAAAAUUUGACUUAAGAUGGAGAUUGAUAAAAAAAUGUUUAAAAUUUUUAUGUAGCAUAUAUAUAUUUCUUUUUUAUAUUUUAAAUAUUAAUUAAGAAUUUAAGAUAUUUUUCAAUAUUAAAAUCCAUGAGGAAAUGGUCACAUUAAGAGAGAGGCCGAAGUCAUCAACCAAGCAAAAUGAUGGGCAAUUAAGGUUAGGGUUGCAAUGAAACUUCGGAAAUUAAAUUUUAAGGUUGCGAUGAAGCUUGAUAUGGAUUGUUUUGUUAGUCCAUACAAGUUAAAAGUUUAAUUAAGUUAUGCAAUACUAUAACUUAAAAGCUUAAUUAAGUUAUGCAAUAGUGGACCAAUAUUGUACUAAGCACUUAUUUGGGUUACAUUUUAUGGGGAUUAUUGACAAGAGUAUGGUAAUUUAAAAAAAAAAAAAAUUUCAAAUCUAUUGUAAUUUUUGUUAUUUUCUUUUAAAAUCGUCUAUUCAAAAAUUGAUUUAUAUACCAAAAAAAUCGUCUCUUGAAGAUAUGAUUUUCUAAAAUUCAUUUUUAAAAAAAUUUACAUACUAAAAUUAUCUCUUAAAGAUACGAUUUCUUAAAAAAUAAAAUAAAAUUGUCUCUUCAAAAUACGAUUUUUUAAUUAAUUUUAUUUAUCAAUUUUAAUAUAUAAAAAAAUUAUGAUUAUUGAGAUAUUUAUCAACAAUAAUAUUUAUAAAAUAUAAAUUAUGUUUAAUAUUUAAAUAUUGAUUUAAAAAAUAUUUUCUUCUUAAUGUUCAAAAAUUUUAAAUUAAUUCAAUUAAUUAUAACUAAUAAAAUUAAUUUACUUUGAUAUUGUUUUUUAUUUAUAAGAUAAUAAUAUUUAUCUAAUAUUUUUUGUUUCUUUUGCUUUGUAAUUUAAAAACAUUAUUAUCAAUUUUAUGUGAAAAAUGCGUUUAUAAAAAACAAAUUUGUUCUUAAAUUAUUAAAUAAUUAUUUACAAAAUAAAUAAUUUUUUAUUUUAAUUUUGAAAUUAAUUUUAUUAUACAAAUUUUAAAAUAAAAAUAUUAAUAUUUAAUUUAAAAUUUUAACUGUAGAAGGAAUAAAAUAUACAAAAAUAAAUUAAUUUUCAAUAAAAUUUUCAGCAUUAAAAGAUAUAAUUUUUUAAGUAUUAAUCAAUUUAAAAAGAAAUAAUAAUCAUUUGUCUAUUAAAAUAUUUUAUUUAGUAAUUAUAAAUGAUAAACAACUAAAGUAAUUUGAAAAUUUAAUAAAAUAUUUCUUUAAAAAUAAUUUAAUACAUUUAAAAUUAGAAAUGAUUAACUAUUUUUUAUUAAGAAAAAUUGAGGAAAUAUUUUGUUAUAUCAAAUUUUUUUAUCUGUUUUCAAUUUUUAAUGUUAUAAGUUUCAAAAAAAUUGAUCAAAUAAAAAAUAAUAAAUAAAAAUUAAGAAAUUAUUUUUACAAAAACUAUAUAUCCAAAUAAAAGCCUUGAAAUUCAAAUACACAAUAUCAUAAAUAUAAACACCAAGUCAAUCCUUAAUUAUCAAAAGUUUUCAAUAUUAAAGAAUCUAAGUCACCUACUAUCAUGAUUGUAAGAAAACCAAUAAUAUUGUUCAUGUAAAUACUAAAAAACUAAUAAAUAUCCCAACAAUUAAUAAAGUAUCAAUCAUGAUAAAAAAAAUUAUUUAUUAUUAUGAAUGCAAAAUUUUAUAUUCAAGAGACGAUUUUAGUAUGUAAUUUUUUUUUAAAAUUCAUGUCUUUAAAAGACGAUUUUUUUUAUACCUAUAUAUAUAUAUAUAUAUAUAUAUAAAUCGUUUUCAAAUAGAUGAUUUUAAAAGGAAAUAAUGUUCUCUCUUCUAUUUGGCAAAAAUUAUGGUAGAUUUGAAAUUAUUUUUUUUUGCAACGGUGGAUUAGGAAUUAUUUUUUUAAACUGUCGUACUCUUAUUAAAAAUCUCAUGUUAGGGUCGUAGCCUAAGUAUUUUGAUAUAUAAUGGUGGUCAAGUUGACUUUGUAUGUGAAUAAAUGGCUAUGCGAAUUUCCAAAAAAUCAAAGGAUAUUUGUUUUUGGUUUUCCUUUUUUUUUUUUUUGUUGAAAACAAUUUGAUGUUACACAUUGAGUUGUUUAUUUUUCUAAUUUUUUUUAUAAAUUAUUAUAAUUUUUUAUUGAAUACAAAAAUUAGAAUAUUUAAAAAAUUUAAAUAAAAAAAUAAUAUAUUGAUUUUUUUUAAUUUUUAAUAUUUAAUAAAAAUAAAAUAUUAAAAAAUUUAAAAAAUUAAUACUUAAUACUAUUAAACACUAUUUAAUUUUAAAUUAUAUUUAAAAUUAAGUAAAAAAUCAAAUACCACUUGAAUUGAUUUCAACUUCUACUAUUCCAUCAUAACUUUUGGGGGAUAUUGGCGUAUGCAUCUUCUCUCAAAUGGGUGUCCAAGCUCCGUUCAACAUACAGUUGAAAGAUUAUCAAUUUCGGGUGCAGACAUAUCCUUUUUAGUUAUCUCCGAUGGUGAGACUUGAGGAGGAAAAACAAAACACAAGGUCAUUUUGAAACUGUACUCUUCAGCCUUGGACAUUAAGAAGAUAAUCAAAGAUUGCAAAGCAGAAUACGAGGAGGGAGGGUUGUGGUUUGGUACGUAUUUGUGCAGCUUCUAAUUUGGUCUGUCACAUUGAGGUAAAAGUGAUGGCCCCCCAGUCCAUAGCAAACAGAUAAGAGUUUAUCAUUGAAUUUGCUAGGUUGAGAAGGAUUCAUCGUUUCAAUAUAAUGCCAAUUAUUGAUUGUUUCCCCGAUAUUCCAGACAUGCUCUUGUUUUCAUUUCCAGGAUCAAUGCAUCUCUUUAGAGGCACUAUCCUUAAGAAAUAGCAAUGUUCCUCCAAGCUGGCAGAAAAUCCAAGGGGUAUAUGCUAGCUGUUUCUGAAUUUUUGCAGCUGGAAAGUGACUGUAGAGAAUGCACAAACUCAUAAUGACACUAUUCCUUCUCAUCCCCGAUUUCCAAAUGGUCCACCCAAGAAACAUGUGGCCAUCAAACGGGGAAUUACAUGAUGAGAAAUUGAAGAGAAGAGUUAAAGAAAAAAAAAAAGCUAACCAAAAGGAGAAAAAAGAGAAAAAAAGAAAAAGAAAGAUCCAUACCCCUCAAUGAGUUUCAAGAAAAGGGGAUGUGUACUAAGCAAUUAAUGCACUGAAGCACGAACCAUGGCAGUCCUUCAACGACAACACAAGUUAAUAGCAUGUUUGGUCCCAGCAACCUUCUGGAAAUGGAUCCCUCCCACCAAAUCUUGAUAAUCAAAAUAAAAUAGGUUAUUGUCCUCGACUGCUUUGCAUGCCCAAUCAAUUUUGUUUUCGAUUACCAGUAUAGUUCUCUCAUAAACAUUUCAAUUUUGUCAUUGACUUGUUCCUAUUUAGCAUUUGGUGAUGGCCAAACGUGCAUAACGUACACACAAUCCUAAUCUAAAGAAAAAGUAUUAAUUCUGUUCAAGAAACCUAAUCAGGGAGAGCAUAACCUUGUUUGAAACCUUGCACAAACAACAUUGUCGACUGGUGGUUUAGGCCCGGAUGCUUCUGAAAGCAUUAUGGAUAGGUUCCGAGAGUUGCGGUUUGUGCCUACAUAAAGCAUUAUGCAUAGGUGGACCUCGGGAAUUAGAGAGUUGCCAUGUGUUACGUCAUCAUUACUAGUUUCCCACCCCAAAAUUCCCAAAAAGGUGAAUGCUACGGUAUUAGUUUAAUUAUUGUUAGUAUGUGGUUCAUAUUAGAGUUAAAGACAUAUAUAAAUAAAAAUGGACAAAUAUGGGAGUGAAGACAUUUGUUAUUCAGAUUUGUAUUUCUAUUGUUGUGGAUGAAUGAUAGGUUGGGGGUGCGGGGGGCGAUGUCCCUCGCGGUACGGUUUAGGGGUAUUUUUGGAAUUUCAUUCCAAAUGAUUAAUAUAAAUACCCUUUUAUGUAACCCUAAUUCAAUACAUAGUGAAAGUCCUUUUCCUUGUUCCCGUGGACGUAGGUAAAUUGCCAAAUCACGUUAAAUCUACGUGUUCUUUCUUUCUCAUUUUCCCUAUUUUUCACCAUAAAUCAUUGCACGGAUUACAACAUUAUCUUAUAAUCACCACACUAGUCAUCUAGAAGGUUUUACUACUUUGAAUGGGUGCACAGGAUUUACACAAUAGAAGAAGCCAAAAAAAAAUGGGUCCCCUUCACUAAAGCAUAAUUGGACCCUUGUAAGUCUAACCAUUAAUUUGGAACUGGUGGUGCUGCCCUUUUUUUUGAACUCUUAUAAUGAAGAUAAUGAUUAGAGAGAUCAAUCUUUUAAAUCUCUUAUCUUUAUCGGUGUCAAGUCAACUGGAGUUAGGUUUGUCUAGCUUCACUGAAGUCAAGCAAACUUCUUUCAUUUUUCGUGCUUCUUAAGGAGUCUAUCCAGUUGCACUAGAGUUAGACGAACUUCUUUUUUAUACAAAAUGAUGUCCGGAUUGGUGAUAUGAGCACGCCCCUCCGAAACUUAAAGUCAGAUAAAAAUAGCUUUAGCUAUUUUGUGGGAGAGAAUGAGCAUCGUGCACACAUAUCUUAUUCGUGCUUUUUAAGAGACUUAUAUAGAACUAAUGGCACUACUAUUGUAGUGCUGACUAUGCACUCUAACCUUUCUUAUAAUGAUGAUUGUCCUUAACACGACUGGGCAAUCAUAUCAGAUAAAGGCGCUUGACAGGUGUCAUCCGUUGACGUGCCAAAAUCUUGGACCAUACAAUUGAUUGUCCAUUUAGUCUGCCAAUGUUUGGGAUUGUGUGCAACAAUUAAUUGACAUUAAAUUUUGGGUGUAAUGGGAUCUCGUCUGCCGCUUAAAUAUCGGGUGUCUAGGCUGACACUCAGAGGUUAGAUGCGAUUGAUCAUGCAUACCAAAAAUCCUAAGGACUUGAUUAGACUGAUUUUCCCGUCUGAGAGUCCAACGAGCCCAGGUUGUCGAUUCCGUCUGACCUUGUGGGAGAGGGGAACCCUCUCACUUCUAGUGUCAGACGGAAUUCAUCUUGGUCCGAACGGAAUGAUUCCAAAAGGAUUUCAUGUCUAUCCUGAAUGACUAAGGGUCUUGAACUUGAGAGGGACAGGUGGAGGAAACCGCAAUCUCUACACUUGCGUGUCCAACAAAUUUUCAAUUUUAAUAACGUACAAGACAAUCAAGGAGAUGAAAAAAUUGAUGAAGCGUUUCUCAAACCAAUUUCAGACACAUACGGCAUGUGCAACUAGAUAUUUUAAUCCCAAAAAAUCAUGGCUCCUUUUGUCGUAUUCUUUUGUUUGAUGUAUGCAUAGGAUCGGACCACAUCUAUGUUAUUUUGAUUCCAAAUUUCAAAUAAAGACGAGAUUUCAUUACUAAAUUGUCAAGACCUUUGGGACCCAUAAACCUUUAUUCAAACAAUGAUAAAAGGCAAAUUUUUGUAUUGAUAUGGUUGUUACGAUCGAGGAAGACAACGAGAUUUCAAAGGAUGAGAGAGCACCCCAUGCAUCAAAAUGGCUUCUGGACCCACACUAUUUUAGUUCGUCAGUCAAAUCUCAAUAUAAUAGAGGGGGGACCUAAUGUUGUCGCUAUAAUUGACUCUUAUUUCGACGUCAUGUUUGUGCCUUAAAAUAACCCGGAUUCCUCAUUUACACACUGCGGGGAGGGGGAGAGUGAGAGGGACCUACCAACCAAAAAAUGGCGGCGGAAGUUCAGCUGAGCAGCAACAUGAGGAAAGCUCUCCUGGUUCUGAAUUGUGUGAUUCUCUCAAUUGGAAACUGCGGUGGUCCCUUGGUGAUGCGCCUGUAUUUCGUUCUUGGCGGCGAGAGAAUAUGGUUUUCCAGUUGGUUGGAAACGGUUGGGUGGCCCUUGAUCCUAGUCCCUCUCAUCAUCACUUACAUGCACCGCCGAACCAAGCAAGACUCCCAUGCCAAACUCUUCUUCAUGAAACCUCCUCUGUUCGUGGCCUCCGCUGUUAUCGGUGUCCUCACCGGAUUCGAUGACUACCUCUAUGCCUAUGGCGUAGCAAAACUGCCCGUUUCAACAUCAGCUCUCAUUGUCGCAAGCCAGCUCGCUUUCACAGCAGCCUUCGCGUUCCUCUUGGUGAAACAAAAGUUCACCUCAUACUCCGUAAAUGCCAUAUUUCUGUUGAGUAUCGGUGCCGGUGUCUUGGCUUUACACACUAGCUCCGACCGCCCUACUAAUGAGUCCAACAAAGAAUAUUACCUCGGGUUUGUCAUGACACUUGCAGCUGCAGCGCUCUAUGGUUUCAUUCUCCCCUUGGUUGAAUUAACCUACAAGAAAACAAAGCAGGCAAUAACCUACUCACUGGUCAUGGAGAUUCAAAUGGUGAUGUGCUUCUUCGCCACCGUCUUUUGCACAGUGGGGAUGUUGGUUAAUAAUGACUUUCAGGUGCAUUUCUCUUUUCUCUCCACUCAAUUACCCUAACAUAUUCAACCAGAUAGAAGAUUGAUAAUUUAUGUUUGCUUCUUCCUCAUUUAAUUUUGUAGGCAAUUUCCAGAGAAGCAAAAGAAUACGAGCUUGGAGAAGCUAAAUAUUAUCUGGUGGUGGUAUGGAAUGGGAUCAUAUGGCAGUGUUUCUUCUUAGUAUCAAUAGGAGUCAUCUUUAGCGCUUCAUCUUUGGUAUGCGGUAUUGUGAUUACUGUCCUACUCCCCGUGACAGAGAUCUUGGCUGUUAUUUUCUUCCGAGAAAAAUUUCAAGCAGAGAAGGGGGUUUCACUGGCUCUCUCUCUGUGGGGCUUUGUUUCCUACUUCUACGGCGAGAUAAAGGAUAGCAAGAAAAAGAAGAAUCCCACUUCCGAGACGGAGCUGCCUCAAACGGUCAAUCCAUGACAAACAAAUAUCUUUCUUAUUCCCCGGAAGGCAAGGGACAGGAUUACAUAUAAGCAUUUACCAGGUAAUUUAAAGAAAUACUUCGUCCGUAUGUUAACAGGCAGUUUAGCUGAUUCACCAAAUCUGUGUAAAGGAAAUGCUUGAAUUUCGUUCCUAAAUACAUGCUUGAAUAUUGAAUUUACUUGAAUUCUACAACCGCUGUGAGCGGAACAUGUUGAAAAUGAGAUCAUUUAAUUGUUCUAUAUAAGAUAAUUUCAAGAAUGAGCAAGUCUUGUUUUUUUAGUUUUCAAUUUUAGUGGUUUAUGAAAUCACAGAAAAAAGAUCAUGGGUGUUUUCAAAUUUAGAGUUUUUAUCUACCAUCAACUCAACAACCUCUGAUCCCAAUAACCACUUGCACUCAUUUGGAGGUAGGUGUCAACUACUCUCGUCAACUGCCACAGUAUCAAAUGAACCACAACAACUAUAUUUUCCAUAUUUUGUAGUGGAUGAUAUUGAUAUGAAGCGAAUAAGACGCGAGCUGCGCUCACAGGCUAGGACUUUAAUUGGUGAAGCCUCCCAACUCAUAUAGUCAACUCGCUCGAAAUUCAGUUGUUAAAGUUUUCUAAUAAAUAAAACAGUUAUUUUAAAAUAUAAAAAUUUAAAUUAUAUCAUAAAAUACUAAGGUAAAGAAAUUAGAAAAUACUAAAAUAUCAAUUCCAUAUAUAUCAAGCUUUCGAUUUUGAUCAUUAAAAGUAUAUAAUAAAAUUUAAGCCUGUGAAUAAUGAUUACUACUCAAAAAGUGUUAUUUGAUAGCCUGUAAUUAAUCCUUUUAAACACUUUUGAGUAGUAGUUUAGGCCUUUUAACUCAAUUGGCAUGUUAAGGAUCCUUUAAAGCAAUUUUGAUCACUUUGUGUAAGUUUUGGUGUUUUUGUUAGUAUUUUGAUCACCAAAACAAGUCAAGACUGAGGAGAGCUAUGAGGAAUCUUGGGUAAAGCUUAGAAGUCAUUUUCCAAGAGUGAAUCCGGAUUGCAAGGAGAAAAAGCAAAGAGAAUCUGCCAUAAAGCAUAUUCUUGAUGACAGUCGUAGCAGCCACUUUUAGAGCACUUUAUGAAGUCCAAAUGAUGCAUGCUAUAUACCAUUUUAAAGCUCAGGAAGUCAACAAUCCAAUGCUUCAAACGGUGUGCAAUUCGGAGUUGAAACGAAGAAGUUGCAGCCAUUACAAGCCAAUCACUCCGAGCUGAAGAAAACAUUUUGCAAAGUGCUGCGAAAUCACCCUUUUGUUGCGAAGUGAUUUCGCAGCAUUUUUGUACAGUAAGGUGUUUCUCCUUCUGACGAUGCACGAACCAUGCCGCGAGAAGGGAGCUGGGAACCUCAAGGUGGAAGCCAACUUCGCAGCCAUGUGAAGAUAGCUCGGUGUUGCGAAAUAAUUUCGCAGCCCUCUUGGGUGUCUGCGAAAUUUCGCAGACACCAUAUUUCUCCUGCGAAAUGGUUCCUGAAGCCUCCCGAAGCUUGCUACCGACAUUGGGAGAUAUUUUCCAUUAGAUUUUUGUUGUCUAAAUCCCAAAAUACUCCUUGUAAACCACCAAUUACAUGAUUCCUUAGUUUUUAAGUUAGUAAAAAGACUAAAUAUCUUUGUAACAAUUAGUUUUAUAUUAUGUUGAUAUAUAUACCUCUCGAGAGCCUGUUCUCAGGGAGGAGUUCCUUUUGUAAACCGUUUGGGUAAGCAAGUAAAGGUCUUUUUCUUUCUACUGCCUUACCUUCUCACUUUGUAUUUUCAGUUUAUUUCUAAGUUAUGAAUUCUCUGAGGAGUUUUCCCCAGAGAAUGAGUAACUAAACCUCUAAUUCCUUGGAGCUAAGGUUGCCGGGGAAGGUUCCAAGUGCAAGAAUGCAAAGCUUUGUGGUUUUAGCUAGUAAUGAAGAGGAAGUGAAAUCCUUUAGUGAUUUCUAUGUUUUUAGUUAACUUAAAACACCUUGGAGUUACCUGGGCCAACACUUGGUAAGGCAAGUGAUUUUCAACCAUGGAAAUGCACUAGUUUACCCCUUGCGAGCCUCUGGGAGGUGACUUCAGGGUAGGAUUUUCUAGAAUAGCCAACACUUGGUAAGCUUUUGGACUCCUAGGAGGCAUCCAUUAGUUAUCUCUUGCGAGCUUUUGACGGGUAAUCCAAGGUUAAAGAUCACCUUGAAUGGUUAAGGCUUAGUGAGAGGCUUAAACCAUUGCAAGUUGCAUCAGUGAGAGAAUUAAAGUGAAAUCUAAUUGAAGGAGUCUCUGUACAUCACCGGUUAGAGAAUUGACUAUGUGUUGAAUCUCUAAUGCGAGGAAAUGAACCAUCUGACCAAAGCCGUGUCUUUUGCAUGAGGAACCACCCCAGUGAACCUAAAUCUCUAAGGAAUGCUUUUCUUCCUAAAUUAUUCCAAACUUCUGUUAAGUUAGUUAGUUUAAGUCUCAACUUUUACCAAUCAAAGUUUGUGUUUUACUUCUUAAGCUAACCAUAAAAUGAAACAAGACCAAUUCACUUGGAAUUGGUAUCAUUGAUUGCUUGUUAGUCAUUCCCAGUGAACGACCCUAGAGCCACUAUACUAUAGUAGCUUUUUCUUUGCUACCCUAGUGUAUGGUGUUAUAGGUAAUAAAUUUUGUUGAUCACUUCCUCAAUCAAGGAGCACCAGCUGAACACCAAUCAGCUGAGACACCAAUUGAGCAUGAAUCAAAUAAGAUUACGAAUAUAUGGAUUCAAUAUAUAAACGAGUGGGAUGGAACAUGACUCAAAUGAAUAAGGCAUAAAAAAGACAAAUAAUAAUGAUGCCAGACUAUAUAUGUGAUAAUGAUGAUAGAUUGUAGAUGGAGAUGGAUUUCAUAUAAAAAUAAGGAUUUUAUAUUUAAAAUUCAUUUUUAAAGAAUAAAAUACAUUAAAAAACAGUUAAACAUAAAUCGAAGACUUUUUUACUUUAAAUUUCUCUCAAAAGGAAAUUUUAUAAAUAAAAUAAAUUUAUACGAGUAUUAAUCGACAAAAUUUCAAAUCAACAAUAAUUCUUGCAUUUGUAUCAAACUUUAAAAGAUGUAAGUGAAAUUAAUCCUAUUUUUGGAUUGUUAUUUAUAUCAAAUCUUCCCCAUCUUAAUUCCAACCCAAACCAAACUUGACAUGGAUUGGGUGGAACAACUUUAACAAAACUUCAAGUUGUCAUCUCUAAUGUUAGUUUGGAAUAGAAAAUAAAAAUGAAACAAUUUCAUUCUCCUCUAUUAAUGUAUCCAGACUAUUUAUUACGAUGAAAAUUAGAAUAAAAAGUUCAUUAGUAUAUAAACCAAAUCUGCCUAUGAAUAAAAAAACAGUAGAUAAAUACUCUAAGGUUACUUUGGAAUAGAGAAUAAGAAUGGAAGAAUUUCAUUCUUCUUUAUUAAUGGAUCCAGAUUGUUGUUUACAAUGAGAAUAAGAGAAUUAGAAUAAAAAUUUCGUUAGUAGGUAAACCAAAUCUGCCAAUGAAAAAAAAAGACCACAGAUAAAUCAAAUCUCACUUUUACAAUAAUUUUGAUUCAUUCUUUUGUACAUGAUAGUGUGAUUCACUUUCAUUCUCUUUCUAUUCCACUUUUCUACUUUUCCACCUACCACUCAUCCUAGUCGUAAUGUGAUUAUUGUGUCUCGUAUCUUUGGUAAAGAGAACCAACCGACUAUAUCUCAACAAAGCGUCCAUCAUUUAUGCCAUGCAGCGUACAUCAUGCGAAAGAGCCAAUGAGCGUUUCACAUAUGGUAUAGCAAAACUGCCCAUUUCAACAUCUGCUCUCAUUAUCGCAAGCCAGCUCGCUUUCACAGCAGCCUUUGCAUUCCUCUUGGUGAAACAAAAGUUUACUUCAUACUUCGUAAAUGCCAUAUUUCUUUUGAGUAUCGGUGCUGGUGUCUUGGCUCUACACAAUAGCUCUGACUACCCCGCCAACGAAUCUAACAAAGAAUAUUAUCUCGGGUUUUUCAUGAUACUAGCAGCUGCAACGCUCUAUGGUUUCAUUUUCCCGUUGGUUGAAUUAACCUACAAGAAAGCAAAGCAGGCAAUAACCUACUCACUGGUCAUGGAGAUUCAAAUGGUGAUGUGCUUCUUCGCCACCGUCUUUUGCACAGUGGGGAUUGUUGAUGCCUCGCGUCCCAGGGAUCCACACAGCUGCCAAGUGGACGCGCGCUUUCAACCAAGAAUGAAUUCUGGCUCAGUCGAUCCUGCAAAAGAUGUCCGGACACAUCCUCCGAUGGUUUUGUUAGUCAUGGCUCAAUGGAUCAGGCUGUUGCCCUUUUUUCUGAGUUAGCUGACUUACCUUCUUCUUUGCAUGAAGGUUCUUUUAUAUAGUGUCAGAAGCUCCGCUCCCCUCUUUAAUGGCGGGAAGACUUUUUGGCUUGUCAUGAUGUCCCUGAGGUGAUGGCAGAAUCAUCAUCACCUUCCAAACGGCUGUUAGAAAUCGUGGGAGGUGACUUGUCAUCACUCCUGUCCUUUCGCUCUACAGGCGGCGAAACGUGGGCUAUGACAGGUUGUCUGGGGUGACUCAGCAUGGCUUACUUUUUAUGGUCAAUGAUCCGGACAAUGUAUUCGGAUAGAAUAGAGCACAGUCCGGGUAUAAUAUUUGAGAGUGUCGUGUGUCUCCUUGAGGGACCUGGAUAGAGCUGGCGUGCCAUGUGGACUCUGAGGGGGUCCCUACAAUGCCCCCCUUUUAACCUGGCGAUUUUGUCCUGGCAGAAUGGGUAGGUUAAAAAAAAUGAUGACUUUGAAAGUUUGGUUGUUUUUUGCGUUUAUUGUGCCAUGUGGCGGUGCGGAGGCGAAAAGAAGGAAGAGCAUUUAUGGCGAGCCGCCAUCCUUGGGAAUUCCUAUGCGGCAUGUCGUUUCAAUAGCAGCGUGGCUGGGAGUUUGGAAUACCGAGGGGUUGUCUCCCUUUAAAUAGUAGACCCAGCCCCCACAACUGCAUUUCUUCCUUCUGCAUUUCUGUUGCUAGUGUUUUCGUUUAGGUUCUUUGUGUAUUCUUGCCUGUGAGUGAAGUUCUAGGGCUUUUGCUAGCGACAUUCGCGUCGUGAGGGUGACUGCAUCGCGGCCUUCGUCCUCAUUUGCCAGUUUGCACCAGGUACGUUCUCUAUUUCUACCUUCUCUCCAUUGGGUUUCUUUUUUAUUUUAUCUUGCUUGUUAGGUAGGUUGCUUGCGAUUGAGGGUCGGUGCUGGUGUUUAGGGAUUUUUCCGGGGGGGGGGGGGGGGGGNNNNNNNNNNNNNNNNNNNNNNNNNNNNNNNNNNNNNNNNNNNNNNNNNNNNNNNNNNNNNNNNNNNNNNNNNNNNNNNNNNNNNNNNNNNNNNNNNNNNUUUGGGGUUUUUCCAAGCCACUUUCGGUUGGGGGGGGGGAGUGCUUGGGGCCUUUCUCCUUUUUUUCCCGUUUUCCCCCGGGACCUUUUUUUUUUUCUCCUUUUUCCCCAGGGGUUUUUUUUUUUUUUUUUUUUUCUUUUUUGGGUGGUUGUUUGGGGUUGGGGGGGGGGGGUGGGUUUUUGGGAUUUUUCCGGGGGGGGGGGGGGGGGGGGGUUUGCUUUCGUUUUGGGCCUGUUGGGGUUCCUGUUGCCCCCUAUAGCCUUUGCGGGUGACUGGUCCUACUUUGGGGUAGAGUCAAGGGUUAGGUUGGGGAUGUUGGCUAUUUUAGGCUUUCUGGGCGUUUUUUGCUAUUAGGGUUAUGGGGCCGGGUCCUUCUAUUUUACUGUUGGCAUUUCGCCAUGCAGGUUCCGUUUCGGCCCCAUACUUUAAAAUGCCUGCGAAAAAGGACGUAGCUUCGUCCAGUGCGGUUGGGCCCAGCGGAAAGAAUGCGUCCGGGGUGGUCUAUGCGGAGAAGCCUGUUGACAAGCUGAACGUGAGGCAGUUUUGUGAACGCUUCUGCAUUCCGAACGGCGUAUCCGUUCAGCUUGUGGACGGAGAGGUCGUAUCCACCGAGAAAUCUGUGGACAACGCUAUCUAUUUCUCUAAGGAGCAAUUCAACGCGGGGCUUCGGUUCUUUCUCCCGUCUCUCUUCAAAGAGUUUCUUCACUUCACCAAGAUCCCUCCGGCCUACAUCCAUCCCAACAUAGUCCGGGUGUUGAUGGGGUGCAGCAUUUUGAACAUGUUGUUCAACUUGGAUCUUUUGCUGCUGGGGGUCCAUUUCAUCUACUCCAUCAAGAAGGGGAAAACUGACCUCUUCAACUUGUUUACCCAUAUCCCGUCCCUCCAAUUGGUGACUAAUCUCCCAGAUUCGAUGAAGGGGAGAGCCAAAGGACAUGUACUAGUCAAGGGUGUUUAGGCUGGACUGUCGGAACAUCCGGAGAGAUUGUUUUCCCUAAAUCGUUCACUGGCGCUCCCGGGGUAGGGUAGAUUUUCGAGUUUGUCCGGCGUGCAUUUCUUGUUCUUUUACUUUCGUGUUAUCAGAUGGCUAACUUUUUUGGUUGUGGGCAACGUAGGUAAGUCCAAGAGGGACCGCCUAGUCGAGUGGGUGGAGAAAGCCUCUUUUGAUCGCUUGAACAAGCUGUUCGAGAUUACUGCUACUAAGAGGCAUUAUCAGACGUUGCUCACUACUCGGAACCUGUUGGCAGUUGUCCGGGAGCCUCACCCGUACGUCACCAACAUUCUCCCUAGGCGAUUGCCAAAACGUGUAGUGUCUUGGGAGCAUUUUGUGUUGAAAGAUUUGCCCUUCUACGAGAGGGCUCGCAAGGCUAACACAAAGGCGCGCCAGGAGCGCCUUAACCAGCAAGAGGAGAAGAGGCAGAAGGGGACAUUGAGGAAAGCACCUGGUGAGAAGGGGCGCGACUCUUCCCCAGCCGCCUUCCCCCGGCCACAAAAGAAAAGAAGAAGACGAAGAAGACUCGUGCGCAGGUGCUCUAGAUAGUGGCCCCAACUCUUGAGGCUUCGUCUUCGUCUUGCAGGUCCGAGCCCAAUCAGCCGGACCACACUAUUCCGGAGUCUAAGGAGGUUGAGGAACCUGAGGCCAUCACCAGUUCGCCACAGCUUGAAACCUUCCAUCCGGGGCCUAGCUUUCCCCAGCCGCAGUCGGAGUUUGUUGGCUUGAGGGUCGUGGAUGAGCCAGAGGAAAUGAGAGAUGCAAACGACCUUAGGGCGGGGCUUUUGCAAAGACAUCGACCUUGGCCCCCCCAGUUAAGAAAGUUUGUCCGGAGCAGGGUGGAGAGGACCCGACGCCAGAAUUUUGGCUUCAGCUGUGACUCGUCCAGACGAGGUGGGUAUUAGCGCAACUUCCACGGCUCAGCCGGAUGCCGCAGGGUCUAGCGCGGCGGCAACGGUUCAGGCCAACGCUUCGGGGCCUAGCUCAACGACUGCUGCUCAAUCGAGUACAACUGCCUUCGGCAAUGCCCCGACUGCUGUGGAGACCCAUGCGUCAGAGGGGGUUCCGGAUGCGUCGAACGACGAGAAGGCUUCGGACGAAAAGAGCAGUCCUGCUGUUGCAGUUCCUCCAAGCUAGGAGGAAAUGAUGGAGAUGCUGAAAGGAGUGCCAUGCUUCACGGAUGUAGAGACGCCUUCCACGAGGAUGUCAGACUUCUUCCCUUUGACCAAACGUGUCUCUGUGAACAUGGGUGGGGACCCUCCUGCUUUUGUCAAGGCGCGGCUCCCUUUUGGCGCUCCUGAGUCCAUCGUAUCUUGCAUUCAACACCUAUAGGAAUGGACGAUUCCAGAGACUGUAGAAGUGGUAAAUACUUCUUUGCUGUUUUUCUCUUCUUUCUUAGCAGUUGCUACUUUUCCAUGUAACAUUGUCUGUUGUUUUGUUGUUGCUUUGCCCAUGUUGUAGCCGGCAUCCACUACAUGAUGUGCACACGCGAGCAGCUUUUCAAGCGGCUGGAAUUGGUGGAGGCCAUGCAUGCCUUUAUCUCCCAACAUCCGGGUGGCAUCGAGGAGCUGCGCGCCAAGUUGGAGAAGGUGGAGGCCGAAUUGGCCGCUGCUCGGAAAGCUGUGGCGGAUGGGACGGAGCAACUAGGUCGGGUUGAAGGGGAUAAGGAGACUAUCCGGGCCGAGGCUGACAUCCUGAAGAAAGAAAAGCAAGCCUUGGAGGGCUAAGUCAAUGCAGCUGGGCAGGAGAACCUCCAGUUGAAGAGAGAGACGGAUGAACUCCUGGAUAGCCUUGCCGCCCAGAAGAAGGAGUCAGAGGAUUUGCGGGAGGGUCUGGCGGCUCAAAAGGAGAAAAUGGAGGCUAGGUUCGCCGCUCAGAAGAAGGAGAUGGAGGAGGAAUACCAGAAGCAGGCAGACGAGAUGUAUUUCUUUGGCUACCGUUGUUGUAUGAAGAAACACGGAAUUAUGCAUGAUAUUCCUUCUUUCCUUUCUGAUGAGGAAGAUACAACACCUGGGGGUCCGUCCAGCUGAAACUUCCUUCUGUACAGACUUUAUAAUUUUUCCUCUUUGUUUUGCUGCACAUGGGGCAGUUAUUUUUGUAAAGACACUUUUUACUUAUUUAUAAAUACAUUACAUUUCUUCUGUUUUUUGCUUACUCCUCAUUUCCUUUCAUUGAUAAUACUGCUUAAGAUUGGAUACAUUUCAUGGACGGAGCAGCGAGGUUCCAUCUAGCUUCUAUAGAUGAUAGACUCCACUUUCACUUGUCUUGGACACAAUGUAAGGGUCUUCCCAAUUUGCUUGGAAUUUUCCUGCUCCCUUUUCAGCAGUGUUCUUGAAAACCUUUAUGAGGACCAACGUUCCACCUUUGAAGCUCUUGGGUCGUGCCUUGCGUUUGUAGUGAGCUGCCGCCCUUUGUAGGUAGUCGGUCAUUCGAAUGGAUGCGUUCUCUCUCACUUCAUCCACCCAGUCCAAAUUUCUUCCUAGUUCCACAUUUGCAUCACCCUGUCGUCCUACCUCAAUCCGGAUAGUGGGUAGGCCUAUUUCUGUAGGGAUGACUACAUCCAUACCGUAUGCGAGGGCGAAGGGAGUGUUUCCUGUUGGUCACCCGGGUGUGCUUCGAUAGGCCCAUAGGACGCCGGGUAACUCCUCUACCCACUUCCAUUUGGCUUGCCCGAGCCUCUUCUUUAAGGUAGUUACCAGGGUUUUGUUUUUGCCUCUGCCUGUCCAUUGCUUUGAGGAUAAUGUGGUGUGGAGUAUAAAUUCCAGAUGUUAAGUUCCGAACAGAAAUUCCAGAAAGUGAUGCUAUCAAACUGCGGGUCGUUAUCAGCUAUAAUGGUUUGAGGGAUUCCAAAGCGACAGAUGAUGUUCUUCCAUACGAACUUGGUGAUGUCUUUGUCCUUGAUGCUAGCGUAUGCUUCAUCUUCUACCCAUUUACUGAAGUAAUCUGUGGUGACGAGUAGAAAUUUCUUCUAGGCAACUGCGGCUGGUAGGGGUCUUACUAUGUCCAUCCCCCAUUGCGCGAAGGGUCAGAGGCUAGAAAUUAGUUUUAAUGUCUCAGAUGGUGCAUGCGGUAUGAGGGCAUGCCUCUGGCAUUUGUCACACUUCUUGACAUAAGCUGCCGCAUCUUUCUCAUCGUGGGCCAAUAAUAUCCUUGCGAGUGGGCCUGAUGAGCUAGAGAUCGACCUCUAGAAUGAUUGUCGCACACACCCUCAUGUAACUCAUCCAAUACAUACAAGGCUUCCGAGUGAUCCAGGCACCUAAGGUAGGGGCCUGUGAAGGAUCGCUUGUAGAGGUGCCCCCCGAUUAGGGUGAAACGGGCGGCUUGUACUCAGAUCUUAUGUGCCUGCCUGGGUUCUUCGGGCAAAGUUCCUAUUCGGAGAUACCUUAUUAUGACUUUCGUCCAUUCUUAGCCGUCUGUUUGGCUCGCCUCAAUAGUAUUGCAAGUGGAGGCUUCUGUGAUGGAGGGGUCAGUUUGCACGUGUAUGGGCAAUAAUAUGGCCUCUUUGAUGGGGAGGGAAACGGCUAUCCCUGCCAGGGUGUCGGCACGUCCAUUAUCAGCUCAUGGAAUUUUUUUCGAUUGUUCAUUCGACAAACCGUUGCAGGGUGUCUCUUACUUUAGUCAGAUAUCGCGCCAUGCGUUCAUCUUUGGCUUCGUAUUCCUCCUGGACGUGUCUUACCACGAGUUGGGAAUCACUGUAGAUUCGAAGCUUGGAGACAGAUAAGGCCAAGGCAAGAUCUAAUCCGAAUAGGAUGGCUUAAUAUUCUAUUUCAUUGUUAGACGCGAGGAAUCCCAGUCGAAUAGCUUGCUCUAGCUGUUCUCCCGUUGGGGAUUGCAGUAGGAGCCCUACUCCGGAUCCUGAUGACCGAGAGGCUUCAUCAACCCGCAAGGUCCACCACUCUUCUUCGCAUGGUUCUUUGCGUUGAGCAGGUUUUUGAGAGUAUUUUAGCAUGAAGUCAGCCAUUACCUGCCCUUUCAUGGACAAUCUCGGUUGGUAUUCAAUUUCGUACUCGCUCAACUCUAUGGCCCAUUGAAGCAUUCUUCCGGUCAGGUCCGGCUUGUGCAGGAUGUUGCGAAGGGGCUGGUCGAUCAGCACGACCACUGGGUGGGCUUGGAAGUAAGGGCGGAGCUUCUAGGCGGCACUUCGAAUGGCCAAAGCUGUUUGCUCCAUCUUUGAGUACCUUGUUUCUACGUCAGUCAAUGCCCUGCUAACAUAAUAAAUAGGUUUUUGCUCCUUAUGCGAGGGGCAGUGGAAUAAAACAGCACUAAUUGCCCACUCUGAUACAGCCAGAUACAUAUACAAUUUUUCUCCAGGGAGGGGGCUGCUUAGAAUGGGUAGUUGUAUGAGGUAGUGCUUGAUUUUCUCGAAAACGCUCUGGCAGCUGUUCGUCUACCCGUUCGCAUCGGCUUUUCGUAUUGCCAAGAAGAAGAGUCGCAAUUCAUCAGUGAAGCGGGCUAUGAAACGCCCUAGUGCGACAAGCUUGCUUGUGAGGCGAUGUAAUUCAUUUUUGCUCCUAGGGGGUGGUGUUUCCAUGACUACCUUAACUUGAUCCCUCUUUGGCUGACCAUGAACCUUAGGAAUUUUCCAGCACUUACGCCGAAAGCGCAUUUGGACGGAUUCAGUUUCAUGUCAUACUUCCUUAAGAUGUGGAAGACUUCUUGUAAGUGAAAGGCAUGUUCACUUCGGGUUUUGCUCUUAACCACGAUAUCAUCGAUGUAUAUCUCCACUGUGCGGCCAACUAGAGGUUUGAAGAUCUUCGUCAUCAAUCUCUAAUAGGUGGCGCCAUCGUUUUUAAGUCCGAAUGGCAUGACUUUAUAACAAUAAAGCUCAUGCAGCGUUAUAAAGGCUGUCUUUUCUUCGUCGACCGGAGCUAUGGGGAUUUGGUGGUACCCGGAGAAGGCAUCCAAGAAGGAGAGCAUUCCCUAUCCGGCGGUGGAGUCUACGAUCUGGUCUAUCCGUGGUAGAGGGAAACUGUCUUUUGGGCAUGCGUUGUUGAGGUUGGUGUAAUCGACGCACACUCGCCAUUUGCCUUCUUUUUUGGGGACCACUACUACAUUUGCUAACCAGUCCGGAUACUCCACUUCUCUAAUAAAUCCGACCUCCAGCAAUUUGUCAAUCUCAUCCUGGAUAAUUUUUUGCCUGUCUGGGUGAAAAUGUCUAACCCUCUGUCGGACAAGUCUUGUUGUUGGCAAGACGUUAAGCCUAUGAGAGGUGAUUGAAGGGUGGUUCCCUUCAUGUCAAAAUGCGGCCAUGCAAAGACGUCAUGGCUUUGUCGGAGGGCGUCGUGGAUGUCUUGUGCUUCUUCGGGUGUCAAGAGGGAACUGAUAUGUGUGAGGUGAGUACUUUCUUCCGAUAUCUUGAUUGUCUGCAAGGGAUUCACUGCCGAGGGAUCUUUGUCCUCCGGAUUCAGUAAUUGUUAUUGGUCAAGUGCGCUGGUGGGUUCAGGGAGGGGCUCGUCGCCCUUGCUGAUCCCACCUUCUAGCACUAUCUGAUAGCACUGGCGGGCAGCCAACUGGCUACCGUAUAGAUUGGUUUGUCCAUCUUUAGUAAGAAAGCUCACCAUCUGAUGGUACGUGGAAGGGAUUGCUUUCAUAUAGUACAACCACGCGCGUCCUAAGAUGACGUUGAAGGGGGACAAAUCUCCUACCACUGAAAAUUGUACGUUAAGGGUGACUUGGACUGGCAGCACAAUGUCUCCAAGGGAGGUGGUUGCUACGCCAUUAAAUCCCAACAAGACCCACCCAGGAUUUUCUAAGUCGGAUAGUUCGAGACCCAUUUGAUUAACUACUGAUGCCUGCAAAAGAUCGAUCGAGCUUCCUGGGUUGAUUAGGAUCUAUCUUACAUCAAAGUCUCCCAUCACCAGAGAUAGGAUGAGGGCGUCACGGUGCGGUUGUAGUAUUCGCGUGGGAUCUACGGGAGGAAAAAUGAUUGUCCCAUCUACUGGCUGGGCACUUCCCUCAGUUGCUCCGGUCUAAAUGGUAUUGACGCGCUCGCGUACCGAUGUCGCCCGCAGCAACUUCUGCCUCUUUCUUUUGGAGUUGUACUCCUCAUCCAGAGGUCCUCCAUGAAUAUAAUUGAUGAUGGCUUUGGGGGAGAUUGGGGUCCUGAGGGACCCGGAAUCGCGAUUUCGGGGGGUAUCUCUACCUCUGGCAUCUGAGCAGAGGUAUUGCUUCAAAUGUCCCACUUUUAUGGGCCUUUCCACCAAAUACUGGAGACUCCUGCACGUCUUCAUAGUGUGACCAUGCUCCUUAUGGUAGGCACACUUCUGGCAAUGAUCUCUUUUGGCUGGGUCCGUUCUGAGGGGUCCGGGCCACCUGAAGCCGGACAGGUCCUGGAUCAUAGGGAGGAGUUUCUCAUAUGAUAUGGAAAGGGGUGUGAGUGGUGGCAGUUCUGGGCGACUGGGCUCUCCCUGCCUUCGUUCGGACGGCCUUGACCGGUCUAGAAGUUUGGAACUUCUUUCCGCACCGGUUCUGUAUGUCUGCCCAGCAACCAAAAUUUGUUGGGUGGCCGCACGCACGUCGUCUUCCAGCAUUGAGUAUUUGCUCGCGCGCCGGAACAGGUCAUCCAUUGUCGUGGGAGGCUUCUUAGCGAGCGACUUGAAGAAUGGAGUGCCUGGGCAUAUGCUUCGUUUGAAGAUCUGAAGGACAACAUCCAUGCUAUAAGCCUCUACUUGUAACACAGCUUGACCGAACCGUUUCACUAAUUCUCUCAAAGACUCAUUCUCCUGCAUUUUUAUGUUUUGCAGAGUGCUGAUGUUCUGUUUAUGCCGAGCGGAACACAAGUAUUGCCCCACAAAAGCUUCCGACAGGUCCCUGAAGUUAUCAACAGAGUUCGGGGGUAGUCGGUGAAACCAUGAGAGAGCCUGACCUUGUAGGCUGGUGGGGAAUACUUUGCAUAGCAACGCGUCGUUUCCUAUAUCGAGAGUCAUGAGUUGUCGAUAAUGCAUGAUAUGGUCGAAGGGAUCGCUGGACCCAUCAUACGUGGAAAAUUUUGGUACGAGAAAUCUCCUUGGGGAGUCGUAAUGAAUAAUAUGUGAGCAAAAAGGCAUGGAAAGCAUGUCAUCCAGCCUCUUGCUGAUGGAGCCAGUGGGUGGCUCAUUUGGAGAGUUUCUUCCAGCUUGUCGUACCGCUUGGUGCGGGAGGAUGUUCUACACAACGAGUGCGAUCAAAGGGUUAGGGUACGCUUCCCAAGUUGUGGCCACUGGUGGCCUUAUCUUCCCAGGCUCCUGUGGGCCUAGCCUUGCGCGCAUCGCGUCCGACAGUUGGGGUCUCUUGUCGCGUUGUCUCUUUGAUGAGAGAUGAGUAGAAUCUAAGCUUUCAUCCUGGGGAGCUUGGUGCAUGGGCGUGGGCCGUUCUUGAGGUUGAUUAUUGCACCUCAGGAAUGACCCCCGCAAUCCCAAGAUAUAUCGAUUCUGGAUCAGGCCUCGAAUUUGCUCCCUGGCCUCUUGAGCGCUGGCCAUGAGAAGGCCCCGUCGAUGAAGCCUGGAUGCGUAACACAGUGUUUUCUUCUCUCAAUCUCGUUGUUUCUUGGAGGAGAGCCUGCAUUUGUCGCUUACUCUCCAACUUUCGUCUUUCCAUGGCUUCACGCCAUUCGAAAUAACCUUCACCUCCUCUAGCCGACGAGUGGCUCCUAGAAGGUGUGGACAUCUUCGCCGUCGACUGAGCAAAGUGUUCCCACAGACGGCGCCAAUGUUGAUGCCUUGCGUCCCAAGGAUCCACGCAGCUGCCAAGUGGACGGCGCUUUCAACCAAGAAUGAAUUCUGGCUCAGUCGAUCCUACAAAAGAUGUCCGGACACACCCUUCGAUGGUUUUGUUAGCCAUGGCUCAAUGGAUCAGGCUGUUGCCCUUUUUUCUGAGUUAGUUGGCCUACCUUCUUCUUUGCGUGAAGGUUCUUUUAUAUAGUGUCAGAAGCUCUGCUCCCCUCUUUAAUGGCGGGAAGACUUUUUGGCUUGUCAUGAUGUCUCUGAGGUGAUGGCAGAAUCAUCAUCACCUCCCAGGAGGCUGUCAAAAAUCGUGGGAGGUGACUUGCCAUCACUCCUGUCCUUUCGCUCUGCAGACGAUGAAACAUGGGCUGUGAUUUUAGUUAUCUCCGUCGGUGAAGCUUGAGGAGGAAAAAACAAAACACAAGGUCAUUUCGAUACUCUACGUACUCUUUAGGCUUUACCUGGACAUUAAGAAGAUAAUCAAAGAUUCCAAAGCAGAAUAUGACGAGAGGGAGGUUUGUGGUUUGGUACGUAUUGUAGCUUCAGAUUUGGUCUGUCCCAUAGAGUAAAAGUGAUGGUCCCCAGUUUAAAGCAACGAGGUAAUUUUAUCAUUGAAUUUGCUAGAUUUAGAAGGAUUCAUCGUUUCAAUAUGAUGCCACUUAUUAAUUGUUUCCCGGUAUUCCAGACAUGCUCUUGCUUACAACUCCAAGACAAACGCAUCUCUUUAGAGGCACUGUCCUUGAGAAAUGGUGAUGUUCCUCCAAGCUGUGAGAAAAUCCAAGGGGUUUUUCCCGAGGAUUCUCAAUGUGUGGCCCCGUUGGGUUGAACUGUCCGGGUUAGAAGGUGGAGUGGACUGGGUUGGCUCAACCAUCUCGGAAUAUGGAUUCUGCGUCAAGGGUUCGGCUGCAUCAUGUUGGAGAUGGACUGAUUGGCCCAUGUUUUUGUAAGGGAGUCGAAUCUCAGAGACUGGGCCUAGAUUGAGAAAUUGCAACCAUGCAAUAAAGCCCGUGUGACGUGCUCUUGGAGAUCAAAACAUGAUCCGUAUAACAAACAACCUACUGCCGACCUACACCACAGAUCGUGGUGCUGGCCACCCGUACGGUCUAGAGACCACAUGUACAAGCUCAUGACGCUAUUCCUUCCUAUCACCAAUUUGGAAAUGGCCCACCUAAGAAACAUGUAGCCAUGAUCAAACGGGAAUCCCAUGAUGAGAAAUUGUAGAGAAGAGUUAAAAAUAAAAAAUAAAAAGAAGAAAAAAGAAAGGUCAAUACCACUCGAUCAGGUUCCAGAAAAGGGCAUGUGGAAUAAGAAAUUAAUGCACUGAACGCGAACCAUGGCAGUCCCUCUAUGACAACACCAGUUAAUAGUCGUGUUGUGUCCCCACCUUCUGGAAAUGCCAUCCCUCCCACCAAAUCUCGGUAAUCAAAAUAAAAUGGGUUAUUAUCUUCAACUGCUUGCGUGCCCAAAUCAAUCACGUUUCCGAUAAGCAGUAUAGUUAGUUCUCUCAUUAACAUUUCUUCAGGAUCAAGGAUAUUAUUGAUUUUCAUUGACUUGCUCCUAUUUUGCAUUGGUUGAUGGAGAUAAACACACACAUAUUAAUCCUGAUCUUAAAAAUUGGUAUUAAAUCUGUUCAAGGAACCUAGUCAAGGAAAGCAUAAUCUUGAUUGAAACCUUGCACGCACAGCAUUGUCCACUUGUGGUUUAGCCUGGAUGCUUCUGAAAGCAUCAUGAAUGGAUUCCGAGACUUGUGGUUUAUGCCUGCAUGUUUCUGAAAGCAUCGUGGAUAGGUUCCAAGACCUCAUCAUUACUAGUUUCCCACCCCAAAAUUCCAAGAAGCCACCAAAAUACUCCUUUGAAUGGCUGCACAGGAUUUACACACUAGAAGAAGCCAAAAAAAUGAGACCCUUGGCUGAAGCAUAAUUGGACCCUUGUAAGUCUUUUACUAGAAGAAGCCAAAAAAAUGGGACCCUUUGGCUGAAGCAUAAUUGGACCUUUGUAAGUCUCUUAAUAGAAGAAGCCAAAACAAUGGGACCCCUUGGCUGAAGCAUAAUUGGGACUCUUCAGGCACAUACGGCAUGUGCAAAUAUCUAGAUAUUUUAAUCCCAAGUAAAAUGAUGCUCCUUUUUUCGUAUUCUUUUGUUUGACGUAUGCAUCAGGAUCGGACCGCAUCUAUGUUAUUUUUUAUUCCAAAUUUCAAAUAAAGACGAGACUUCGCUACAAAAUUGUCAACGCCUUUGGGACCCAUAAACCUUUUCUCAAACAAUGAUUAAAGGCAAAUUUUUGUAUUGAUAUAAUGCAACUAGCCAACCAUAUGGGUGUAAGGAUGAGCAUGCAAUCCCAUCAAAAUGGCUUCUGGACCCACACUAUCUUAGUUCGUGGCAGUCAAAUCGCAAUAUAAUAGACGGGGAGUGUUAGAUUUUCUUAAUGAGGUCCAGAAGUCUUGUCCAUAAUCUUUAGGAAUAAUACUAGACUUUGUCAAAUGGGUCUAAAAAUCUAACCCAUAAUAUUUUGACAUUUCCGUCUAUGUAAUCAUGGUUAGGUCCCUAAUUCUUUAACCUCUAUUCACACACAUGUAUCAUCGUUUAAGAUUGAUUAAAAGUUUAAAAACAUCACAACUUAUUUCAAUAUCAAAUUUGAUUUUCGAAUUCCUGAACUAUCAACUAUAGAAAAUAUGUUUUGAUUCUUCAUUUAUUUUUAUAUUUAAUAUAUGUCAUUAAGGUUUUAAGCAUAUUUAGAUUGAUUUUAACACUUAUAAUUGGUAUUAAAACCAUUUUAUUGUCUCUACCUUAAUUAUGUGCAACCUAAAAAAAUUGAUUAUGUGCCUUAAUUAUUUUCUUUUAAUCCUUAUGGUAAAAAAAAUUUCUUACGAAUUUGGAAGAAAACUGUUUGUAUUAUGCUUUUGAAAGAUGAAGAAGUCAAGUUUUGGGCAUGAAAAAUGAGGGCUAUUAAUAUCCAAUCGAUCCCUACCUCCCCUUACAACUUUUACAGUGCAAUGGCCUAGCUAUACCCCUAUUGAUGGGAGCAAGUUGUAGAGUUAUGAUUGUAUGUUGUCCAUAUUAUAGAGAUUUUGAUAUAGUGGUUUAUAGUUUUGAAUCAUUCUUUACAACUUGUAACAAUUGUAUCAUUAUUCCUUUUAAGAGAAAAGGGGUAUAUAGUGGUUAAUAUGUCCUUGUCAACACCCUUUAAAAUCAAAUCCCACAUUUUCUUCAUAAAGUAAUAUAGAUUAGGUACGAACUUCCAGUUUUUAAAUCUGGAAAGCUAUCAAAAAUUAGACAUUUAUACCAAUAAAAAAUAUGAAAAUUUUCCAGAAAUUUAAAAUUUUGGAUAUUUUGUGAAAAUUUCAUAAAUUUGGUAUUUUUGUGAAAAAAAAAAAUCAUAUUUUUGGUGUUUUUAUGAAAAAUACAUAAAUUUGGCAUUUUAUGAAAACCAUUUUGUGGAAUUAAAAUUUGGAUAUUUAUGUGCUUAAAAUCAUGUCUUUUUUGUAUGUAUAAUUUAUUGUUUUCAUUAUAUAUGUAAUUUGAAUUUUUACUAUAUAAAUUUAAACAGUGUUCAUAUAUGUAAAUAUUGCUUAUGGUUGCAUGCAAUUUAUAUAAACAGUUUUGUGAAUAAAAUUAAAUAUCUAUUGAUCUAUAUAAUUUUAAUUAAUUAGGGAUUAGCCACAACAUCUUUAAUUAUGUAAAAUUAUAUAUUAAGUACUUUAGGAUCACAUAUAUAAAAAUGACAUUGAUUGUAAUUAAUCAUAUUUAAAUAUAAUAAAUUUUAUCCUUUAUCAUAUUUGUAUUAUUAAUAAUGAUAGAAUAUCAAAUUAUAUUCUUAAUUUACCUAUAGGAAUUAGGAAAGGAACAUAAUUGAUAGUUUUAUCAUAAAGUUAGAUGAAUCUAAUUGAAUUAGAACUUUAGUACACAUACAAGUUUUAUGUCACUACUUCAUAUUUUUGAAACAUGAUUUAUAUUGGUAAAACAUGAUAUAUAUUUAUUAACCUCAAAUUACUAUUAUAUAAGCAUGUAUGUUUAAUAUUUAUGCAGUUAUGCAAUCUGUGAAUUUUUCCGAUAUAAGAUGUGAUAUUCUUGAACUAAAGGGUGACAACUACAAAGUAUGAAAGGAAAGAAUUCUCUUUCAUUUGAGGUAGAUGGACAUUGAUUAUGUUAUUAGGAAAGACGAACCAAGCAUUACCACAACUAGCACUGUAGAUGAAAAGGCUCUUUAUAAAUGAUGGGUGUGAUCCAAUUGCCUUAGUGUGAUGUUCAUAAAAAACAAAAUCUCUACUGGUAUUCAAUGUUCAGUUGAUCAACAUGAUAAAGUUAAGGCAUUAUUAAAGGCUACUGAUGAACAAUUUCAAACUUCAGAUGAGACACUUGCCAGUACCUUGAUUAUGAAGUUUUCAUCCUUAAGGCUCACCAGUGUAAGAAGUGUAUGUGAACACAUCAUGCAAAUGAGGGACAUUGUAACUCAACUAAAAACUCUUGAGGUUGAAAUGUUUGAAUCUUUCCUUGUGCACUACAUACUGAACACUUUUCCACAACAACUUCUGACCAUGUGUGUUCAAGAGGUAUGGAGGUUGGUAAUGGAAAUUGGUGAGAAUGCAUUAUUCGCAAAACAAGGAAAUAACCAAAACCAAGCCAAAAAAAAAAAAAAAAAAGGAAAGGUAAAAUACUGCCCCAAUGAGAAAUAAAAAAAGAAUCCAAGUGCUUCAUCUGCAAAAAGAAAGGACACAUGAAGAAAAAUUGCUCCAAAUUUCAUAAAUGACUUGAGAAAAAAGGUAAACCAAUCUCAUUUGUUUGUUAUGAAUCUAAUAUGGUUGAUGUUAAGCAUGACACAUUGUGGAUUGAUUCUAGUUCUACAAUCCAUAUUUCAAAUACCUUGUAGGGUACACAAAACCUAAGGAAGCUAGUGGGAAGUGAGUAGUGCAUCUAUUCAAGAAACAAGAUGCAUUCAUAUGUAAAAGCUCUUGGAACAUGCACUUUAGUUUUAAGUAGUGGUUUUGUUCUAAAUUUGGAAAAGACAUUUUACAUUCCAAGUUUUUCUAAGAAUUUGAUUUCAGUUUCAAGACUUGUUCCUUUUGGUUAGUCCUUUUAACUUUUCAAAAACAUCAUUUAGUUUAUUUUAUAAAUCUAAUCUUGUUGGGAAUGGUACAUUGUCUAAUAGUCUUUUCUUUAUUAAUUUGCAAAAUGAUACUACUCAUAAUGUUAUGCAUCUUCACACUGGUGUUAAACGAUGUGUUAUGAAUGAAGAUUCCUUUAUGUUAUAGCACCGAAGAUCAAAACAUAUCUCAAUAGAAAGAAUUAAGAGAUUAGUAAAUUAUGGAGUAUUUAGUACUUUGGAUUUUACUGAUUUUGAUAUUUGUAUGAACUUCAAUAAGAGAAAAUAGAUCAACAAGUAAAAAAAAAUGUGCUAAAAGGAGCAUAGACAUAUUGAAGAUCAUACAUUCAGACAUUUGUAGUCUAGACAUGGACUCAUAUGGUCUAAAAUACUUCAUCUCUUUCAUAAACGAUUACUCAUGAUACAUGUAUCUCUACUUGCUUCAUAACAAGAAUGAAACAUUAAAUGUUGUCAAGUUUUUAAGGCCAAAUUAGAAAAUCAAUAUGGAAACAAAUUAAGAUAAUGAGAACAAAUAGAGAUGGAGAAUAUUAUGGUAAAUACACUAACGAUGGACAAACACCCGGUCCAUUUGUGAAGUUUCUUCAAGAGCAUGGGAUAGUUGCCCAAUAUACCAUGUAUGGUUCUCCAUACUAGAAUGGCAUAGCAGAAAAAAUAAACUGAAUGUUAUUGGACAUGAUACAGAGUAUGCUUAGUAGCUCCAAGCUUAUUAAAUCCUUGUAGACUGAAGCUUUUAAAAUGACAAUGUAUAUAUUGAACCGAGUCCCAACUAAUGUUGCCCUAAAAACGUCAUUUGAAUUAUGGAAAGAUUGGAAACCGAGUUUGCAACAUAUACGCAUUUGGGGAUGCCCAUUUGAAGUAAGAGUUUACCACCCACAAGAGAAUAAACUAGACCUAAGGACCAUUAGUGGAUUUUUCGUUGGAUAUGCAAAAAGGUCUAAAUGGUACAUAUUCUACUAUCCCACAACACUAGGAUUGUGUAAUCAAGAAAUGCAAAAUUCCUUGAGAAUGACUUGUUCAAUGAGAAUAUCAAACCUAAAGCAUAGUCUCUGAGAAAGAUCAAUCUUCCAUUUCAAGUGAAAGGUUGGUUAUUAUUCACAACACCUCUCAAGUUCAAAUGGGAGUUGAGCAACCAAUCGUUGAAGUUCCACAAGCUAUUGAGAAUAAUCCAAUAGAUUAAGUUGUUCAGGAAAUGCCAAAAAUUGUUGAACAACCAAUUGAACAACAUAAUCCUCAGGAAAAUUUUGAUUCAACAUUAAAGAGAUCUACUAGAGCAAGGAAAUUAGCAAUUCCUAGUGAUUAUGUUAUGUAUCUAAAAUAAUUGGAUUAUAACAUUUGAGCCGAAAAUGAUCUUGAAACAUUUUCACAAGCCAUUAGUUGCGAAAGAUCAAAUUUAUGGUACAAUGCCAUGAAGGAUGAGAUGAAUUCUAUGGCAUCUAACGAAGUCUAGAAUCUUGUUGAGUUGUCUGAUAGUGCAAAAGUCAUAGGAUGUAAAUAGGCUUUUAAGACAAAAAAAGACUCAUUGGACAAUAUUGAAAGAUAUAAAGCAAGACUUGUUGCUAAAAAAUUCACUUAAAAGGAAAUAAUCGACUAUAAGGAGUCCUUCUCUCCUAUAUCUAAGAAAGAUUAUUUUCGUAUUAGUAUGACAUUGGUUACACAUUUUGAUUUAGAGGUACAACAAAUGGAUGUGAAAAUGGCUUUCCUUAAUAAAGAUCUAAAGGAAGAAGUUUACAUAAAACAACCAAAAGAAAUUUCCUCUAGAGAUGGUGAGCAUUUGGUGUGCAAGCUCAAGAAAUCCAUAUAUGGAUUGAAACAAGUCUCCCGUUAGUGGUACUUGAAAUUCCAUGAUGUUCGUUAUCUCUUCGUGUGGGUCUGUAGAGAAUAGUAUAAAUCAAUGUAUAUACCAGAAAGUUAGUAAGAGUAAAAUAUGUUUACUUAUUCUAUAUGUGGAUGACAUUUUACUUGCAACUAAUGAUAAGGGUUUGCUACAUGAGGUAAAACAAUUUCUAUUUAAAAACUGACAUGAAAUAUUUGGGUGAUGCUUCUUAUGUCAUUGGCAUUAAGAUACAUAGAGAUAGAUUUUGAGAAAUUUUGGGUUUGUCUCAAAAAACCUAUAUCAACAAAGUUUUAGAGAGAUUUUGGAUAAAAUAUUGUUCACCAAGUAUAGCUCCUAUUGUGAAUGGUGACAGGUUCAAUUUGCACUAGUGCCCAAAAAAUGAUAUUGAAAUGAAACAAAUGAAGAACAUUUCAUAUGUUUCUGUUGUUGGAAACUUAAUGUAUGCUCAAGUCUACAUAAGACUUGACAUUACAUUUUUUGUUAGGAUGUUAAGAAAAUAUCAAAGUAAUUCAGGUACAAACCACUGAAGAGUUGCAAAAAAUGUGUUAAGGUGUUUUCAAGGGACGAAGGACUACGUACUUAUGUAUAAACGGACUAAUAAUCUGGAGGUGAUUAGCUACUCAAAUUCAAACUUUGUUGGUUGUGUUGAUUCACAAAAAUCAACUUCUAGAUUCAUUUUUAUGUUCGUUGGUGGAAUUGUAUCCUGGAGGAGUGCAAAGCAAACUUUGUCUACUACUUCCACUAUAGAGGCUGAGUUUAUAUCUUGUUUUGAGGUUACCUCGCAUGGUGUAUGGAGGAAAAGUUUCAUUUUUUAACUUAGAAUUAUAGAUUCAAUUUCUAAGCUAUUUAGGAUAUAUUGCAACAAUUUAUGUGUAGUUUUUAUGGCUAAAAACAAUAAAAGUGGUAGUCGAAGCAAACACAUCAACAUCAAGUAUUUAGUCAUAAGGGAACAUGUUAAGAAGAAAAUAAUGGUUAUUGAAUACAUCAGCACUGAGUUGAUGAUAGUUGAUCCUUUGACAAAAGGCAUGCCACCAUUGAAAUUCAAGAAUCAUGUGAAUAGAAUGGGACUUCAUUCCUUUAUAUGAUUUUCGUUGUAAUAAUGAAUGUUAUUUGUGAUGAAACUUUAUUAAUGUGAUAAUAUUUUCUCUUAUUUGUUUCUAAUUUGUAUACACAUUCAUUCAUUUGAGAAAUAUUACUAAUGUUUGGACCUGAAAUAAACCUUAGGCUUAUUCAUUAAGUAAUGAAGGCAAGUGUUUAAGAGACAUGAUGCAUUGUGAUACAUGGAAGAUAAUACUUGUUUCAGAGAAUCUAUUGUCAUGAUUUGUGUAUUUUGUUUCUUACUAUGGUGAAUGAUGGAAUAUAUAGACCAAGUGGGAUAAUAUUAGAUUUUCCUAAACAGAUCUAGAAAUCUGGCCUAUAAUCUUCCAUUAAUUUUGGGAAUAAUGCUAGACUUAAAUAGGUCUAGAAAUGCUGUCUCUAUUAUUCUAGAAUUUCUAUUGAUUUAGUUUUACAUUUUUAUUGUCAUUAACAACCAUAAAUAAAUUAUGGUAUUGACUCUGUGAUGGGCAGGGUAAAUAUAAAUAGAGCCUUCGUGGUUAGGUCUCUAAGCUUUUGACUUCGAUUUUUAUUCAAAUACAUAUACACUAUUGUUUAAAAUUGAUUAAGAGUUUAGAAGCACCUCAACCCAUUUGAAGAUCAAAUUUGAUUUCUAAAUUCUCAAAUUGAGGUAUGUUCCUCUUCUCCUUUAUUUCCGCAUUUGAUAUAGGCUACACUGGAAGGACCCAGUGUUGUCUCUAUAAUUGACUCUUAUUUCGUCGUCAUGUUUCCGCCUCAAAAAACCCCGAUUCCUUGUUUACACACUGCUACCAAAGGGGAUAGAUUCCUUGUUUACACACUGCUACCACAGGGGAGAGAGGAGGAGAGCUACCAACCAAACAAUGGAGGUUGAAGCUCAGCUGAGCAGCAACACGAGGAAGGCUCUGCUGGUUCUGAGUUGUGUGAUUCUCUCAAUUGGACACUGCGGUGGUCCCUUGGUGAUGCGCCUAUACUUCGUCCGUGGCGGCGAGAGGAUAUGGUUUUCCAGUUGGUUGGAAACGGCUGGGUGGCCCUUGAUCCUAGUCCCUCUCAUCAUCACUUACAUGCACCGCCGAACUAAGCAAGGCUCCCAUGCCAAGCUCUUCUUCAUGAAACCUCCUCUGUUCGUAGCCUCCGCUGUUAUCGGUGUCCUCACCGCCCUCGAUGACUACCUCUACGCUUAUGGCGUAGCAAAACUGCCCGUUUCAACAAUUGCUCUCAUCAUCGCAAGCCAGCUCGCUUUCACAGCAGCCUUCGCAUUCCUCUUAGUGAAACAAAAGUUCACCUCAUACUCCGUAAAUGCCAUAUUUCUCUUGAGUAUUGGUGCUGGUGUCUUGGCUCUACACACUAGCUCCGACCGCCCUGCUAAUGAGUCCAACAAAGAAUAUUACCUCGGGUUUUUCAUGACACUUGCAGCUGCAGCGCUCUAUGGUUUCAUUCUCCCCCUGGUUGAAUUAACAUACAAGAAAGCAAAGCAGGCAAUAACCUACUCACUGGUCAUGGAGAUUCAAAUGGUGAUGUGCUUCUUCGCCACCUUCUUUUGCACAGUGGGGAUGCUGGUUAAUAAUGACUUUCAGGUGUAUUCCUCUUUUCUAUCCACCCAGUUACCUUUAACACAUUCAACCAGAUAGAACCACCAAAAACAAAGAUUGAUAAUUUAUGUUUGCUUCUUCCUCAUUUAAUUUUGUAGGCAAUUCCCAGAGAGGCAAAAGAAUACGAGCUUGGAGAAGCUAAAUAUUAUCUGGUGGUGGUAUGGAAUGGGAUCAUGUGGCAGUGCUUCUACUUAGGAGCAAUAGGAGUCAUCUUUUGCGCUUCAUCUUUGGUAGCCGGUAUUGUGCUUGCUGUCCUACUCCCCGUGACUGAGAUCUUGGCUGUUAUUUUCUUCCACGACAAAUUUCAAGCAGAGAAGGGGGUUUCACUUGCUCUCUCUCUUUGGGGUUUUGUUUCAUACUUCUACGGCGAGAUAAAGGAUAGCAAGAAAAAGAAGAAUCCCACUCCGGAGACGGAGCUGCCUCAAACAGUCAAUCCAUGAUAAACAAAUGUCUUUCUUUUCCCCACAGAAGAGGGGGGACAGGAUUCGCAUAUAAGCAUUUACUAGGGAAUUUAAAGAAACACUUCAUCUGUAUGUUACAGGCAGUUCAUAACCAAGACUAAAGUGGGUUUCUUUCCAGUUUUGAGAUGAAGGAAUUCCAAUAAAAUAUGGACUGUAAGGUCAAGGCGUGCUAAAUGUGAAGUCGAUACAGAGUGGGAAAAUAUGACAUAUUUUGAGACUUAAUAGUCAUAUCCAAUUUCUAUUAUCUAUAAUAUUAUAUAGUAUUAUAAAAUAAUCUCUCUCAUCCUUGGAUAUGGUUAAACUAUGUUAAAAUUUGAGUAUUCUGUUUAUGGUUGGUUUUAUCUCUGUAUGUUCUUAUUACAGCUUCCACUUAACACAUCAACUUAGUAUUAAAACCUUGGUUGAAUAUUUUUUAGAAGAACCAAAGAUAAUAGAAGAUUGUGGUCCAUGAAAAAAACCCUAACACACACUAUCAAUGUACAAUAGUGUAUACCAUAAAUAAAUAAAAAAGAAGAAAUAUUCACUUAAACGAAAUUUUUAACAGUAGAAAUGGUUGAAAAAUGCUUCCAAUUCCUAAAGAAUAUUUUAAAUAUUGAUUGGGAACUUGCAACAUUUCCCAAUAUUAGAAUCAAUAAGGAAACGGUCUUACUGAGAAAGAAUUGAAGUCAUCGUCAUCCAGGCAAGAUGAUGGGCCAUUAAGGUUAGGUUGGGAUCAAGAGAAGCUGGAUAUGGAUUGUUUUGUUAAUCCAGUAUAACUUAAAAGCUUAAUUAAGUUAUGUAAUAGUGGACCAACAGUGCACUUUGCACUGAUUUGGGUUACAUGUUAGGGUCGUAGCCCAAGUAGGUUGAUAUAUGAUGGUGGACCAACAACUGCAUGCGAAUGAAUGGCUAUGUGAAUUUCCUAAGACUCGGUUCAUUUCAACUUCUACUGAUUGCAUCGAAACUUUCGGGAAGAAUUGGCGUAUGGAUCUUCCCUAAAUGGGUGUUGACGCCGCCAAAAUAGGCACCUCCAAAUACAUGGCCUUAAGCCACCUACAGCAUAGCCGCCCAAGACGCAAGCAUCUGUAGCUAUCCAAAACGAGCUCGGCUAAAAAUAAGUGCCUGCAUAUGAGAUAUGACUCACAUCCAGGACUGGCAGGUUGACCGAACUGACCCUCAAAAGAAGGCCUCACCAACUCUUAAACAUUAUCGGAACAGGCUGGCAGGCUUUAACACAUGCCCUAACCAUAUAAACGUAAAAAAAAAAAAAAAGAAAAAAAAAAAGAAGAAGAUCAUAAUAAGACAAAAAGGGGAGAAAGAAAUUCUCUCGUCUACAGGUGUCGAAGCUUCAUUCAACACAGAGUUGUAAGAUUACCAAUGUUGGGUGCAGACCUAUCCUUUCUAGUUAUCUCCGCCGGUGAAGCUUGAGGAGGAAAAACAAACCACAAGGUCAUUUCGAUACUCUACUCUUUAGGCUUUACCUGGACACUAAGAAGAUAAUCAAAGAUUACAAAGCAGAAUAUGAGGAGGGAGGUUUGUGGUUUGGUACGUAUUGUAGCUUCAGAUUUGGUCUGUCCCAUAGAGUAAAAGUGAUGGUCCCCAGUUCAAAGCAACGAGGUAAGAGUUUUAUCACUGAAUUUGCUGGAUUUAGAAGGAUUCAUCGUUUCAAUAUGACGCCACUUAUUUAUUGUUUCGGGGUAUUCCAGGCAUGCUCUUGCUUACAAUUCCAAGACAAACGCAUCUCUUUAGAGGCACUGUCCUUGAGAAAUGGUAAAGUUCCUCCAAGCUGUGAGAAAAUCCAAGGGGUUUUUCCCGAGGAUUCUCCAUGUAUGGCCCCGUUGGGUUGAACCGUACGGGUUAGAAGGUGGAGUGGACUGAGUUGGCUCAACCAUCUUGGAAUAUGGAUUCAGCGUCAAGGAUUCGGCUGCACCAUGUUGGAGAUGGACUGACUGGCCCAUGUGUUCUGUAAGGGAGUCCAAUGGGCACCCAUGCAAUAAAAGCCCGUGUGACGUGCUCUUGGAGAUCAAAACAUGAUCCGUACAAUACAACUUACUGCCGACCUACGCCACAGGUCGUGGCGCUGGCACCCGUAGGGUCUAGAGACCACAUAUUCAAACUGAUAAUUACAGUAUUCAUUCCUGUCACCAAUUUCGAAAUGGCCCACCCAAGAAACAUGUGGAGCUUUCACCCAAAAUAUUGCGUUUUAAAAAAAAAUUUCAAAAAAUAAAGUUGUUUUAAAAAUAAUGUACGAUGUAAUAAAUAUAUACCACAUAAGCUGUCAUGGCAUAAAACUGUAGUUGAUGACUACGGUUUUAUUUUUUUAAAAUGGUUAGAAACCGUAGUUACCAACCACGGUUUUAACUUUAAGUUUAAAGCCGUAGUUGGUGACUACGGCUUUGACAUUUUUUUAAAAUGGUCAAAGUCAUAGUUACCAACUACGAUUUUAACUUUAUAUAUAUUUAUAUAUAACUUUAAUUUUUUUAAUAAAAAUAUUAUAUUAUUUUGAUUUUAAAUAUACUUAUUUCAUUAUUUUAAAAAUAAUAAUAUAUGAAAUUAAAUAAAUGAUAUUUUUAAUUUGAUAUAAAUAUAUUUUUAAAUUUUAUUAAAAUAAUAUAUUCUAUAUUUAAUAUAAAUAUAUUUAUUUAAUUAUAUUUAAAUAUAAAUAAAAUAUAAUAAAUUAUGAAAGCCUAUUAAAAAACAAAUAAUAUAAAUUAUUAUAUUAAUUAAUAAUUUUUUAUAUACUAUAUGUAAGUGGUAUAUAAUGUCACAUGUAUAUAAGUUCAAUUAAGUUUAAAAUUUAUCAUAUUUUAAUUUAAGUUCAUAAUAUUAUAUCGAUAUGAUAAUAAUUUAUUUAUAUAUUUAAAUAAAUAUGCUAAAUUUUAAACUUAAAUUAAAAUUAUAUAUAUAUAUAUAUAUGUGUGUGUGAUAUUAUAUACUAUUUACAUAUAAUAUAUAAAAAAAUUAUUAAUUAAUAUAAUAAUUCAUAUUAUUUUUUUCUCCAAAUAGGCAUUUAUAAUUUAUUUAUUUUAAAUAAACAUAAUUUAUUAUAUUUCAUUUAUAUUUAAUUUUAAUUAAAUAAUUAUAUUUAUAUUAAAUAUAGUGUCAAUUGUUUUAAUAAAAUUUAUUUAUAUAUUUAAAAAUAAUGUGAUAAAUUUUAAACUUAAAUUAAACUUUUAUAUAUAUAUAUAUAUAUAUAUAUAUAUAUAUGUGUGUGAGAGAGAGAGGUAUUAUAUACCACUUAUAUAUAAUAUAUAAAAAAAUUAUUAAUUAAUAUAAUAAUUUAUAUUACUUUUUUAUUUUUCUAAAUAGGUAUUUAUAAUUUAUUUAUUUUAAAUAAAUAUAAUUUAUUAUAUUUUAUUUUAAUUAAUUAAUUAUAUUUAUAUUAAAUAUAGUGCCUAUUGUUUUAAUAAAAUUUAAAAUAUAUUUUUAUAUCAAAUUAAAAAUAUCAAUUAUUUAAUUUCGUAUAUUAUUAUUUUUAAAAUAAUAAAAUAAGUAUAUUUAAAAUCAAAGUAAUAUAAUAUUUUUAUUAAAAAAAUUAAAAUUAUAUAUAAAUAUAUAUAAAGUUAAAACCGCAGUUGGUGACUACGGUUUUGACCAUUUUUAAAAAAAAAAAUCAAAGUCGUAGUCACUAACUACGACUUUAAACUUAAAGUUAAAACCGUGGUUGGUAACUACGGUUUCUAACCACUUAAAAAAAUAAAACCGUAGUCACCAACUACAGUUUUAUGACAUGGCAGUUUAUGUAGCACAGACGCAUUAGAUCGGUCAUUAUUUUCAAAGCAAUUUUAUUUUUUGGAAUUUUUUUUUAAAACACACUAUUUUGGGUCAAAGCUCAAUGGCCAUCAAACGGGGAAUCACGUGAUGAGAAAUUGAAGAGAAGAAUUAAAAACAAAAAAUAAAUAAAAAGAAGAAAAGGAAAGGUCAAUACCCCUCAAUCAGUUUCAAGAAAAGGGCAUGUGUUAUGAGCAAUGCACUGAAACGCGAACCAUUUCAGCCCUCCAAAGGACAACACAAGUUAAUAGCCCGUGUGGUCCCAACCUUCUGGAAAUACGAUUCCUCCCACCAAAUCUUGGUAAUCAAAAUAAAAUGGGUUAUCAUCUUCAACUGCUUUGCAUGCCUAAUGAACAUUGUUUUCGAUUACCAGUAUAGUUAGUUCUCUCAUUAACAUUUCUUCAGGAUCAAGGAUAUUGUUUUCAUUGACUUGCUCCUAUUUUGCAUUUGUUGAUGGAGAUACACAACGCACACACAUUAAUCCUAAUCUUAAAAAAUGGUAUUAAAUCUGUUCAAGGAAGCUAAGCAGGAAGAGCAUAAAACCUUGCAUUCACAGCAUUGUCGAUUUGUGAUUUAGCCCGGAUGCUUCUGAAAGCAUUAUGGAUAGGUUCGAAGCCCUCAGAAAUUAGACUAAUGCCAUGUUUACGUCAUCAUUACUAGCUUUCACACCAAAAUUCCAAAAAGAUAAACGCUAUGGUAUUAGUUUAAUGUUUAUCUCAUUGCCACCACACUAGUCAUCUAGAAGGUUUUACUGCUUUGAAUGGCUGCACAGGGUUUACACAAUAGAAGUAAAAAAAUGGGGCCUCUUCGCUGAAGCAUAAUUGGACUCUUGUGAGUCUAACCAUUAAUCUGGAACUGGAAAGCUGCCCUCUUUUAUUUAACUCCUAUAAUGAAGAUAAUGAUCCGAGACAUCAAUGUUUUCAACGAAAACUGGAUCGCUACACUUGGAUGUCCAGCAAAUUUUCAAUUUAAAUAAUGUACAAGACAAUCAAGGAGGUGAAAAAAAUUGAUGAAGCGAAUCAACAGUUUCUGAUACCAAUUUCAGGCACAUACGGCAUGUGCAAAUAUCUAGAUAUUUUAAUCCCAAAUAAAAUAAUGGUUCCUUUUUUCGUUUUCUUUUGUUUGACGUAUGCAUCAGGAACGGAACAUAUCUUAUAUUAUUUUGAUUCCAAAUUUCAAAUGAAGACGAGAUUCCAUAACUGAAUUGUCAACACGACCUUUGGGACUGAUGAACCUUAUUCAAACAAUGAUGAAAGGCAAAUUUUUGUAUUGAUAUAAUACAACUAGCCAACUGUAUGGGUGUAAGGAUCAAGGAAGACUAGGAAAUUUCGAAGGAUGAGACUACAACCCCAUCAGAAUGCCUUCUGGACCCACACUAUUUUAGUUCGUGGCAGUCAAAUCGCAAUAUAAUAGACGUAGGGAAGGACCCAAUGUUAUCACUAUAAUUGACUCUUAUUUCGUCGUCAUGCACCGCCUCAAAAAACCCGAAUUCCUCUUGGCACUGCGACUUCAAGGGAGAAGGAGAAGGAGUAGGAGAGGGGAGAGGGGAGAGGGGAGAGGGAGGGAGAGCUACCAACCGAACAGUGGAGAUGGAAGCUCAGCUGAGCAGCAACAUGAGGAAGGCUCUGCUGGUUCUGAAUUGUGUCAUUCUCUCAAUUGGAAACUGCGGUGGUCCCAUGGUGAUGCGCCUGUAUUUCGUCCGUGGCGGCGAGAGAAUAUGGUUUUCCAGUUGGUUGGAAACGGCUGGGUGGCCCUUGAUCCUAGUCCCUCUCAUCAUCACUUACAUCCACCGCCGAACCAAGCAAGGCUCCCAUGCCAAGCUCUUCUUCAUGAAACCUCCUCUGUUCGUGGCCUCCGCUGUUAUCGGUGUCCUCACCGGCUUCGAUGACUACCUCUACGCCUAUGGCGUAGCAAAACUGCCCGUUUCAACAUCUGCUCUCAUUAUCGCAAGCCAGCUCGCUUUCACAGCAGCCUUCGCGUUCCUCUUGGUGAAACAAAAGUUCACCUCAUACUCCGUAAAUGCCAUAUUUCUGUUGAGUAUCGGUGCCGGUGUCUUGGCUUUACACACUAGCUCCGACCGCCCUGCUAAUGAGUCCAACAAAGAAUAUUACCUCGGGUUUGUCAUGACACUUGCAGCUGCAGCGCUCUAUGGUUUCAUUCUCCCCUUGGUUGAAUUAACCUACAAGAAAGCAAAGCAGGCAAUAACCUACUCACUGGUCAUGGAGAUUCAAAUGGUGAUGUGCUUCUUCGCCACCGUCUUUUGCACAGUGGGGAUGCUGGUUAAUAAUGACUUUCAGGUGCAUUUCUCUUUUCUCUCCACUCAAUUACCCUAACAUAUUGAACCAGAUAGAAGAUUGAUAAUUUAUGUUUGCUUCUUCCUCAUAUAAUUUUGUAGGCAAUUUCCAGAGAAGCAAAAGAAUACGAGCUUGGAGAAGCUAAAUAUUAUCUGGUGGUGGUAUGGAAUGGGAUCAUAUGGCAGUGUUUCUUCUUAGGAGCAAUAGGAGUCAUCUUUAGCGCUUCAUCUUUGGUAUGCGGUAUUGUGAUUGCUGUCCUACUCCCCGUGACAGAGAUCUUGGCUGUUAUUUUCUUCCAAGAAAAAUUUCAAGCAGAGAAGGGGGUUUCACUGGCUCUCUCUCUGUGGGGCUUUGUUUCCUACUUCUACGGCGAGAUAAAGGAUAGCAAGAAAAAGAAGAAUCCCACUCCGGAGACGGAGCUGCCUCAAACGGUCAAUCCAUGACAAACAAAUGUCUUUCUUUUUCCUCGGAAGGCAAGGGACAGGAUUAGCACAUAAGCAUUUACCAGGUAAUUUAAAGAAAUCCUUCGUCCGUAUGUUAACAGGCAGUUCAGCUGAUUCACUAAAUCUGUGCAAAGGAAAUGCUUGAAUUUGGUUCCUAAAUACAUGCUUGAAUAUUGAAUUUACUUGAAUUCUGCAACCGCUGUGAGCGGAACAUGUUGAAAAGGAGAUCAUUUAGUUGUUCUAUAUAAGAUAAUUUCAAGAAUGAGCAAGUCUUGUUUUUUUAGUUUUCAAUUUUAGUGGUUUAUGAAAUCAUAGAAAAAAGAUCAUGGGUGUCUUCAAAUGUAGAGUUUUUAUCUACCAUCAACUCAACAACCUCUCAUCCCAAUAACCACUUGCACUCAUUUGGAGGUAGGUGUCAACUACCCUAGUCAACUGCCACAGUAUCAAAUGAACCACAACAACUAUAUUUUUCAUAUUUUGUAGUGGAUGAUAUUGAUAUGAAGCGAAUGAGACGCGAGCCGCGCUCACAGGCUAGGACUUUAAUUGGUGAAGCCUCCCAACUCACAUAGUCAACUCGCUCGAAAUUCAGUUGUUCAAGUUUUCUAAUAAAUAAAACAGUUAUUUUAAAAUAUAAAAUUUUAAAUUAUAUCAUAAAAUACUAAGGUAAAAAAAUUAGAAAAUACUAAAAUAUCGAUUUCAUAUCUAUCAAGCUUUCAAUUUUGAUCGAUGAAAUAUAAGCCAAUGAAUAAGAUUACAAAUAUAUGGAUUCAAUAUACAAACGAGUGGGAUGGAAAUGACUCAAAUGAAUGGGACAUAAAAAAAGACAAAUGAAUGAGACAUAAAAAAAGACGCAUAAUAAUGAUACCAAAUUAUAUAUGCAAUAAUUAUGAUAGAUAUUUAAAAUUUAUUUUUUAAAGAAUAAAAUACAUUAUAACACACUUGAAAACAUAAAUCGAAGACUUUUUUACUUCAAAUUUCUCUCAAAAGGAAAUUUUAUAAAUAAAAUAAAUUUGUAUGGGUAUUAAUUGACAAAAUUUCAAAUCAACAAUAGUUCUUGCAUUUGUAUCGAACUUUAAAAAAUGUAAGUGAAAUUAAUCCUAUUUUUGGAUUGUUAUUUAUAUCAAAUCUUCCCCAUCUUAAUUCCAACCCAAACAACACUUGACAUGGAUUGGGUGGAACAACUUUAACAAAAUUUCGAGCUGUCAUCUCUAAGGUUAGUUUGGAAUAGAAAAUAAAAACGAAACAAUUUCAUUCUCCUCUAUUAAUGUAUCCAGACUAUUUAUUACGAUGAAAAUUAGAAUAAAAAUUUCAUUAGUAUAUAAACCAAAUCUGCCUAUGAAUAAAAAAACAGUAGAUAAAUCCUCUAAGGUUACUUUGGAAUAGAGAAUAAGAAUGGAAGAAUUUCAUUCUUCUUUAUUAAUGGAUCCAGAUUGUUGUUUACAAUGAGAAUAAGAGAAUUAGAAUAAAAAUUUCGUUAGUAGGUAAACCAAAUCUGCCAAUGAAAAAAAAAAGGACCAGUAGAUAAAUCAAAUCUCACUUUUACAAUAAUUUUGAUUCAUUCUUUUGUACAUGACAAUGCGAUUCACUUUCAUUCUCUUUCCAUUUCCACUUUUCCACUUUUCCACCUACCACUCAUCCGUCCUAGUCGUAAUGUGAUUACCGUGUCUCGUAUCUUUGGUAAAGAGAACCAACCGACUAUAUCUCAACAAAGCGUCCAUCAUUUAUGCCAUGCAGCGAACAUCAUGCGAAAGAGCCAAUGAGCGUUUCAGAACCUUAUCCAGGACUCAUUUCCCCAUACUACUGAAGCUUAAUUUGAGUUUCCCCAUCAUUUCGCUGCAUAUGAUACUGAAAGGGUCGCCAGUAGGAUUUCUGUAGUCCAGGAGUACGGGGUCACUAAUCCACUGAUUUUGUCAUCAAUUUCAAAUCUGACACAACUUCCACUACACACAAUACAAAAGGCACACGAGUUUGAAGUCUAAUCAUAAACUUAUGAUAAGAACGAGCUCCAGAUCUAACCUAUCAUUUGCCAUCGAGUAGAAAUUUGAUUCUGCUAUGUAUUAACUACCAAUAUCAGGUAGUGACGUGUAGAGCAUAAAAUUCAACAUAUGCGGCCCGGCGUUCUCUGAAACACCCACGGCAUGAUUGGCGGGACUUUGAACUAAUCUAUUCAGUCAUAAUAAUGCCAUCUGUAGGUUUUCCCCAUGAUCUGUUCAUCAUAAUCAGAAAUGACUUGGAUUCCUAAAUUCAUACUGCAGAGUAGAGAUGCUCCAUUCUGAAUUUAUGCUUCACUUUGAAAUUUUAGAACCAAAAACUAGGUAGAAGAGUCCAGUAUGCAAGAUUUGGGAAGAAAGGGACAAAAUUUGAACAAGUAACAUUUUUAUUAAUGAAAAGAACCAGUUGUAUACAAAAAUUAUGCAUGUUGAACGUACAAUGGACAAUUAUUAAACCCAAAAGGUGAAGCAGCUCUGAGCUAGGGGUUAAAUCACUGCUAAGUGCAAUUGCUGAUGGCAAGAGAUACCUUCCAUCAACACAGAAUUCCUGCAAAGGAUAAAGAUGGCAGCGCUCGCUAUCCAUCCCUUAAAGCCACCAGGUAGGUCCUCAGCCCAUGGUUUUACUCAGCAACAGAAGAACCAAUAUGAACAGAGACAUUUCAAGCAUAAACCUAGGACCCGUUCCACGUUCAAAAAUUUGCUGCCACCUGUAAGUUCAACCAGUAGAUAGCUGCUGAUAAAGCCUGUUACCCAUUUCCAGAAUCUCCAUUACAUAAAGAAGACUGGACUAAAAGGAAAGAAUGAUAUCCAAUGAAAAAUUUAUCCAAUUGUUGCAUCUUAAAUUGUAUAACACAAGCUUAAUUGUUUCAUGGCAAUACUAGUGAAAUGGUUCACAACACUACAGGAUAACCUAUAAUUUUAAAAUCAGUUCAGGAUGAGAAAUGAUGCUGAAUGAACAUCACUACAUGAAAACAGAAACAAACAUCAGAAGCACAAACAAUGUUGGUCAGAUCAAAUCCACAAGAUAAAACCCACAACAUAAUAUACUACUAGUUUUCCUAAAAGCCUGGCCUUCUCAAAGGACUUAAUUGUGUCAAUUCAUUAUUCAUGCACAGAUUCAAAUACAGCUGGUAGCUAUGGAAGGUCAUGAUAUAAGAAACAAAAAUGAUAACCAACCAUCCAAACUCCUGACUCGUCACAUGGGGUUCUUUUUAGGAAGAAAAAAAAAAUCUCCAGAAGCAAGUGCAAGAAAACAGGGCCAGUAAGCAGGGAAGAAAAUAUAAGAAACUGAGAAAAUAAAUAAAAAUAAAAAUAAUAAAAAAGUUGGACCAUCAACCCUAAGCUUCAAAUUUAUCUAAUUAAAUUAAGCAACCAUUCUCAAUAGAGUAAAGCUAACAAGUCAUUCCUUAUUAUGCUUCUAAACAAUAUGGUCAAAACUAAAGCAUCAAAGGCUUAUGGAUUGCCACUAAACUUGCACUUCCAACAAUCUAAUGAUAAAAUCAAUAUUUUACCAUAUUGGAUUAUUAGUUUUGAAAAAGACUUAUGAUAUGGAACAGUAAGGCAUCAAGAGAUAGAAGCGAAAGUGCAGCAAAGUAAGAGACAAGAAGGGUCAAAGAGAGUGACAGUAAAAUCAAGGAGAGAAUUUUAGGAGCGCAGAAAUUUCUCUUCUUUUCUUUUUCUUUAACAGGAAAUGGAUCACUUUUAGAUAACUCCAAAUCAGUAAUACCCACAUUAAUAAUCCCAUGAUGAUAUAGAAGUCUCCAGAGAUGACAUAUGUCAUAAAGAGAUGAUAGUCCUCCUUCCCUCUCAAUCCAGCUGAAAUGAACUGAUGUCAUUACCACUUCAGGCAGGGAUGUCAAUAGCACUUCAACACAUUUUUAACUCAACCUUUCAGUCCCAAAGUGCUUGGUGGUAGGUGGUUUGCUCACCAGGAACGGCAAAUUUUUUUCUAAGGUUUUAACAACAAUCUGAAGUUGGGCAUGUCAUAAGUGCCUCAGAUAUACUGAAAUCAGCUCUCUUGGAGCCAUCUUACUAUACAAUCCAAGUUCUCAGCAGUAGGAAGGCCAAACUCCACCAUAAUAGAGAGGCAACAACUUCAUUUUAAACCGCCUAAGCCCUGCUCUCUCAACUUGAGCAAACGUAUUCAAAUCAAGGCAUUAUGUCAAAGGUGACACCUACAAGGGGGUAUAGGAGGUCAUUGAGUUGUGAAACAACCAUCCUUCUUCAGUGCACAUAAAGAAAGAUCGAUUCAAAAUCUACCACGGGCAGGUAUCAUGUUCCAUAGGAACUGGGAUGAUUUGAGUAUUUUCUUGAAAAUAAGUGUUGUUAUCUGAAUGUUAUAGCACUAUGACAUGGGCAAAGACAUAGGCAGAAUGAGCAUAUGUGAGAAUAAGGACCUAACAAUGCAUCAUACACAAGGUGCACCAGGUGUCAUGUUAGUCGUCCUAAGAUGUGCACUCUAUAAUUAGCUAUGUCACAAGUUGACUAUAUGACAUGCAAUGAUUAGUCCACGAGGACUUCUCAUAAUACAACACCAACACUAAGAUCCUGCAUUUGCAAGAUGUAAACCCUAGGUGAUAAGAAUUGUCUAAGCAAUGUGAAGCUUAUAUAUUGCAAAGAUAACAUUCCAUUUCUUUGAUUUCAUUGAAUUUCACUCAUUUCCAAUUUCCAUGAAUAAGAUGUAACAAGAUAUGUUACAAGUUAACCAAACUAUAAAAUUUCAUUCAUAUUCUCCAUCUUGUAGGUCUGGACUAGCACAUCAGCAAUUAAUGAAGACAAGUUCAGAAUUUCCAUAACCAACAAAAGACCCUUGACUCACAUAUCUAGUUUUUGUUCCAAAGAGCACAAGUUUAGUACAAAAUGAAGGAAAACAUACACAAAAUUACAAAUUACCAAGAUUUAGAGUUUCGAGUUUUGAAGACUUGAAUUUUUUUUUAAGAAAACAAUAGGUUGGUUAUUUUUUAGUGUUAACAUUGAUUUUGAUUACUUUCUAAUUCAACACAUGUUGAUUUGGUUUCCUACAGCUUGUUUAUGUGAAAACACAUCCAUCAGGGGUUAAAUAGCCAUGCUGAGGAUGAAGCAUAAAGGUCCAAGGCUAGAGUAAAAGAGGAACAAUGGGAAAUGGAAACCGCAAUGAAUUUGAGUAAAGGCAAAAAUUGAUGAGAAUGAGAAACUUACUAUGUUAGCUUGGAUUAGGAGAUGAUAUGGUAGCACUUUACUAGGUACUAGUGAUCCUUGGUAUCACUUAAUCACUAGUUAUCUCAAUUCAUUAUCUAUCCUAAGACAAAUCUACAAGAGUAAGGACAAGGUUAAGACUUGAACCUUAAUGGGAUUUCAUUCAUUCGAUGGUAUUUAUGAAUCAAGAUUAAAAAGGAAGAACCAAGUUUCAAAUGAAAUUUUGAGUUAUAGAACUCAGAUUGAUUGCAAGUGUCCAUGUGUCCCAAAAACCCUAAGAUCACCAUAAACUGAAAACCCUUGUUCACUCAUAGCUCCAUUCCCGAAAUUGGAUUGUGAAGCCCCUACACUCGAAUCAUUUGAAUUAAAAAUUAAUUGUUGUUUUCCUUCUUAAUUAGUUUUCUUUGAUCAAUUCAAUUUACCAAAAUCAUUACAUUCAUGGUUUCACCUUAGAUUUGGAUAAAGUAAUCACACUAGAUUAGAACUAUCAAAUUCCAAAACUUAGUCCCUGAGAACGAUACCCAAAAUAGAAUAAAGUCGUGAUAAUCCUUCCUCUAGUUUUUCUUAACCAGGGUUAUCAUGCACUUAGGUUAUCGUAUUUUGCAACAAUAGAAAAUCACGAUCAUUUGGUUAUCCCAUUUUUUUCUUGGUCAUCCACAUUUUUUAUUGCUGAAAAAAAAGUUUUUUUUAUAUGUUUGAAAAACUAAAUGUUCAAAACUUCUAUUGUGAUGUUCUUGAGUAUGCUAAAUAUCACCAAGUGUCUCUAAGUAACAAGAAAUUUUUUGUCUCAUUUAGCUUGAUCUAUAUGGAUGUUUGGGGACCUACUAAAAGUUCAUAGCAUUUCCUAAGUAAGUUGGUAUGUCUUAUUUGUUAAUAUCUGCAUUUCAUUUACUUGAGUAUAUCUCAUGAAACAAAAAUCCAAAGUUAGCAAAAUCUUACCCAUUAUCAGUGUAUUGAGAUGAAGUCUAACAAUGAUGUAGUCCUUUUUAAAUGUAUUAUGGAAAAAGAUAAGAUUUACACCUUUGUAGUCGGAUUGAACAUUGAGUUCGAUCCUAUUCAAGUGCAAGUGUUAAGAAAGGAAGAAGUUCCUUCACUCAAUGAAACAAUUGCCAUAAUUCGUGAAGAAGAAGGACAAAGAGGAGUUAUGAUAGAGCCUUAAUCGACAGAUGGUUCAAUCUUGGUUACAAAAGAUGCAAAUCUCAAAGCUAUGAAAUCAAACCAAUAGUAGUUAAAUGCCUAUUUUAGUGGAGUAGGAGGAAAUAAUGGGCUAUCAAAAGGAUCAAAAGCAAGUAAUAAAGACUCUCUAUAGUGUACCUAUUGUAAGAAGCCACAACACAACAAGAAGAGGUGUUGGAAACUACAUGGUAAAUCCUCAAAUACUCAAAAUACUUCUUGGAUAGCAAAGAGUAAUCAAGGAGGAGGGCAAGGACAAGCACAUUUGACCUCAACACAAUUAGGAGGAGAAGGAGAAUUCUCUAAAGGGUAAUUUGAGUCCAAUAGAGAAGAGAUUGAGAAGCUGAGAUAUUUCUUGGGGAAAUUAGAGAGACUUACAGGUGGUGCAAGUACUUGUUCCUUGUCUUUUUCAGGUAAUUCUUAGCCCCAUGCACUUAAUGUGUCGAUCUCAAAAGGAACUUAGGUAAUAGAUUCUGGGGCUAUGAAUCAUAUGACCCAAUCUUCUCAUGGGUUUGUCUCUUAUAGUCUUUGUCUUAGUAAUAAGAAAAUUGCUAUUGUUGAUGGAACAUUGGUUACAGUUGUUGGUCAAGGGAAUGUAGUUAUAAAUCAUAACUUUAUUUUUAAAAAUGUUUUGCAUGUGCCAAAAUUGUCCACUAAUCUAGUUUCAAUUCACAAUCUUACAAAUGAUUUGAACUAUAUGAUGGCCUUUUCUUCUACACUUUGUAAAUUUCAUAACAAAGCAUGGGAACAAUGAUUAGAUUUGCUAGGAAAAGAAAUGGGUUCUACUUUUUUUGACAAACCUAUUGGCCAAAAUAACACUAAGGAUCCUAUUAUGAUGUCUACUUUUUGAGUCUUCUCUUUCAAAUAAAAAUAUAACACGGUUAUAUCACUUCCAUCUUAGUCAUCCUUCUUUUAGUAUUCUUAAAAUUAUGUUUCUUGGUCUGUUUAAAGGAGUUGAUUUGAGUCAAUUUCAUUGUGAUGUUUGUGAGCUUGCUAAACAUAAGUGUGUUUUUUUCCAAUAUGUAAUACAAGAGCUUCAAUACCUUUUAAUCUUAUUCAUAGUGAUGUUAGGGGACCUUCGACAGUUCAUAAUUGUUGAAAUUUGGCAUUCAAAGUUAGGGUUUUAAUUUAGGAAAGUAUUUUAGGAAUAAAAAAGGAGAGAUCAUUUAGGAUAUUUCCUUAGGAUUCAGUUUCCUAAUUUUAGGAGAGAAUCAAGCUAGAUUGAUAUUUACUUAUUCAGUCAUUUUGUGUAUAUAUAUGUGUAUGGUGUGUACCGAACAAGUAUCAAUAAGAAGGAAUUCAGAAAUUCUUCAUGGUAUCAAAGCCAGUUUUCUGAAACCCUAAUCCCUUCUGGCCGCCUCUUAUUCAGGCCAUCAUUCAUUCCGGCCAAGUCUCUCUGGCCAUCUCUCAAUCCGACCAUCUCUCUCUCUGGCCAUCUCUCAUUCCGGCCAUCAGUCCCUGUUCUCAGAGCCAAGGGAGAAAACAUUUUUCGGUCGGUCGAAUCGUCGUCAGAAAACAUUCACCACCGGCGACUUUUCCCUGCGAACUUUUCCGGCUACGUCUUUUUCCCACACCGCAAGGAGCGCCUGGAGGAGAUCUCCAAUUUUUCCCAAAGCACCGGAGCCAGAAAACCACCCACGCGCCGGCCACGCGCGUUUUUCCGGCCGGCGACUGCAUCUCACGCGCCAGCGCGUGAGGGCGCAUGAGCCACUUUCCGGCGACGCGCUUCCUCUUCCAGCCUCGCCUGACACCGACUAGCCACCCUUCAUACCUGUUCUGCCAUCCGAGCCCUGCACGUGCCUCUUUUGGGGUUCUUUUACCUCCGCGGGCCCUCCAAAUAGUUUUCCGGCGUCCUCCGGCUAUUUUUUUCUCAACCCCAAUCCCUGCACGUGCCUUGGGAAGUGUUCUUCUACCUUUCCGGUAGUGCCACGGUUGUUUUUCUUUUCCAUUAGGCCGGUAUCUCUGAUUUUCUCUCUCUAACCAUAUUCGGCUGUCUUCCUCAUCUCCAUGACAAAAUACGGAAUGGCAUCAUCACAAGUAUCCAGCGUCACGGCACCAGAAUCAGGGGGCAGUUCUGAAAUUCCAAACCUUNNNNNNNNNNNNNNNNNNNNNNNNNNNNNNNNNNNNNNNNNNNNNNNNNNNNNNNNNNNNNNNNNNNNNNNNNNNNNNNNNNNNNNNNNNNNNNNNNNNNGUUCUGAAAUUCCAAACCUUGGUGGCAGUGAUUUCUCUCCUAUUCUCAUCACAGGACACAAAUUAAAUGGCCAUAACUAUUUACAGUGGUCACAAUCUGUGUUACUGUUCAUUUGCGGUAAAGGAAAGGAUGAGUACCUCACUGGAGAAGCAGACAUGCCAGAAACUGCAGAACCGGGUUUCAGGAAGUGGAAGAUUGAAAACAGCAUGAUCAUGUCAUGGCUUAUCAAUUCCAUGAACAAUGACAUAAGUGAAAAUUUUUUGCUGUUUAAGACUGCAAAAGACAUCUGGGAUGCAGCCAAAGAAACUUACUCAAGUUCUGAAAAUACUUCAAAACUUUUUCAGGUUGAAUCAACCCUACAUGACUUUCACCAAGGAGAGUAGUUAGUUACUCAGUAUUACAACACACUCACAAGGUAUUGGCAGCAACUUGACUUAUUUGAGACUCACUCAUGGAAAUGUUCGGAUGAUGCAGCAACAUACAGGAAAAUUGUGGAAUAAAAGAGACUGUUCAAGUUUUUCCUAGGACUAAACAGGGAAUUGGAUGAUGUUAGAGGCCGAAUCAUGGGCAUUAAACCCCUGCCAAGUCUCAGGGAGGCUUUUUCAGAGGUUAGGCGUGAAGAAAGUAGAAAGAAAGUGAUGAUGGGAUCCAAAGAGCAACCUGCCCCAACAUUGGAUGCCUCUGCCCUUGCUGCUCAGUCAUUUAAUAGUAGUGGUGGAGAUCGUCAGAAACGGGAUAGGCCUUGGUGUGAUUAUUGUAAGAAACUAGGCCAUUAUAAGGAGGCUUGCUGGAAGCUUCAUGGCAAACCGGCUGAUUGGAAACCAAAGCCACGGUCUGACAGAGAUGGCAGAGCACACGUGGCUGCCAACUCUAAGAGCAGCACAUCUGUUCCCGAGCCGAGUCCAUUCAACAAAGAGCAGAUGGAGAUGCUACAGAAACUAUUAAGCCAAGUUGGCAGUGGCAGUACUACCGGGAUAGCCUUCACUACUAAUCGAGGAGGAAUGAAGUCGUGGAUAGUGGACACAAGUGCUUCUAAUCACAUGACAAGAGAUGCUGCCAUUCUUCAAAAUUACAAGCCAAGUAAUGGUCAUUCAUCCGUCCAUAUUGCUGAUGGUUCCAAGUCAAAAAUUGUCAGGACAGGUUCCAUAAAACUUACUAAAGACUUGUAUCUUGACUCUGUCCUUCAUGUUCCAAACUUGGAUUGUAAUCUUUUGUCCAUUAGCAAAUUGGCCCGUGAUCUCCAAUGUGUUACUAAAUUUUAUCCAAACUCGUGUGUUUUUCAGGACUUGAAAUUGGGGAAAAUGAUUGGCAGUGUUGAACUGUGUUUCGGGCUCUACCUCCUCUCAUGUGGCCUCUUCCCAAACCAAGUCUCUCAAGCAAGUUGCGUACAGUCUCAGAGUAUGUUAGAGUCUUUCAAUUUUGUGUCAAAUUCUAAGGUCAAUAAAGAUAGUGAGAUUAUAAUGUUACACUAUCGCCUUGGUCAUCCUAGCUUUGUUUACCUUACAAAAUUGUUUCCCAAAUUAUUUAUCAACAAAAAUCCAGCAUCUUAUCACUGUGAAAUUUGUCAGUUUGCAAAGCAUACUCGAACAUUAUAUCCUCAAAUCCCAUACAAACCUUCGACUGUUUUCUCUUUAAUACAUAGUGAUGUGUGGGGUCCCUCACAGAUAAAAAAUAUUUCUGGCACUCGAUGGUUUGUGACAUUCGUUGAUGAUCAUACACGGGUAACAUGAGUUUUCCUUAUGAAAGAAAAGUCAGAGGUUGGACACAUUUUUCAAACCUUCAAUCUUAUGGUUCAAAAUCAAUUCAAUUCCAAAAUUCAAGUCCUCAAGUCAGAUAAUGCAAAGGAAUAUUUUACUAGUAGUCUCAGUACUUAUCUUCAAAAUCACGGCAUUAUCCACAUAAGUUCUUGCGUUGACACCCCACAACAAAAUGGGGUGGCUGAACGCAAAAAUAGACAUCUCUUGGAGGUUGCCCGGUGCCUUAUGUUUUCCUCUAAUGUUCCAAACUAUUUCUGGGGGGAAGUCAUUCUCACAGCUACCUAUUUGAUUAACCGUAUGCCAUCAAGAGUGCUUACCUUUCAAUCCCCACGUCAACUUCUCUUAAAAAAAUUCCCUCACACCCGUGCAGCCUCUUCUGAUUUACCACUCAAAGUAUUUGGUUGCAUGGCAUUCGUUCAUGUGUAUCCUCAAAAUCGUAGCAAAUUUGCUCCUCGAGCCAAUAAGUGCAUUUUCCUAGGGUAUUCUCCAACCCAAAAAGGGUACAAAUGCUAUUCUCCAACCAAUAAAAGAUUUUACACCACCAUGGACGUCUCUUUCUUUGAACAUGUCUUCUUCUAUCCCAAAUCUCAUGUUCAGGGGGAGAGCACGAAUGAACAUCAAGUUUGGGAGUCUCUUCUUAAGGCUGUACUUUUUUCUCACUCAGAGUCACCAAAUCCUUUCCAAUCUGCGCCCACUGAGUUGUCCACACCCAUGCCGUCAUCAGUCCAGCCAGCCCAGCCCACAAAUGUUCCUUCUCCCAUGACCAUCCAGUCUCCCAUGCCUAUUCAACCUAUAGCCCCACAACUUGCUAAUGAGAACUUACAAGUUUACAUCAGGAGGAGGAAAAGACAGGAAUUAGAGCACGGAUCACAGCCAAUAUGUGGCCAAUAUAUUGACUCCAUUUCAAGUCUACCUGAAGAGAACAUAGGUGAGGAUAGGGUUGGAGAGGUGUUAAUUCCCAGCAUUGAUGAUUCUACUCUGCCGAUUGCAUUGAGGAAGGGUGUUAGGAGAUGUACAGAUCAUCCAAUUGGGAAUUAUGUUACAUAUGAAGGGCUAUCACCAUCUUACAGAGCAUUUGCUACUUCUCUUGAUGAUACUCAGGUUCCCAACACAAUACAAGAGGCAUUCAAAAUUUCAGAAUGGAAGAAGGCAGUACAAGAUGAGAUUGAUGCACUUGAGAAGAAUAGGACAUGGACUAUCACAGAUUUGCCGGUUGGGAAGAGGCCCGUGGGGUGCAAGUGGAUUUUCACCAUAAAAUACAAAGCAGAUGGAUCAGUCGAGAGAUUCAAGGCUCGUUUGGUAGCUAGAGGGUUUACACAAUCCUACAGGAUAGACUAUCAGGAGACUUUUGCUCCUGUUGCAAAACUGAACACUAUUAGGAUUCUUCUCUCAUUGGCUGUCAAUCAAGAUUGGUGCUUGCAACAACUAGACAUAAAAAAAACGUUUCUAAAUGGUGACCUAGAAAAGGAAGUCUACAUGGAAAUACCACCUGGUUUCGAAGGAAGUAUGGCAAAAAAUCAGGUUUGCAAACUCCAAAAAUCCUUAUACGGCCUUAAACAAUCUCCCCGAGUCUGGUUUGAUAGAUUCACAAAAGCAGUCUUAAUGCUAGGCUACAAACAAGGUCAGGCUGAUCAUACUCUAUUUGUCAAGAAGUCUCAUGCCGGGAAAAUGACCAUAUUGAUAGUCUAUGCCGAUGAUAUUAUUCUAUCUGGGAAUGAUAUGGAGGAAUUACAGAAUUUGAAGAAGUAUUUGUCAGAAGAAUUUGAAGUUAAAGACCUUGGAAAUUUGAAAUAUUUCCUUGGUAUGGAAGUGGCUAGAUCAAGGAAGGGAAUUGUAGUCUCUCAAAGAAAAUACAUACUCGAUCUUCUUAAGAAGACCGGUAUGCUUGGAUGCAAACCAAUUGAUACUCCUAUAGAUAGUCAGAGGAAACUUGGUAUCGAGAAAGAGAGUACAUCGGUAGACAGGGGGAGAUAUCAGCGACUCGUCGAGCACUUGAUUUAUCUCUCACACACUCGGCCAGAUGUUGGCUUUGCAGUGAGUGUUGUAAGUCAGUUCAUGCACAACCCCACUGAGGAACACAUGGAAACAAUCUACAGGAUUCUUAGAUAUUUAAAAAUGACACCAAGGAAAGGUUUAUUCUUCAGAAAGACAGAGAAUCGUGACACUGAAGUAUACUCAAAUGCGGAUUGGGCAGGAAACAUCAUUGACAGGCGGUCCACUUCUGGAUACUGUUCUUUUGUCUGGGAAAAUCUUGUUACCUGGAGGAGUAAGAAGCAAUCAGUUGUAGCCAGAAGUAGUGCAGAAGCUGAGUAUAGAGCACUAGCACAGGGAAUCUGUGAAGGGAUUUGGAUAAAAAGGGUUCUUAGUGAACUGGGACAAACGAAUUCAUCUCCGAUUCUGAUGAUGUGUGACAAUCAGGCAGUUAUAAGCAUAGCAAAGAACUCCGUGCAUCAUGACAAGAUCAAGCACAUUGAGAUUGAUAGACACUUCAUCACAGAGAAGGUGACUAGUGAGACAGUUAAAUUGAACUAUGUUCCUACCAAGCACCAAACCGCAGACAUCCUCACCAAAGCUUUACUUAGGCCUAACUUCGAAGACUUAACUUGCAAGUUGGGAUUAUAUGAUAUAUAUUCUCCAGCUUGAGGGGGAGUGUUGAAAUUUGGCAUUCAAAGUUAGGGUUUUAAUUUAGGAAAGUAUUUUAGGAAUAAAAAAUGAGAGAUCAUUUAGGAUAUUUCCUUAGGAUUCAGUUUCCUAAUUUUAGGAGAGAAUCAAGCUAGAUUGAUAUUUACUUAUAUGUGUAUGGUGUGUACCGAACAAGUAUCAAUAAGAAGGAAUUCAGAAAUUCUUCAAUAAUAUUUCUAGGACUCGUUGGUUUGUCUCCUUUAUUGAAGAUUGUACUCAAGUGUCAUAGGUUUUUCUCUUAAAACAAGAAUCAUAUGUUAGUUCCACCUUUCAAAAUUUUUUCCACAUGGUGAAAAAUCAAUUUGGGGUUGAGAUAAAAAGAGUUCGGUUUAACAAUGCUAGGGAGUAUCUUAAUCCUUCAAAGAAAAAUGAGUACAACAAAAUGGUGUGGCAGAACGGAAAAAUGAUCAUCUUCUAGCUGUUUCCUAAGCUUUUCUUUUCCAAAAAAUUAUUAAGGAGAAGCUAUCUUAACCACUACACAUUUGAUUAAUAGGCUACCUAUUUGAGUUCUUGAUUAUAAUAGUCCCAUGCAACUAUUUUCAAAAUUUUUCCUUGACUUCAAAACAACAAAUCACCUGGUGCCAAGGUUCUUUGGGUGUGUAUCUUUUGUCCGUAUUCACUCGAACUACCAUGGGAAACUUGAUCUACACAAGAAAGAUACGAGUGUUAUCAUCCUCCAAUAAAACAGUUCUUUGUCUUUGUAGAUGUAACAUUCGUUGAAACUGGAAAUUACUUUCCCAAUCUUAUCUUCAAAAGAAAACAUCAUUUAUGGAAGAUAAGAAUAGAGAUUUUUUUUUGCUUGAUCUUUCAUCCUUCCCAUCCUCACAAAAUCAAAACCCUCCAUCUUCUUCUUCCUCAAGUGUUUUUGUUCCUUUUAGAAAAUGAGUUAUAUCCAAAUACUCCUAAUCCGGUGGCAAAGGAUAAACAAAUUAAGAGUGCUACUUGCCCAUUGCAAGUAUAUUCAAGGAGAAAGGAAUCCCUUAUUCAACCAAUGCAGGGUCAUAAUUUAGAACCAAUCUCCGAUGCUGAUAAUGUUGAGGUAACUCCUAAUUCAGAAGAUUAUGAAACUAAUGUGCCAAUUGAUGAUGAUUAUGAUCUCCCUAUUGCAAUAGAAAGGGUGUUAAGAGGUGUACACAAUGGCUUGCAUAUCUUUUUUUUUUUUAAGAGAUUAUAUUAAGAAAGGCAAAAAGCACAUAAGAGUACACAAGUCGUAUACAAGGAAAAACAAGCAAAAAAAAAAGGUACAAAAAAAUACACUCUGCCUCAUCCAAAACCCAACCAAUCUAUGAAAUCAACCACAUGUGAGUAUCCUCCAUCUAUAUACACCCUAACCCACACAAAGAAAUUGUUAAGGAAAAUAUUUUUUAGUCGCUUAUAUGACAAUUCUUCACAAUCAAAGUAUCUCUUAUUUCUUUCCUUCCAAAUAGUCUAUGAAAAUACAAGAAGGAGUAGCUCUCCAAGCCUUAAUACGUCUUUUAUCUACCAAAUAACCAUGCCACCCUAGGACAAUCUUCUUAACCAACUCAAAUAUAACUCACCGAAUACCAAAAAAUGAGAACACCAACUGCCAUAAAAGUCUCACUUUUCACAAUGGAGGAGGAUAUGACCAAUGGAUUUUAACUCUUCUUUAUACAAAGCACACCUAUUGGCCAACUUCCACUCUCUUCUUUGAAGUUGAUCCAAAGUCGAAACUUUUCCCCAGCAAGCCUCCCAAGUGAAGAAACUCAUCUUCAAAGGAAUCCAUGAAUUCCAAAUUAUCUUUAAAAGGAAAGGGAUGGUACCAUCUGUCUCCAACAAAGAAUAAAGUUCUCUUACAAAGAAAACCCCCUUGCUAUCUCCCUUUCAAACUACUCUAUUUCAUCUCUCCUCACCAUUUGCCCCUAAAGUUCAAAAAAGAACCAUUCCAUGACACCCACCUCCAAAUCAUUCAGGUCCCUAAUGAAAAGGAAAUUCCAAUUUCCUCAUUCCCCAGGUUGCUUCCAAAAAUCAGCUACCCAUGCCUUUUUAGAAUCAAAUGACUUGCUUAUCUAUUGUCUCAUUUGAGGAGAUAUUUAAUGAUCAUAAAAAGUUUUCUUAUCUAACUCAACACUACUACUAUCCCAAAAAUUGUCUCUAAAGCAUUGAGAAUUAAAAAGUGAAAAGAAGCUAUGAAAAAUGAGAUGGAUGCACUUAAGCAAAACAAAACAUGGGACUUGAUGGAACUGCCUCAAGGAAAAAAGCUAGUGGGAUGUAAAUGGGUCUUCAUUGUGAAAUACAAGGCAGUUGGAUUACUUGAACGAUAUAAGGCAAGUUUAGUGGCUAAGGGGUAUACUCAAACCUAUGGAAUAAGAUAUCUUGAAACAUUUGCUCUUGUUGCAAAAAUGAAUAUUGUAAGAAUCCUAUUGACUUUAACAGCUAAUCGUGGAUGGAGUUUGCAGCAGUUUGACGAAAAGAAUGUCUUCUUACAUGGCAAUCUUGAUGAAGAAAUCUAUAUGAAAGUUCCUCUAAGGUUUGAGUCCGAGAAAAAUAAGGUGUGUAAAUUGAAAAAGACACUUUAUGGCUUAAAACAAUCUCCUAGAGCUUGGUUUGGUAGAGUUGCUAGAGUAAUGAAAGCUUUACGUUACAAACAAAGUCAGGAUGAUCACACAUUGUUUGUUAAACAUUAUGCUUCAAGGUGAGUUACAACUUUAUUAGUUUAUGUGGAAGAUAUAGUGAUAACAAUAGAUGACUUGCACGGAAUAAAGACAUUGAAAAGGUGUUUAUUGCAAUAAUUUGAGAUUAAUGAACUCGACAAGUUAAAAUACUUCCUCGACAUUGAAAUGGCUCACUCCUAACAUGGGAUCUUUAUAUCUCCUAGAUAAGGAAGAAUAGAGAGAUCUAAUUGAAAACUACCCACAUUUGGAUUCAUUCCACCUCAAUUUGUCAUCAACUUCCCUUUAAAUCUCUUUCUUUCCUUUCCAUUUAAAGGAUUAAUUGGUAGCUAACUAAGUCCUUGCUUUACAAAAGCUUUAGGCUUAGUUUUUUUUUUUUUUUCUUAUAAGCAAAAUCUAUAUAUAUAUAAACAACGCCUAAGAAAAGAGUGUACCAUACCAUGUAUAAAAAAGGCACCAACAAGUAAACAAAAAUGAAGAGAGAACGAAAAAAAAAAAAACCUAUCAUUAGUUAGAUCUAAGUUAAUCAACAAAUCAUAUCAAGGUCAUUGAAUGAUUAUCUAUAUACACUCUAACCCUACUCUAAACCUAAGACAAAACUUAUAAAUUUAUACCAAAACCUCACAAAAGCACAAUUAAAAUCAUUGAAUAUUGAGGCUUAAAACAUCUUAUAAAGGAUGUACCAAAGGCCCAUAAAGGUCCUAAACCCAUUAACACCUUUUAAUAUUUGAAGCUCAAGCCCCAAGGUUGUAAGCAUCAAUUGGGCGAGGCUUGAGCCUUGAUUUCUCUAUACUGGGUUUAUAGCCUCAAAGCUAAUUUACAUAGCCUCACUUAAAGGCGAGCCUCAAAGCAUAAGUCUCAUUAGUCUUUUAAAACACCGACAUUACAACAUAGUAGUACAAGUUUAGCCCAAUAAAAAAGCUUAGCAUGGAAAUAAUGCAUUACAAUCAAUUGGAACUAAAUAGCUCAAUGACUCAACAUUUGGAAUUCAGUACAGUUGAUUGAACAAAUUUACUGUUUCAUAACCGAAGAAAAGUUUUGAUGCCAAAACUUUGUAGUGAGAUUCAUCAAGAAAAGAAAAUUUCACCACCUUCUAGUCUUAAUCAUAGCACCUUAUAAAGUUAACAAUGUCUUUAUUUAGGUAACAAUUGCGGAUGUAUAUCAAAAAUGAUUCCUGGCCUUCAAUGGCAUACAAGGUAGCAGCCACCAACUAAAAUAAACUUCUCCAAACUAAUUGUAUUUUGCAUCACCUAUUUAUUUAGUCCAAAAAAAAAAUGUCCACUGAGGAUGGUCCAGAAUCCUAAUCUAAAUGUAGCCCAAAGGCCACACACCUUGAUACAUAUUUUACAAUGGAAUGAACAUUCUAAAGCAAUAAAUCUUGAACAUUUUCUUAAAAUUUUGGCAUGUUCACAGAGCAACAUUAAUAAUUUUGAUUUCUGCAUUAAACAAAAAGGGAAGAAAGAAACCAGAUUGAUUUUGAUUUCUGCAUUAAACAAAAUAAAAGAACUCCAUAUCUCUUCCACGCAUCCAAAGACUAAUGUUAACUAUCCUUGCUGACAAGUUAAAAAUAAAUAAAGCAUCAUGUUAUCAGCAGAAACAAAUAGGACAAAAUAAGUACCAAUUUCCUUCACCAGAUGUGCUGCUGUCAUGAACUAUUUCUUCCUUUGCAAAUUCCUCUAAGAUAGCACGUUGGCGUUCAUUUAUUGCCCUAGAAAAUAAAAUAGAGUAUGAAUGAGAUAAACCAAAAUUCAUACACUUGUUAGACCAGCUUCACUAUGUAUUGUAUAUGUGAAAUUAGAUAUAACACAAUCUCUCUUUUGGCCACUGAACAUUAUUAUCAUGCAGAUUCCUUCAGUUCUCAGGUCACUAAAAGUAGUCAUUUAGAUGAUGCAUAUAGUGGUAAUAUCAUUCAAUGGUCAAAUCAGAACCUAGGCAAAUUCUAAGGGAAGGGAAUUGAUUGGUUAGAAACAAAUCAAGGAAAAAGAUGCAGCUCAGUUCUGUUAUGCUCUAAUAGCUCUAAUCUGAAAUGAUGAAUUCCUAUAACCACAUCUAAGAAAAGAGAGGAGUAGUUUUCCCAGGGAAAAACAGAUCUCCUUGUCACAGCAUCACUCAAAAAGAUGAUACCAUCAUAACAGUCAGUACCUAAAACUGAAGAACUAGCCUUUUCAAGGUCAGCUUCAUUGAAGUCCUCAAGCUUGCCUCAAUAUCAACCUCGUUCAAACUAAGUCAGUUAAAGCAACUAAAAGAGGCCUUGCUUUGUAACUUAGCUUUUUCUUUUUAAUAGGUAAAUUAAGAGCAUAUAUGAAAAGCGCUUGGACAAAAGCACAUCAAAAACACCAAAAGGCGAGCAAGAAAGAGAAGGGAACAGCAAAUACCAACCACCCCAACAAAACCAACCCCCCUACACCCCUAGAAAGCUGGAUUGCCCCAGCAGGUACACCCAAAACCAGGAGCCAACCCAAACCUAGACCAAUUGAGGCACCUUAAUCAGGGUUGUAUCCCCACUGCUCCUCCCUCUUCCUCUUGACUGUCAGAGGAGAACUAUCAUAUUUAACCGAGCAUUCUAGUUUUUGCAUUCCCCUCAUAAGAGAGCUAAUCUCCUUUUCAAAACCUGCAAUGGCAUCCCCACAACACUACAAAAAUUUGCCAACUUACUGAAUAGGCUGUUGGAAAAAAGCUCCUCCACAACCAUAGGUAAGCCUCUUAAGAAACUCCUUUCCCCACAAAUGCAUCGGUAAUCCUAACACACCACCAACACAAACACCUUCUUUGAAGCAACCAACAUCAAGUCUUCAACAGUCCAACUAUAGUCUCCUCCCGUCAAAUAGACUAUAGUUGUGUUAGUUUUUUUUUUAUGAUAUUCUAAUUUAUAGCCCCAAUUGGAUCAUGCAUAUUGAACAUGUUAAAAAGGCUUUUGAAAUAUUAAGGCAUCACAAAUUUUUCAUCAAGCUUGGCAAGUGUGCUUUCGGCCAGCAAGAAGUUGAAUAUUUGGGUCACAUUGUAACUCCACAAGGUGUCAAGGUGGACCAAGGGAAAAUUAAGGCUAUGCUUAAUUAGCCUAGACCCACUAAUGUUUCUGAAUUGCGAGGAUUCUUAGGUCUUACAGGUUAUUACAGAAAGUUCGUUCGCAAUUAUGGAGUUAUAGCUCGACCACUCACCAACCUCUUAAAAAAGGGGCAAUUUAGAUGGACGGAAGAAGCAGAGGAUGCAUUCAAGGCUUUGAAGCAAGCAAUGACUUCUACUCCUACCCUUGCUAUGCCUAAUUUUAAUGAACCAUUUGUCAUUGAAUCUGAUGCUUCAAGUGCUGGCAUUGGAGUAAUGUUAACUCAACAAGGAAGACCCAUAGCAUUCAUGAGCCGAGCCUUGGGAAUCACUAAGCAAUCAUGGUCUACCUAUGCCAAAGAAAUGUUUGCCAUUGUUCAAGCUAUUCGGACUUGGCGGCCUUACUUGUUGGGCCGAAAAUUCUACAUCCAAACUGACCAACACAGCCUCAAGUAUUUACUGGAGAAACGCAUAGUGACGCCAGAACAACAAAAGUGGGUAUCAAAAUUGUUGGGCUAUGACUAUGAGAUCACUUACAAACUGGGAAGAGAGAAUUUUGUUGCUGAUGCUUUGUCAAGAUUAAUAGGCAGCCCCAGUCUUAAUACUCUUUUUGUCUCUCAAACAACUUGUGGAAUGCAAUCAAGAAGGAAGCCAACGAGCAUCCCUACAUGGUCCGAAUUGGCAAGCUUGCCACUGCAAAUCCUGGAGCACCCUACAAGUGGCAGAAUGGUAUGGUAUGUUGCAAAAACCGUGUAGUAAUUCCUCUUAAUUCCCAACUUGUCAAUCAGUUAUUGCAGAAAUUCCAUGACUCACCAUAUGGAGGACAUUCUGGGGUAUUGAGAACAUACAAGCGAUUGGCACAACAAUUCUAUUGGCCAUCAAUGCAUAAGGUGAUUCAACAAUAUGUAACCUCAUGCACUGUUUGCCAAAAGUAUAAAGUAGAAACUUUAUCUUCAGCUGGUCUUCUUCAACCAUUGCCCAUCCCUUGCCAAGUUUGGGACGACAUCACCAUGGGUUUUAUUGAGGGAUUACCACCAUCUAAUGGCAAAAGCACUAUUUUUGUGGUAGUGGACCGCCUGAGUAAAUCAACUCAUUUUUUAGCUAUGUCGCAUCCUUACAUGGCAAAAAUGGUAGCUGAAAAAUUUGUGGAAGGGAUUGUCAAGCUUCAUGGCUUGCCAAAAUCAAUUAUUAGUGACAGAGAUGCCAUUUUCAUAAGUCACUUUUGGCGUGAAUUCUUCAAAAUGUCGGGUACUGAGUUGCACAUGAGCUCUGCCUAUCAUCCCCAAACCGACGGUCAAUCUGAGGUAGUUAACAGGUGCAUCGAGCAAUAUCUUCGCUAUUUUGUUUCUCAACAACCUCGAAAAUGGAGUUCUUUUCUUCCAUGGGCUGAAUUUUGGUACAACACUACAUACCACUCCUCUAUUGGGAUGACCCAUUUUCAAGCUCUCUAUGGGAGACCACAACCAAGUAUUUCGAACUAUCAAGUUGGAGCAUCAUCUGUGAAUGAGGUGGACCAGACAUUUGUAUCUCGAAAUGCCAUUUUACAGCAGCUCAAGAUCAAUUUACAUGCAGCAGUUAAUCGAAUGAAACAAGUGGCAGAUUAAAAAAGAAGGAACAUGGAAUUCCAAGUGGGGGAUUUGGUUUUCCUUAAACUCCAUCCUUAUUGCCAGCAAACUGUCUAUAGGAGGGCGUAUCAAAAGUUGGCCAGUCGCUUUUAUGGCCCAUACCAAAUUGAAGAAAAGGUUGGAAAGGUGGCUUACAAACUCAAGUUGCCUGAAGGUUCCUGAAUUCACCCUGUUUUUCAUGUUUCACUGCUUAAAAGGCGGGUAGGGGAGACUAAGGUCACAAGCACUGAGUUGCCGCCCUUAACUAAUGAUGGUGAGAUUAUUAUGGAACCUGAAGCUAUUUUGGAUACUAGGUGGGUUAAGAAAGGGUCUAGUUUUGUUGAAGAAAGCCUUGUCCAAUGGAAAAAGCUUCCAAAAGAAGAUGCUACGUGGGAAAAUACCCAGGAGCUGCGCAACAAGUAUAUUAACUUGAACCUUGAGGACAAGGUUCAACUGAAAGAAGGGGGCAAUGAUAAGCUAAGAAGAUCAACGUGAGUGCCUAUCAAGAAUCCAAGGUACAGGGGUUGAGCAUGGGACCAUGGGCUGGCAGAUUAUGAUGUUAUUUUGUUUGCAACAUAGGAAUCAGUCAAUGGUCAAUAAGUUGUUAUUAUGUUAUUUUGUUUGCAUAGGAAUCGGUCAAUAAGUGGAAAGAAUAAUUCCACCAUUGUUGGCUAUUUUAUUGUCCACUAGCCGUUCACUCCUUUUGUUUAGUGGAGUAGUUGAGUCCUUUAUGUAUUUAAUCAUUUUAGACAUGGAGGACAAGGGGACGGCAGAUAAUAAAAUCACAAGGUUCAUUCUCACCUCAAGCAGAAUAUUAUUUUAAAGAUCUUCUUUUUUUUCUUUAUAGCUUUGACUGGGACCACCUAUCAGAGAAAACAUUGGUCGUCCCCCUUCUGUGUUUUCACAAGAACGGCCAUAAGAAGAUUGUCCGUUGUGACGUUGCUAGAGGUUGGUUCUUGCCUUGUACUCAAAACUUCAGAGAUUUUACUGAUAGCAUUCUCUAGCUGAUGUAGUUUAUCAUUAACACCCAGCACCAUUCUGCUCAAAUUAGCUUGAAGCCCCCCAAGACCCACUUCUAAAUUCUCGAUUCUUUCUUUGUUGGUGGCCAUAAUGUAUAGCUCUGAUACCACUGAUAGGAGGUCCCAGUCAAAGCUAUAAAGAAAAAAAAAAUCUUUAAAAUAAUAUUCUGCUUGAGGUGAGAAUGAACCUUGUGAUUUUAUUAUCUACCCUUCUCUUGUCCUCCAUGGCUAAAAUGAUUAAAUACAUAAAGGACUCAACUACUCCACUAAACAAAAGGAGUGAACGGCUAGUGGACAAUAAAAUAGCCAACAAUGGUGGAAUUAUUCUUUCCACUUAUUGACUGAUUCCUAUGCAAACAAAAUAACAUAAUAACAACUUAUUGACCAUUGACUGAUUCCUAUGCUGCAAACAAAAUAACAUCAUAAUCUACCAGCCCAUGGUCCCAUGCUCAACCCCUGUACCUUGGAUUCUUGAUAGGCACUCGAGUUGAUCUUCUUAGCUUAUCACAUACCCUUUCAACUUCAAAACAUUUCAGACUUGAAUAAUAUGAGAGAUGAAAACAGUAGUAAAUCACCUUUCAAUCUCCAAGAAUGCUAGCCUAAGAUUUCAACUAGUCCAAAACCGGCAUUUGGCCUCAAGAAACAUCCCACUUACCCACCAAACACUUCUUGAGGAACUCCAAAUUGCUCAUAACCUCCAUUGUUUCACUUUUAAUCCAGACUGCCUCACCCAUCCACCUCUUACCUUUGUUCAGCACCUCUGCAAAGGAAGCAUGCUUUGAAGGGGUUCCUCAUCCCUUCUCCUCCAACCGCCGAACAGUCUCCUUAAAACCCUGUGAAGGCCUAGGCACAUGGACAACUCUGAUGCUCCUUAGUUUGAGGCAAAGAUCUUCCAUCCCCCUAGAAGUUCCACAUGUGCCAAAAUUGUCUACCAAUCUAGUUUCAAUUCACAAUCUUACAAAUGAUUUGAACUAUACGGUGACCUUUUCUUCUGCAGACAAAGUUGAACAAAGCAUGAACCUAUCAGCUUUGUUGCUGCAAAGCUCCAACUUAAAGCCCCUUCCACCUUCAUUCCACACCCUUCUAAAGGACUCUUUAUACUUCCCUUUGUAGUAAGCUUCCACCCCCUUUAGGAACCAAGAAAGACCCCCUCUCUCCAAAUUUGAUCCAAGAGGAAAACUCUCAUCCCCUCUCCGCAAUCUUCCCUACCCCCUUACCUUUGACUGACUCCAAUCAAAAUCCUUUUGGAUUUUGGAUUUCGAUUCCACUCUAAACCAGCAUUUUCCUCCAUGAGAUUCCAUCUCAUAGCAAAAUCCUAAAUUCCUUCAUUCCUUCACCGCCUCAUGUGUGAGUAGUCAAUGCCUACACAUAAAUUUUUACUAGUUAAGAAAUAAAACUAAGAAUGGAAGUAGAAAUAGGUGAAUCAGUAGAGCUAAGAAGAAACAAAAACAUUGUCCACUUUUUCUUAUUCAAUGAACUGCCAAAAUCUCUGACAAAGCAUCAAUGCAACAGGUAAGAGGACCAAACAUAAAUUGAAAAUGACUACUUCAAUGGUGCCACAGCUCAAUUUUCUUAUGGUGACACUGUCGAUAUUCUCAGCAGCAUCUGCAAGGUUCAACUCUUGAGCAAAGUCAAUUGCCUUUCAAGGUUAGCCCAUUCAUCAAGCAGGCACAACUAAAGCUUAGGUUCAGCUCUUGUAGACAAACAACUCUACUGAAAAUUGACUCAAUUUCAAGCAGUUCUCAAGUGGCUGCAAACAGCUAAAAGUUAUUACCAAUAAAAAAAAAUGCCCAAGUCCAACAAACAAAAACCUAAGAAGCAAUCUUAAAUGUGUUUUUUUUUUUUGAUAAGUAAAGAAGAGUAUAUAUUAGAAAAAGACGCCAAAAGAGUGACCCAAGGUAUACAAGAAUGUUACACCUGCCCUCAAAUAGCUCAAACAAAAAAGAAACUACAAAAAAGGAGGUACCAUCACAACCCUACCCUCAAAGGGGGCCCAACCAAUUAAUGAAACUAACUAGUGUCAAACAACCAUCAUUUACAAACAUCAUAGUCUCCAACCACAGAAAGCACACAAAAGAGUCUUUUAGCCUUUGGAUGGAGAGCACAUCAUCUUCAAAAGCAAUUCUAUUCCUUCCCUUCCUAACCAUCUAAAAAAUGCAUAAAGGGCUCACUCUCCAAACUUUCUUGUGCUCUUUGCCCAAAAAUGAACCAUGUCGAUCUUAAAUGUUGAAAUUAAAUAUAAUUGCUAAACCCAUUUGCAUAACUGCCUUUUUCAGGGAUAUCCUUUCUAAGAAGUGACAUGUAAGAAACCAUGAAUAAAAUACCUUCUCUGGAAAAUAUUUCCAUGCAACUUCAAAGGAAGACCUUUUCAACAUCUAACUCAAAUUGUAAAAGUGACAUAGGAAACCAUAUUUUUUUUCCCCUUGUUUUUUAAUUUUUAAAAUUUUUAAUUUUUUUACACAGUUUAGAAAUAUGAUUCUAAAUUCACCAUUGUUGAAUCCAAAUCAAUAGUAAAAUAACUCCUUCAAUAAAACCAAUUAUGAGCUGAAACUUUCCCCCGACACUCAUUAAACAAAUUAAAUAUAAGUGCAAACCUUGGGGGUGAGAUUGUCAUUCACCUUAAAAAAAAGGGAUAGAGACAAGCAAACAGGAUAUUCAAUACAUUUCAGUAACAGUCUAACAGAGACUUCAUAAAUAGUAAGAAAGAGCAAACUCUUACGUGGGGAAGUUAAUGCGGAAACGCACAUACUGAUCUCCAUGGUCUACAAGAAGACCAUGCUUUGGCAAUCCUACCAUGAUUUACAUGAAAAGAAAAAUUAGCUUAAGUAAAUUCUUGAAGUAAAAAAAUAAAAAUAAAGGAAAAAGGUUAAUCUAUACCUUUUCCUCUUAGUACCAAAAGCUGUCCAGGCUGAACCCCCUUUGGUAUCUGAGUGGACAAUAAUGCAAAGCAGGGGAAAAAGUAAAUCAUUUAGAAGGAAAUAGUUAAUAGUGUUUAGUAAAGGAAUAUAUAACAAAAGAACCAACACAAAGUAAAUUAUCAUUAGUUGAAUGAUUGAAGAGCUUACUGGAGAUAAUGAAAGGAAUGAAAGUUUUGAAAUGGUGGUGGAACUUAAUGGAAGAAGGAAAAAAUGAGAAGCCUAAAAAUCCACAGCAAUUUAAGGGAAGAAGAAAGGGGUGCAAAGCCUUAUAGUCCACCUAAACUUAAGGGAAGAAUAAAAGCUUAAAAACCUAAAAAUCUGAUAUCCCUUAUUAUAUAACACUCCAGAUGAACCCACUACAGGCAUCAUUUUGGUUUGCCUGGUCUGAACCAAGAAAAAGGGCAUAAUAUUGGAUCAGAAAUCUGGGUCCAGCUUCAAGGCAGACAUCUGCAAUAUGAUUCUGAACUGAUUCACCAAAAGAUUCCAGUUGAAAUUCAGGUCAAUUUUGUCCACAAAUGAGUCAUAAACCACCUUGUUCAACCCGGUCCGCAUCUCAAGGAAAUAAGGUGCUAAAAUAACCAUGAAAAGAGCAACUAUUCGACUUUUUCCACCAUACUAUAAACCAUUUAGGCUACUGUUCAAAUAUUUUCUCUUUUCUUCCCUUCCAAAAUGUCCAAAGGAAUGCAUGGAAAAAAAAAAACUUCCAGGAUGGUUUCCCACAGGCCCAAAAGCCUUGACACUCAAAUCCAAUGAUAAUCCCCAGAAGAUGGGAAACCAAACUACCCCAUUAGACAACAAACACUAACACUAGAAAAAAUUUCCCAGAUUAUUCCGAGCCAGAUUUACUCAUUAUAUAUCAUGUAUUGACUUACCAAGGAUCAAAUCCAACUUGUUUACUAGGUGACUCCCUUAAUAGGUACACCAUCAUAAAAAUAAGAGAAAUAGCAACUAAAUUGCAUUUCAUUCACUAGCCAAUGCACACAAGGAAUAGAUAAGAAGAUUGUUUUCAACCUGGUGUUAGUCCUCCCUAUAUAUCAAAUGUCCCUCAUUAGAUACUCUCCCUCCAAGAACUAAGUUCAAGAGCUGUAUGCACAUCAUCUGUGUCCUUCGGUGAACCCUCAUUUGGUGCCACUUCAAGUGCAUUUCAGGAGAUUUUGAUGUAAAAAUGCUAGUUAGAUAAAUCAUAAACUCUACAACUAAUAAAGGUCAAGGAAACAUUUAGUUGUGCAGUUGUUGCCAAAGGCAAAAGGCAAUUUGAAGGUGAUAACACUGUACUUUUCCCGAUGGGGACAAAAAGUUACCUAUCAAAAAGAAAGGAAAAAAACUGUACUUCGCCUAAGGUGCAAGACAAAAUGUAAGGAGAUACUUUAAGCAAAGUAAGGCAAUAGAAAAUAUAUGUAUAUUUUUAUCUGUUUAAUGGGGAUCAAGCAAUCAAAUCAUCCUUUAUGCAUAAUUUCUUUGUGUUUAUCUUCAAUUUGUUUUGGCCAUUUGGCAUCUUAGUAUGCACCGUGUAUACUCUUGUGCGCUUUUUUGCCAGGCGAUUUUAAUAGAACUGAUAUUUUCCUAUAAAAAAAAUUUAUAUUUUCAUCCACUUACAUGCAUAUUAAAAUGAAAAAAACAUCAUCCUUAAGCAUCAUCAUCAUUAUAACAUUCAACAAUUAACACUAGAAAAAUUCCAUCUUGUGUUGUCUUGUGGAAUUAACAAAAUAAUGAUAAUUGCUAUUAUAAUAGACCACUUUUCCAUAAUCCAUAUUCUAACUUCCUAACAUCAAAAAAUCAAAAUGAAACAAGACAAGAGACAAAGAGAGAGAACAUCCUAUAUAUAAACUUUAUGCAUCAUAAUCAUCAUUUGAAAAGAGAGUGAACAUCCUAGAGAAGCUUUAGAUAUCAUCACAAUCAUCAUCGAAAAUCAAUAUUUCUUCACUUCCAUCAACACUAGGCUGAUAAUUCUCAAUGUCACCAUCAUCUCAAUUCAUCACCCUCUAGAUUGGCCUCCUUCUUUUCAAUAUCCAAUUAUGAAGUUGUAGCCUUUUUUUUUUUUAAUCAAAAACAAAAUAUUUAUUAAUAAUAAUAAAGGUACAAGUGAACAAUGAGAAGUCCUUCCCUCAAAAAUACAAAUCCUAAUCAAAGUAAGACAGACACCCCACUAUACAAAACUAUACACAAAGGCAGUCCCCAACUAUCACAAACUUUUGAAUCAUAAACCGAAAGCUAGUUGAGUUAAAUAACAUUAAAUGGAACUCCUCUAAAAGAGGUAGUACAGGCCCAAAGAGAGGAGUAUAAAUGAAGUAAAUCCCACAACAUCUCUUCCGAUCUCCACUUUUCCUCAAAAAUCCUAGUGUUUCUCUCUUACCACACAAUCUACAAUAACAUAAGGCAAGCAAUUUGCCAAAGAGUCUUGCCUCUAAUUAAAUUCCCCAAUCCUCUAAAAGAAAUCAUCAUCAUAUCUUCAAUACUCCAAGGCAGAGCACAAUCCAUCCUUACUAGACUGAAGAGUUUGUGCCAUAGCCCCAAAGUUAACCAACAAUGUAAAAAAAAAUGGUCAAUUGAUUCUCCAUUUCCUUUGCAUAAAAUGCACCAAUAAGGACUAAGAGAUUUGCAAGGUCCUUUCAACUAUAGCAUGCCAUUGGUGUUUACCUUCCUAUGUGCUACUAACCAAGCAAAGGCCUUAACCUUUGAGGGGGCUUUUGAUUUGUACAGAAAAUUGGCCGGAAGGAACAACAUAAGAUUUGAGUAUUUGGACACAACCAAGAAAAAAAAAUUUAACUGUGAAUAAACCUGAGGAGGAUAAAGACUAGGCUUGUGCAUCUACAACAAAAGGAGAUAAGUGCACUGAAUUAAGGGAAGACAUGAGUCUUUCAAGAAGUUCAAUUUCUAUAUUAGUGAAAUUGCAACAAAAAUUAAAAUUCCAAAAGAACAGAAAAGAAUUACCAUGAACAGUUGAGAUGGUUAGGUUUUUCACUAAGAUAACCCUAUAAAGACCUAGGAAUUGCGAACACAAAGGAAGCUUUUUUUUGAUAGGUAAAGGAGUGAACACAAAGGAAGCUUACUAGUAAAAUGGUCAAGGUACAUUCGGUAUUGAAGUGUAUAAUUUGCACCCAUGAAAUGAAUGAAAAUUUUAUUGCCUAUUCGCUUUAAAGGUUAUACAAUUCUUUCAAGGGGGAUCAUUCGCUACCUCAAACCCCUAGAACUCUUAAAAAAAUAAAGCCAAACGGUGUCCUAUUAACUAGAACAAGGAAACUUGUCAUGGAUAUGCACCAUUUUGUCUAGCUAAUCCCCUCUUGACCAAACCCAUUUUGGUUAGGACAGUAAUUAACUCUCAGUUGACAUGGUCAUGCCUUCUUGAUGUCCAUCUUGAAAAUAACCCCCAUGUUAUUGUUCUUCAACCUUGAAUCAAUGGCUUCAUUGGCAAUAAAAACUAUAUCCAAACUUUGUUUGCCCUCCACAAAAACAUGCCAACAGAUUAAAACCACUUUUCCCACCACUUUUUGAGCCUAUUUAUCAUAACUUUAGAUAAAAGCCUAUACAAUCCCCCUACUAAGUUGAUGUGCCUAGAGUUUUUCAUGGCAUUUAAGCUUCUUUGAUAAGUGCUUUGGUCAAAAAAUUCCAUAGAGAAACCCAUCACCUCGAACUUUACAAAGUCCUAACACAACUAUCAAAACACCAUAGCGAAGCCAUCUGGUUCGGAAGCCUUAUCCCUACAAUGAUUGGAAGGGGCAGCAAAAACCUCCUCCUCUAAGAAAGGCUUUUCUGGUCUCCUAGAAUCACCACUCCCUAAGACUUCAAAGCUCAUUCAACUAAUGUUUGAUAUCCAGUUUCCUGAUUCAAAAAGCCCUUAAUCUUGGCUUCCUCAAACAACCAUUCAUCAUCAAUUCUUACUUUCGUCAAAAAGUUCCUUCUACAAAACUCAUUGGUCAUUUUGAAGAAAAUUUAGGUGUUUUAACCCCUUUUCUUAACCAAAUUUCUUGUGAAUUUUGUCUCCACAUAGUUUUCAUAGUUUUUUCCAUCGAAACCCACAUUCUUAAGUCCUUUAAAGCCACCCUUAUGGCCUCUACCUCUUUAACUAAAAGUGUAGUUUCUCUAUCCUUGGAGCAAUGAAUGAGAACCAUAUAUCAUUUUAACUACAAAAGCUGUCUUGCUUAGUCCCUUCUAUAAGGGGGUUUAAUUGCAAGUUAGCAAAAUUAUGACCCUGAUCACAAUCAGGAAACCAAAUAAUUUUCCUAUUCUCCCCCAACUUCUAAGCCCCCAUCAAAAUUCUAUGAGGAUCUUCUAGGUAUUAACAUAAGGAUAAUAUAAGUAAGAGCGGUACAUCAAUGACUAGCAAUCAUUACUAAAGGAAGCACAAAGUCAAAGGGAGGCCCUGAAAAUGAUAGGUAAAAGAAGCAAGGAGUGACUUGGACUCAUCAAGAAAAUGGUAGAAGCAAUAUGUGGAUGUCACAAAAAACACAAAGGAUACACAACAUUGAGCAACUUAUAGGAACUAGGAACAUAUAAAUCUGCAAAAAGAAAAGGAAAGAAGAACAUAGUCUGAUCAUCUGAUAAUAUUUAUUGUCAAGCCAUACACAUUAGCUACAGUUAGUUGACUAAUAACUAGUUCGUUGCUAUUGUCUGUAAUGGUUAAUAAUCUAAA